rnacentral:lncRNA from 1 species
UUUUCUCUCCUAUCCGGCCACUGAGUUCCCCGGACCUCCGUCGCGCCACCACCGUGACCGACGACUGACGCAGCGCAAAAGAGGCUUUUUAGCCUCACUUCGAAGCACCCACGGAGGCCGAGCCCUCUCUGCCCAAAAAAACCCAAAAUGAGAGACCUUUCUCCCCCCUUUCAACCCGAUUUCAACGACGAAAGGGAAGAUUCUGGUGCCGGGGCUCGCGGCGAUUCAGGUGACUGUUCUUCUCCCCCUUUUUCUUUUUUAUUUUCGUAGAUAAAAAAAAGGAAAAUAAAUAAACAAAAUAACUAAAAAAGAUCUAAAACGAAAAGAAUAAAAACGAAAUAUCACCUUUGAAUCCAAGUUCAAAUUUUUUUCUUUUUUAUUUAAAAAAAAAUCCCCCUAUUACAUCGUUUUUCUGGGCUUUUAAAGCCGAAAUAUCAAAUUUUUUUAUAUUUUUUCACUGUUUUUGCUCUUGAUGCUGCUUCUAUUUCUUUUUUCAUGUUGCUUGCAAGUUCUGGCGAGGUCAACGGAGAUGGAAAGCUUCUAUUUUGGUGUAAGGGUGGCUAGCGGUGGCAGACCUCGGGCGGUGUGCGCGCCGAGGGCGCACAUGGGCAGGUUGCGACGCGAGAGAGGGAAGGGAACCCUAGGGUUUUCUGAAAACCCUUAAGUCUUUGGGCCUCUGAGCCUUUCUUGUAUUUGGGCUCAAAUUUUAAUACUUGUAAAUUGGCCUGUAGCAUUUGGACUUUGAAAAUUUUUUUGACUGUUUAUUUUUGGUUUUAUUUCGGGUCCUGGCAAAAUAUGGGCUUUACAGGUAGAACAUAAAAUCAUGAUUUUAUGAUUCAAAACUCCUCAUUUACCAAUCGAAAAUAUGCCUCAAAGAUUCCAAAAAAUAUAUCAUAUUUUUCCAACAAUAUAAAAACCCUAAUUUUUUUUCUCCAAGCCAUUUACUUAUUAUCUUUUGUUUUGCUCAACGGCGGUGCCAACCUUUGGGUUGGUUAUCACCCGCCUUUUUCCUCUCCCAUCAACCCUUUCUUUCUUUAUUCUUCUCAUUCACUACACAUGUCUUUUCCCUUUUCAGUUUGCAGACUUAUUUUGUGGGUAUCUUUGUUGUCUUCACAAGUUGCGAUGGAUAGAUGACAGUGCCUGUCAUUUACUAAAAAUCCACCAGCCACCAGUAGUUUUUCUUGGAAAGUCGGUGACUUUUUGUCAACUUCUUAAUAUGUUUUUGUUUUGAGAGUAUUUUGGAAUAAUAAAUGAUUUCACAUGUUGAUUUAGACCUGUGUUGUCUUAAGUUAUAUAUGUUUUUUGUUUGUUUUUUCAUUGUUUAAUAAGCCUUCAGUUUUAGAAGUUUUUGCUUGCUCUUGUAGCACUUUUUUUUGUCUUGCUUAUUCAUGUAAUAGUAGUUUUACAAGUGAUUUUAGGGAUAAUUUUAUUGUCGUUCUCUCUAGUUUGGUGAAUGCUCAAUUCUUUUGUCGAUUUUUGUUCGCCGCUUUGGACCAUCCGGAGCUGAUUUCCUUAUGGUAUUAAGUGCUUGCAAUCACUCCAGAUAUGUCAUGCUUGAGUUGUGACAAAGCCAAUUGUCAACGUAUCACAAUGUUCUAUUGAUGCUGAGACUAAAGCCCUUAUUAUGUUGAUGGAGCUUGUCAUUCACCUUUGUUUUUUAGUCACUCCUUUCAUUGAAUGAAUUAAUUUAUCUUUUAAAUAUAUAUAUAUAACAUUUAUAAUAUUUUGAACACAAAUUAAAAAACACACAAUUUGUUUUUAUUUUUUUUCUUUAAUUCAUUCUUUGUUAAAUAAAAUAAAUUUCCUAAAUAAUCCCUUCAACCCUUUAAUAUCCAACCUUAGUUGUUCAAAGCAAGUGCAGCUAAAAUUGAGAGUGAGUCUUCUCCUUGUUGGGAGAACACAACUUUUAGUGUAGGUUACAUAUAUUUAUAUUUAAAUAAAAUAAUUUUAUUAUUAAAUAAAUUUUGAGUCAACUCGACUUAAAAUUCAAUAUUUUUUUUCUAAAAUGGGACAUUUAAAUAAGUUAAAUAUAAACAAUUAAAUACGUGAAAAUUUAAAAUAAAAAUAGAAUACGUAUAUCAAACAUGUUGUGUUAAUUAUGGUAAUAACAGUAUUGAUUAUUUUGUUUUCAUAUUUGCUAAUCAUAUUCUAAUUUAGGGUGGGUUUGGAUGGGCGAUUGGGUACGGUGCGGUGCGUUUAGCUUACUUUUUGUCUCACGCUACAGUAUCGCUACAGUAUCGCUACAGUAUCUAAUCUCACCGCCACCGCUACCGCUAUUUUUACACUAACCGCAGGUAAGCCCACCACCCAUCAAAACUCACCCUUAAUAAUAAGAUAUGUUGUUAAAUUUUGGGAGGAAGAAAAUGCAAUGCUUGACAUAAAGUAGACGACAAUUUCAAAUUAAAUUAUUUUAACAAAUAUUAUAUUUUUGGCCCUAUUCUAAAAGUCUAAUGAGCCCUGCUGCUGCCUAAAAAUUGAAGAAAACUGCAAAUCAAAAUAACCGGCGGAAGUCAACUUCUAGAUAAUUUGGACUUAUCAUGAUAAUAAAAUAAAUUAUAUUAGAUGUUAGGAUAAAAAACAUGCAAUAUUAGAUGCGAAGAAUCGCUAAAUUAGAAGUGAUCCGCGUCGUAGAUAGUGUGGAAAGCUAUUGAGUGUGAAGCAAAUCAUGAGAGGACAGCGAGGGAAAUUCGCGGACCCAACUCGCAAAGAGAGUUUGCACAAACUAAGGGAAAGUUGCGGUCUCAAUUUGCAUAUACUCAAAGAGCUCGCAGAAGAGAGACCGCGUGGUCUGGCAGACAACCCAAAGUGAAACAUGUGUCCAGCAUACCUGAAGUCCGCUCAGAAUGUCAAUCCUAGAAAUAGUGGAGUCAAGUCAUGAUCAGUGAAGUCGUGCUGUAAACAGUAACAGUGUGUAUAAAUACACAAAUAUUCCCAUUAAUAAGAUGCGAGAUAAAAUUACUUAACAAAUAUUUAUCUUCAUUAGUGCAAAUAGUAGAGUGGUAAAUGUCAAUUAAAGACAUUGAUAAAAUUUGACUUGAAGAGACUAGAGGCAUUCAUCAUGUUGGGGAUGCAAUGAAUUGAAGGAUGUUGCUAAGAAUUCUUGGCAUGUGACCAUGUCAAACUCGUGGGAUGUUCAAGCAAGACACUCUUGAAAUUGGAAUUAUUGUUGUUAAAAUUGCUAGGGUGGUUUAGGUCAAUAUAUCAUCAUCAACCUUAUUUUAUGGGCUUUUACUUUUCCCUAGAAUUUUAUUCUAUACUAUCGAUUUCCUUGCUCCCCACACUUCUUUUAUAUAUAUAUAUCAAAAGUAUUCUAAACCAUUUUAGUCCUAACUUUUGAAGAGAAUGUCAACAAAAGAGAUCCACUAUCCUUUUUUUUUCUUUUAAAUUAAAAUGAAAAUCAUGGCAUUCGCAUUAAAUUUGAUCGGGAUAAAUCUCAAAAUUAUAUGUGUAUUAUGAUUUAGUAUGCAAUUGUAUUCGUGAACUUUAAUUUUGUGUAAUUUUAUACAUGAAAUUUUAAUUUGAUCUAAUUCUUGUAAAUUAUUAACACAGUUAUAACAUCAUUUUAUGUUUGUAUAUUGCAUACAUAAAUAAUUAUAUUUAUCCAACAUAAAAGUAAAUUGAUGUAUUUAUUUCUUUAAAUGUGCAUGAUUAAAUCAAAAUUAAAGUUUCAAGUAAACAUUUGAAUCACAAUUAGAGUUUCACGUGUUUAAUUGCAUCAAAUUAAAGUUCAUGCACACAAUUGCACAUUAAAUUAAAGUUCAUGUAUAGUUUUAAUAUUUAUCCCGAUUAGAUCUCUUAAAAGAAAAUAAUAGUUUUUUAAGCUUAUAUUUAUUAUUAUUUUAGUAUACUCGAAAGAAAAAGACAUCAUAUUAAAUCUGUUUGUGACGAAACUACCAACCCCUUAAAAUGAAAUUUUUUUCAUAUGAUCCCUUUAAAUUUUUUAAAAUUUUAAAUUAAUAAAAAUAAAAUGACACUUUUAACCCCUAAAAAUAUAUAAAACUGUGAGAAUUUUGAAUCAGUGUGGCACCCAACACCGCAUAAUUCAGACAAUUAUGCUUUACACACACUCCAAGGGGGAAACCAACAUCCCAAGACGCGUGUUGAACCACUAAUUGAUUUUACAAAAUUGUAAAGAAAAUUCUAUAUACCAUGUGAUUUUUUAAUAUUAUUCAAACAUUAGUAUUUCAAGAGUUGAUUUUAAUAGUACCAAUUAUUACAAGUAUUAAACUUAAUUAGAAUAAGUUUAAAUUGCAUGUAUACAAUGAGACCUGAAUUUAAUAUCUUAAAAAUUUUAAGACCUUAAUCUUAUAAUUAAACCAAUAUCUCAUUAGUGCUUAUUAAACUCCGAGAAAAGAUUGUAUGAAAUCAAUUAUUUCAUAUCAUUUCAGCAUUUUUUCUACGUCAUUGACAUAAUUUUGAUAAAAAUUUUACAUUGGAUCUUAGACCUCAGAUUCUAAACCCUAAAGCCUAGAUCCAAGGUUUAAGAUCUAAGGUUCAGGACCUAGAGUUCAAGAUCCAGUGUGCAAGGUGUAGAGUUUAGGGCUUAGAGUUUUAAGAUUUAGGGUCUAAGGUCGAGGAUUCAAGGUCUAAGAUCCAGAGUCUGAGGUUUAGGGUUCAAAAUUCAGGACCCAAGGUCUAGGGUCCAGGUUAAAAAAAUUACCAAAAUGAUAUGUUAAUGACAUGGAUUGAUAAGAAAUACAAUAAAAUGUAGCGUCUUAAUUUCACACCAUCCUUUCCAUUAAACUCUAUUAUUCUAUUUGCAUGUUUGAUUAAUCAUGAAUUUAUGCCAAAAGAAAAAAAAUCUCCUCUCUGAAUGCUUUUCUAUAAUAAUCAUGAUUAAAACUUUAGAAAGCUUUUUUCCUUGAAAGAAUUUCUUCAGUUUUCUAUCUUAUUAGUGCAUAUGUUUUCUACAUUCUAAAAGAUAAAAUAAUAACAUUUUUUCCUGAAGAAGAAUAAUUAAGAGAAUUACGUCAGGGUAAUAUAUAUAUAUAUAUAUAGAUGCACACUUCAGUACUCGUUUCGUUUAGAAAAUUUUGAUUAAAAUAUUAAAUAUAACGUUUUUUUAUGGUUUUUAAUCAAGUUUUAAAUAUAAUAUUAAUAAGCUAGGAAUCUUUUAGUUUAACGACAAUGUUGGGAUAAAAACAAGGAACAAAAAUAAAAAGAGAAAAGAAAAUUUGGGCACACAAAUGUUGUACGUGAAAAACUCAUUCAAAGACGAUAAAAACCACAGGCAAAAGAGGCAUCGGCUUAACGUUAAUGGAGCAAACAAAACGAGAGAACAAUGAGAAUAUAAUAAACUCAAACCCCGAAUACAAAGAUCACGCCCAAAGUUCUCACAAAACUCCAUAUGCGGCUACAUAUUGUCGCCUUCAAAGAAAGUCAUUACUAAUUGGCGUAUCAAAACAGAGAAUUCGAAUCAUAGUAAAAUAUCCCUGCAAUAAAUAGAGUCCAACUAAGAGUAAUCUUGCUUGAAGUCUAAAACACAGCUGCCAAAUAGGAGAACACGUUGUGACGUAGCAAUGUCGUCUCUGCUUUGCCUUUUCAACGCUGUUGCGUCGUCUCGACUUCCCGAUGCUCCUCGUUGUGACGUCGAGCUUAUUUUGGGCCUUCUUCGGUUGCUCGUCAAAACAUCUUUCUAAGUGCCUGCAAAACGUAUGAUAAAUACGAGGCACACCCCACAAAUCUCCACCUUAACUCCUAUUUAUCACACCUCCUUUUCCAUGCCCAAUCAAAUUCUAAUUUUACAGAAGGUCAACCAAGUCUAAAAAAAAUAAUGUUAAUACAGUUUUGUAUUAAAGUAAUGCAUUGUAUGAAAUUUUUUAAAAUUUUAUUUUGAUUUAUGGAAUAUGGAUAUGGAUAAUUGAGAAGAAUCUUGGAGCAAUUAAUUUAAUUUAUUUAAUAUAAACAUGUCAGCUGCUUCUAGAAAAGUUGAAUGACCAUGAAAAACCAAGAACAUCAAAGGAUUGAAUUGACCAUUUUGUUUAUGCAAAUUGAGCACGUUUACAUGGAGGUCAAAAUUAUAUACCAAAAAUAUGUAUUUGAUCUACUUACGUCAAUAAUAAUUUUUUUUUUGGUGAAUUACAAAAAUAUGCAGGGUUAGUAGGGACUUUACUAUUCUCAACAACAUAAAGGUGUUGUAUGCCUAUAAUAGACAAGCCAAACAACAUCAAGACUAAUGCAGGUAUAUUUACGUGGAAGACCAAUUGGAUGUCUUCCCCUUUUUAAUGUGUGGAAAGAAUAGAGAACUCGAAAGUUGAUCGAAAGGCCUAAUCUAGAAGAUGAAGUUGCUAUGAGCCAAUUCAACCGUUACAAAUAGGGCUUAUGCUUCUCCAUCGCCAAGUUAUUAAAGUUAAACCUUAUUCGAGUCUAUUGAUUAGAGGGGAAGAGUCCUAACAGUGUAGCUUCUACUGAUGCUGUGAAUUUUAGGGAUCUACUAAUGAGUUGGGUUGGAUGAUAACAUGCCUAGUAGAGGAGACUGAAGGUCCGCAAAAGAUGGAUUCUAGAAAGUAAAAAAGGGGUUGUGGAUGCCCCUACGCAAGCGCUCUAUAAACCUAAGGAUUUAAGUUAUCUAAUAUACUUUGUUGUAGUUGGUAGAUAAAAAUGGAACUAACACUCCCAUUGAGGUUGCUAAUCAUAAUCUCCUCGGUUACCCUUCUAGCCAUGUUGGUUGUAACCUACGUAAUCUCAGUACACUACUUCUAGUUGCUGCUAACAAUAUUGUUCUUAAUCAUAGUCAUAUUGGUAAUAAUCACUUUGACCAUACUGGUUGUAGUAUUGGUCCUAUUAAUACCUAUCAUCCUACUCAUAGUUGACUAAUUGACUUGUAAUCCCGGGAUAUUUCAAGCUAGUUGAGCCAUAAAUUUUCAGCCAAUCCUUACAAACUAUGCCAAUUGUUAUAGCAAUUAAGUUAUAUAAGAUGUAAAACAAUAUAAUGGUUGUGGUUCACACCAUAAAGGGUGAGGAGAAUCACUAAAAAUGGUUGCGAUGCGCACUAUAGAUAAUGCGAAAAACUGUUAGAAAUGAUGAUGAUUCACACUACAAAUGGUGUGUAGAGUUGCUAGAAAUUGGUGGUGGUUCAUACCAUAGAUAGUGCGAAAAGCCACUAGAAAAGGUGGUUUGAGGAUGACGAGGUUGUACUUUAAUAGAGUGUGGACAUUAUAUCUAGACUUAUCCUUUCUUUUAGAGGGGGUAUUUAUAGGUAGAGUAAGGAUUGGAGUGGGCCCAUUAUCUCAUGAUUACCUCUUUGGUAAAGUCCAAUUUCAACUAGAUUAGAAGAUGACUUUGAUAGUAACACCUUCAGAGUUAGUGAGCUUAAGAACUUAGAAACAUUAAUAAGAUCAUACAUGGUAUAAUGGCUAACUUUGGUAGUGUUUUGGUGAUUGUUUUGGUGAUUCUCUUUCCAUAAAUGCAUUCAUAAUGGUGUGGGAUGCUCAGGUGCAAGAGACAUAGGAGGUAAUCAGACGUAGGUAUAUAACAAUUAUAUAAAGGUGCGUUUGGUUUGUUGAAUCUUAAAUUACAUUUCGUAAUUUCAUAAAAGAAAAUUAUUAAUUAAAUAAACCCAAGUUCGUAAUUUGACCUAACAUUAAAACUCAAAAUUUACAUAUAAGAAAAACUCCGCUCAAUAGAUAAUUUUUUUUAUAAAAAUAAAAUACUCUUAAUAAUUAAUACAAUAAACCACAAAGUAGUAUGAAGAUAAAGUAUAAUUUUAUUUAAAAUUUUAGAUUUCGCAUAUACUCACGUCACGCACACAUAGAGAGCAAGUAGUAUGAAGUCAAAGAAUAAUUUUAUUUAAAAUUUUAGAUUUCGAACAUACUCACAUCACAUAAACACAAAAAGUUACUCAAAAAAAAAGUUUAUUAUUGUUGUUUUAAAAGUUCAUAUCUGAUUAAAGGAAUUGAUUGGCAAGUAAUUAAUUGUACUUUUGAGUAAAUAGGGUGAAAGUGGAACUAGUUGAAGUAAACAGUAACAAGUAUAUUUUAGAGAUAAGGUGGGGUUCAUGGGUUUGUCAUAGGUUCAAUUGAUGGAGUUGAUUCAUGAGUACAGUUUAUGGGAGCGAAGUUCAUGAAUCUGAAUUUAAGAAUGAGUUUAAAUGAUGAUGUAUUUAUUUAUGUUUAAUAUAAAAAUAAUAAUAACAAAAUAUUAAAUAUUAUAAUAAUAUUUUAACAUGAGAUAAAAAAUAAACUAAAUACAAUACCGCUAAGCAAACUUUACCAUAUAUGCCCACCUCCACUUCCUUACAUAUAUUCUAUUGCCCUAACUUCUACAAUUUCUUUGUGCCUUCUUCAGAUCUAAUCUAUAUAUUAUUUCCAAAAUUGUAGAUUAAUAGGCUACUCUACCUAGCGUCGAGCAGUCAAUGUGUCAAUGGGCAUGAUUAAAACAGUGGACACGUUUUUAGAGGGUUAUUUAUUUAUUAGGAAAUAUAAAAAAUCCUUAUUGCAUAAAUUAAUGAAUCAUCACUCAGCAGCCCUAAUUUAGAUAAUAUUUUUUCUUAUUCUUUUAUCAAUUAUAUAUAAUACUCUAGAGCUGGAUUCCUCCUUCGCACCUUCUUCCCUUUUUUUUUGUUCUUUUCUUUCAUUUGAAAGUUUAAAACCCCUUACGCUUCUUCAUUUCCUCUCAUCUCGCCAUGUCGUACACCGCCCACCAUGGAGUUAUCUCCUUCCAUUUCUUCGUCCUCUUGCUCCUCAUCUCUCCGCCACCUUCCACUGCCCAAGUCCAACCCACCAGCCCAAACGACGAACAAUACUCUUACGCGCGUUUCAGCCCUUCCUUGGCCAUAAUCGUCGUCGUUCUAAUUGCUGCUUUGUUCUUUUUGGGUAUUUUCUCGAUUUACAUCCGCAACUGCUCCGAAUCCAACGCCAAUGGAAGCAGCGUCAAUCCUGUUAACGGCGAAGCCGGCCGUUCGCGGCGUGGGACGCGUGGACUUGAAGCGUCGGUGAUCGAGACUUUCCCCACCAUGAUUUACUCUGAAGUUAAGGUUCAUAAGAUCGGUAAAGGAGCUCUGGAGUGCGCAGUUUGUUUGAAUGAAUUCGAAGACGACGAAACGCUGCGUUUAAUACCGAAAUGCGAUCACGUUUUUCACCCUGAAUGUAUUGAUGCUUGGUUGGCUUCUCAUACGACCUGCCCCGUUUGUAGAGCUAAUCUCGCUUCUCAACCAGGUGAUUCUGGAGUGAGUCAACCCACUGAGUUGAAUGAGAUCGCCACCGAGAUAGACCUCGAGGCUCCGAACGACAGCAGUGACUCGGAAAUGGAAGGAGAAGAAAGGAGAAUAAACAAUAAUAAUGUCAGCAGUGACGUAGAAGGUGGUGUUGCUCUGGAGGUUGAAGUAGUUGACUUGAACAAAACUUUAAAUAGGAAUCGUACACGUGGAUCAAUAUCUAGCCGUACACGUAAAUUCUUUUUUCCGCGCUCCCACUCAACUGGCCACUCUUUGGUCCAGCCCGGUGAAAACACCGACCGAUUCACCUUACGAUUGCCGGCUGAUGUUCGAAACCAGUUAAUAAACCGGAAAUUGAACCGGGCAACGAGCUUGGUUUUGCCUAAGGAAAAGGGUUCCCGACCCGGGGAAGAUGGUGGAAGUAGUAGAGGGAAGUCUUCUAUUCGGCUCAAUAAGAUGGACCGGGGAGUUAAGUCAGACCGGUGGCUUUUUAGUAUGUCACGAUCAUUUUUUAGUAGAGCAUCUUCCGUAAGGUCACCAAAGGUGACCAAUGAUUGUGAAGGAACAUCAAGUUUGCCGGCUGGACCCACGGCUGGCUCAAGCCGUCCUCAGGUCUAAUGGCUCUUAUUUUUCCCCACCAAAUUUAAUAAUAUGUACAUUAUCUAUGCUAUGUUUAUUUUUUCCUAAAAAAAUAUUUUUUUGUUUAUUAAUUUAAUUUGAUUUUCUGGAGCAAUGCAUGUAAGAUCACAUUCACGAUUGACCAUUUCAAUUGGAAAAAAAAAUGCCUGACGUUUGAGUUUGAAUAUUCUUUUCAUUCAAUGGGGGUGAUGUAUCUGUUUUAUUAUUGUUAUUAUUAUUUUUUAAAAAAAUAGAUUAUUAAUAAGAAUUAUUAACAAUAGUAAUACAAAACAUGACAUAUAAUAUAAACUAUAAAGAAAUGUACAAAUAUUAUGUCUGCAUAAUAAUCUCAAAAAAGAGGACAAUUUGACCAUAACUACAACACUGAAACAACUCAAAAAACAAAUCAGAUAUGAUCAAUUUAAUUCAAGAAAAAAUUGACAAAAACCUUAAGAGGCGCAUUGCAUCAAUGAUACAUAAAAAGCUUAAGUCUUAGAUAAUUUAUACUCCUCCUCAUCUUAAAUCUAUCAUUAUCACUAUGAUCCAGCAUGAUAAAACCCUUCGAAAAUGGUUCCUAAUAGAUCUGACCACAUUCUUAUAUUGACAAAUCUCGCAUAUAUACCAGAACAUAACUAAAAACUAAAAGCAAACUAAAAUAAUAUUUGCUUUAAAGAAAAUAAACUGGACAAAACAAAAACUACAAAAAAAAUGUGGGAAACCAUAAAAUUAUGGAUAAAAUAAAACCAUAAAAAUGUAAACUAAAAUUUAAAAAAAAAAGUUAAAUGUUAAAAAGACCGCAAUUACGAAGCAAAGAUUUAGUUUGAAAAAAUUAAUCGUUAAAAAGCUUUUAUGUAAAAAAAAAAAAAAAAAAAGAAAGGAAGAAGAGCGUUAAAUAUUUGUUUUUGACUGCCACCUUAUUUCUUUUUCUUUAGAAAAUAAACAUAUUUCCCAGAAGCUACAUGGCACUUUGAUAGGAUAAGAAAUGAAUAAGAAUAAAAGAGUUAGGAAAAAAAAUCAUGAAAAUGGUGGACAUCAACUGAACUGGUGUUGUUACCUAUAUAUUUUUGGAUUUUUGAGUUAUAAAGUAAACUGAUUUAUAACUAAAUAAUGAUUUUAUUUAAAUAUAAUUAGAUAAUAAUUAAUUAUAAAUAAAUUUUAAAAUUUUGAAAUUAAAUUUAAAAUCCUAAACCAUAAAUCUAAUAUAUUAAAUUCUGAGUUAUUAAUAUUUAUUUAUAACCGUUAUGAUAAAUGUUUAAUUAUGUUUCGAUAAAACUAUUAGUAUUUAUUUAUAUGUCUUUGAUAUUUUUUUGUUAAUUUAAUGAUGAUGUGUCAUAUUAUUAUUCACUGAUGGUGCAUGAGACUUAAGCACUUAUGGUGCAUCGAUUAUUAUUCCUAUUUGAUAUGGUUAUUUAAAUUUGAUAUUAUUGUGUUUUUGUUUUGUUUGGUGUACAUAUCUAACAACACGAAAAAUUUUGCUAAGGGUAAACUACACUUAGUGCCAUUAAACUAUUAGUAAAUUUACGUUUUGGUCACUCGAAUUUAAAAAGUUACAAAAUGGUCACUGAACUAUUCAGAAGCUCUCAUUUCAGUCACUAAACUAUUCAAAAGUUUUUUAUUUAAGUCAUUGGGCUAUUAGGUUUUUUUAUUUAGUUCGGCUAGUGAGCUCCAAGUGACAAUUCAACGAUUGGUAAGGUGGAUCCAUCGAUGAGUAGAGGAACAUACCUUAAAUCCAAGUUGAUCUGACUGUUAGUGUAGGAGAUCGAAGAAAAAAACUAUUUAGAUUUUGGUUUGUGGAUUCAUGACAUUCAAAGUUGUUUCUUUAAAAAACUGAACUAUAGAAGAGAAAAGGAAUGAAAACCUUCGAUUAGUUAAGUCGAUCUGACGGUUAGUGCAAGCGGUGCGAACAAAGAAGGUCAUACCACAAUAAUUUUAACAGCUCGGUGACUUAAAUGAAAACUUUUAAAUAAUUUGGUGAUCAUUUUAUACUUUUUUGAAGUUAAGUGACAAAACAUAAACUUACUAAUAGUUUAACGGCGUUAGAUAUGAAUUUAUCCUUCUAAUAAAAACUUUUUAAUAUGAGGUUUCAAUGGGUUAGAUAAAAAAUUAUCAUUAUGAGAAAUUAAGUAAUUUGUACAACAUGGAAACAUUUGUUAGGUUCAAAAUAGGUAAUUGCAAGAAGAAACUGAGCAAUGUCAACUACUUCAAGUACUAGUGAAAAACAGGGAAAGAAAAACAAUGAAUACUCGAUAUAUUCACGUAAAUUUUUGUUCCUACGUCUGGAGGACCUUACCCAGAGAAAUAGUCCACCAUGGUAGCACCUUUUACAACAAAUAAUAACAAGUACUAACACUCGCUAAAUUAGCAAUCUCACUUUUGCAACUAAGAUCUAAAUCAUUCUCAUCUAAGUUUUCCUCGUAAAAACUUAGGAUAUCAACCAAGUGACUCACCUUUGUGUUAUUAUUAAUUAGUUUCAAACCAUACAUUUCAUUACUUAUUAUAUGUUUUUUUUAAACACAUCUUUGUGUUUUAAGUACGUAUACAUAUGUGAUAAAAUUCUUAUUUUUUAAUAAUUAAAUUGGUUUUACUAGUUACCUAAGGGAAGUGAGGUCAUAUAGUUAACACUAAUGCAGUUUUUUGAAAGCAGCCUAAUUGGAUUUUGGUGUAAUUGCUUGUAAUUAUAUAAGGGUGACAUGUUUGAAUAACCAUUGUAAUUAGUGGGUCUUAUCGAAUUCAGUGUAAUUAGAGCACCCCAAGUAUACUUUCCAAUUCUUAAGGGGGAGGGUGAGAAUUGGAGUAAUUACACCCAAAUCCAAUUUUAAUUUUUUUUAUAUAAGUUAUACAAAUUAUAUUAUAAGCAUGAACACGUAUGAUUGUUUGGGAUGCUUAUGGCCAAAAAUUUAUUAUAUUAUAAGUUCUAAAAUUUUAUAUUAUAAAAAUAAUUUGUGUAUUUUAUAAAGUUAUAACAAAAAUAUAUAUUAUUUAAAUUCUAAAAAAUUCUAAAAUUAUGGCCAAAAUAUUUAUUAUAAAAAAUAAUUUACAUGCUAUAAAAAUGUUAUAAUAUGUUUAUUUAUAAAAAAUUUAUGGCCAAUAAAUAUAAAGAUAACAUGUUUAUGUGUCAACGCUAUAUAUUAUAAAUAUAAUAUACUUAUUUAUAAAAAAAAAUUGGAGUUUUUUUUUUAUCACAACUUAUUCAGAAAAGAAACUUUCUAAAGUUAUGACAAAAAAUGGGUUUUUUAUAAGUAGCGCUAUAAAAGUUUUGGACAAUUUAUAGAAAUUUUCUUUUAUAAAUGUUACAUAUUAUAAAUUUUAUAUUAUUUUUGACUUAAUUUACGUAUUCUAAGAAUAUAUAUAACUUAACAUAAGUUUUUCUCCAAAUUAAGUUUAUAUAAGUUUUUUGUAAUUAAAGUUACAGCUUAUUUGAAUUGUGAACUCAAAUAUUAUAAGGUCAAUAUUAGUUAUGUAAAUUGAAAAGAUUUUCUUGUACCAUAUAAUGGGGGUAUGAUACCAUUUGAGAGAAUGGUGCCAGACACAAGCAUCAUAAACAACUUGUAAAUUCUUUAACACGAGAUAUUCAAGGUUUCAAAAUAUAGUUGAGAAGACAUUUAUUGUUCUAAAAAGAUAUUUCUCAUAUUAACAACAUCAUUGUAGUAUAGUAUAAAAAAAAAGGGUUAGAUCGUACUAGUAUGUUGCAUAUUUCAUAACUUCAAUCAUAAGUAGAAUUGAGAUAAUCCAGACUUCGAAAAGUACACAAAAGAAGGGUAUCUUGAUAAUCUUAUUGAUAUAGAUUCAAAUCCAGAUGAUGAUAAGAAACAUAUGUUAAAUAUUAAAAGGGAAUAACCCAACAAAUAUGUACUAGAACAAUUAGAUAAAAUUGCAUAUGAUGUUUACUGUUCUUACUAUUUUUAUUAAUAAUCGUAUUAUCAACUACUUUUUUAGACUAACAUAAUAUAUAUGAUGAUUUGAUUUUAAUUUUUGUUACUUGUUCAUACUAAUAUUUUUUUAUAAUAAUUAAUAAUUUUAAAACUAUAAAUGAUAUAAAUAUGUAAUUAUAAUUUUAACAAUCAAACCUGACACAAAGAUUUAUAAUAUAAUUAAGCUCUGUCAGUCAAACACGUCUAAUACAAUAGAGUUGAUUUCAUUUACCUCUCUACAUGGAAAGAGUUUUGGAAGUACCCAAUCACUAAAAAGCCUUUAUUAUUGGGCCUAGGAACCACAUAAAUGGGCCUCAAAACGAAAACCUUAACCUAUGGUUUUUCACUUCAUCCUAAACCAAAAUUCAGCAGGAGAAAAAGGAGGAAGAAGAAGAGAAAGAAGAAAAAAGAUGGAGAAAGAUGAAGAAAAUCAAAACAAGAAAAAAACACAAAUUGUUAUAGGAAUUCCAUCUUAUAAGGAAGUAAUUGAGAGCUCACAAACAAAGUCAACCCCGCCCUCUCUUUUUACUCCUUCUCAAUCUUUUUCUCAAGCCUUCAAUUUCAUUAAAUCCUCUGAGUUCUACUCUCCUCCUCCUCCUCCUCCUCCUCCUGCGCCCAGCUCCCCUCUUUUCACCCCAAGGUGAUGUCUUCUUCUUGAUUUUAACUUACCCCUUUUUUUAAUUUUCACAAUUCAGUUCAAUUUUACCGUAAAGUUUUCUUCUUUCUAUUGAAAUUGGCUCUAUCUUUUCUGGGUAUCUUUUUCUCUUUAGUUUGGUUUGAACCCUUUUGGUCAAUUUUAAUUUUUUUUUCAUUUAUUGGUCUAACUUGCUUGAGUCUCCCAUUACUAAGUGCGUUCUUUUUCCUUUUUCUUUUUUCCUAAUUGAAAUGGUUUGUAGAUAAUUUUCUGUUUCUUCAUUUUAGUUGGACUUUUGGUUUAGCUUGUUGAGUUUGAUAUGAUCAGGAAACUAGAAUUCAUAAAAAAAAUUUCUGUUCAAUUGGAAUAGCUUGUAAUUUUUGUUUGAAACUUUUGGUUUAUUUUAGGCCAACUGGUGAAGCCAAUGUGCCUUCUUCUUCUUCAGCUGCCUCUACCUCAGCUUCCCCUGCUGUAUCAUCGAGUUCGUCUCAGAGUCGCAAUGCUAUCCUUGUCAGCCAUAGGCAGGUGAUGUUCUUGAAUUUUGGCGGCAUUAAUUGUUACAUCGUCUUUACUGGUAUAUUUUUCAUUUUCUAAGAGUAAAUUGUCUGCUAAUUCUCUGCCAUCUCUUGUUUUAACCUGACUACCUUUGAUAGGCAAUACAGUUCACUUUACAAAUGUUUAACCUUAUCUGAUACGGGUAUAUUUAAAACAGUCGUCUUGAAAUUUUAGAUGUCAUGCGUCAUCUCUUGAUUUUUUCUCACUUGGUUUUGAUAUUAUCAUGCUCCCUUGAUCUAUUUCAGUUCAUUAUCAAUGUUAAAAAUAACCUUAUAAUCCUAAACCUCCUGAGGAAGAACCUAGCUUCACCAAAAAUUGUUAUUAGAACAGAAAUUGCCAGACUUCAAUAAAUAUAACUUCGAUUCUUCUACUUUUACUGCAUUAGCCUAAAUAUAGAUGUACUUUCACCUCAUGCAGAAGGGUAAUCCCUUGCUCAAACAUAUCAGGAAUGUGAGAUGGGCUUUUGCAGAUGUUGCUUGUGACUACUUGCUUGGUCAGAACACGUGUGCCCUCUAUUUAAGGUUUGAACUAUUACCAUAUGGCUUGGUGGCACAAUAGUGCUGUUUGUGUGAGUUCAACAAGAAAUGUCUUAAGCCUUUAUUUGAAUAUGGUUAAUUCUUAUUAUGUGCCUCAUAAGAUAUAGGGUAAGUCUUACUUGCAUCCUAGUUUUUGUUAUCUUUCAUAAGAUUUCUAUAUGUACACAACCUUCUAGAAGGAGCAAUUUAAUAAAUUGAAAAUGGUUUGGGUUUUUGAUAAGAUUACAUGCUCUUUCAAGUUUUUAGUAUAUUUAAGUGGGAAAAAGGUAACUUCGUUUUCUAGCAAAAGGGAUUUUGGGCUAUCUUUUAUAUUCAAUGUUUUCUUUCGUAGAUCUAUUACAUUUUGUGCUUCUGUUGAAAUUUUCUCUAAUGCAUUCAGCUCAUUGAGUUGACUACUUGAUGCAGUCUUCGGUAUCAUUUGCUGCAUCCGGACUACCUAUACUACCGUAUAAGGGAACUACAAAAGAACUUCAAGCUUCGUGUUGUGUUAUGCCAUGUUGAUGUGGUAACCUUCCUUCAUUUUGAGGAUAUUCUUAUAUGCCUUGUUUAUGGUUUCCUAUAAUUCAGGAUUUCAAACAAUGAUUAGGUGCAUUCUGGACAUUAUAAAUAUGGAAUUUUGGUCCUGUCUUGCUUUGUGUGAUAAAUGAACAUCUACACAUUGUUACUUGCUUGUUCGCAUCUCAUGCCAACAAGUAAAAAAGUGAAACCUGGUUGCUCAUUGUUUAGAGCUCUCUUUACACAGGAGGAUGUUGUUAAGCCUUUGCUUGAAGUUACUAAAACAGCUCUGCUUCAUGAUUGCACUCUAUUAUGUGGUUGGAGGUAUGAUUAAGAAUUAUGGAUGCAUUGUAGAGUAAAUGCAAAAUAUUCUUUUAUGAAUCUGUGAAUGUUUCCAUUUGCUACAGUAGUAUUCUCUAAUCAUUUAAAGUUCUAACCUAGUUAGGUCUUAUCUAUUUUGUGAAUUUUAUGUUAAAAGAUAAGUUGUGCUAUUUAUAAACUGUUUUCUUGAUAAAUUUUCUUGCUAUUAUUUGGUGUAGCUUAGAGGAAUGUGGUCGCUACUUGGAGACCAUAAAAGUAUAUGAAAACAAGCCUGCAGACCUCAUUCAAGGCCAAAUGGAUACAGACUACUUAUCAAGGGUAUCAAUUUUCCUUCUUUUGAAGCUUCAGUGUAUGAAUAAAUAUACUCACUAUGUCAUGCCAGACCAUUAUAGUUUUUUAUUAACUAAUUUGCAAAACCCAAAUUUAAUGUGCAAUCAUUUAUUUCCAUUGUAUUUGGUACAAUUGAUCUGAAACUAGUUUUCUUGUAAUUGUAGCUAAAUCAUGCUCUUACAACUGUUCGGCGUGUUAACAAGACUGAUGUGGUCACUCUUGGUUCUACUUUUGGGGUGCGUAUGCUGUUUUACGUCUAAAAUGCAGUGUUUUAUUUGUUGAUUUAUGUGACCUGGUUAUCAUGUUUUUGCAGUCUCUGUCUAGUAUCAUGGAUGCAUCCAUGGAAGAUCUUGCUCGAUGUCCUGGAAUAGGAGAACGGAAGGUAAUAUAUAUGUCUGUGUGUAUACAUAUGUAUGUAUUUGGACGAGCCAUCGUAUGCCUGUUGAUCCAAGUUAUUGACUACAAGACUAUACAGUCUCUAGUUUCAGCUUAACAUACCCUUUUUUAUUGUUUUCAUGAUCUUAAUGAAUCAGGUAAAACGUUUGCACGAUACUUUUCAUGAACCCUUCAAGCGCAUAGUUUCCAGUAACCCUUCUGUUCCGGAAACUCCUGUAUGCAAAGAUGCUGAACCAAGCUCAGCAAGUGAAGUCAUAGAAGCAGACAAGGAUACUGAAGAUACGAGCAAACGUAGGAAAAAAGAAAAUGAAAUUAACAUUAAAUCAGCUCUAACUGCUGCAUUUGCCAAGUAUGCUGGUAAAAAUAGUAAAAUGAACAAUAAAUCCGAGGGUAAUAAGGGAGGAGGAACCCUUGCUGCUGCAGUACCAGAACCAGCAACUAAAAAUUCUGGGGAAGGGGUCGAAACAUGAGCUCCAUUUGCUACUUCAAUCUAUCUCCAACGGGUAAGCAUUGACUGACGCAAAUACUCAAUGAUACGUUGCGCUUAUGCUUAGGCAUUGAAUUUUUGGUGAUCUCUUACAUAGGUUUGAAAUUCAUUACUUUCUAGCAUGUAUUUUUAUUUGGAACAGAAUCUGUCAAUAUUUGUCUCAAGUAAUACAAGGAUUUUAGAUAGUUGCAGAAUGAAGUGAUCAUUUCCCUGGUAUUUAAAGUUUAAGUUGCACAAUUUCAUGCUUCAUCUCUUUCAGCAAUCAUAAUUCUUAUAGUUGGUAUGUUUGAAAGGAUCUAAUUAUGGAACUUCAUUGUGAUUAGCUGACUAAUUCAUAGGAGGACAAAUAUAUUUGUCAAGCGUAACUCUUAUAGAAUAGUUCAAAAUUAUGCUGAAUUCUCUGAAAUUUCAGUAUCGUGAUUGUUCAUCAGGUUUGGGUUGAAAUGGACAACUACACAAGGCUUUCGGGGUUUCUCUACUUGCCUCGUAGCAUCUGAUGUAACAUAGCCAAUAUUCUCUUUUACCAAGCUGACAGUCUCAAGUUGUUUAAGGAAACCAAGAAAUUUGUGCCGAGACUCGCUCUCAAUUUUCGAGGUAUUGUUCAUUAGUUACACGACAUCGGACAAAUUGUCCUAGUUGAAAAUUAUGGGUUUUAUCAUUUAUGUGGAGCCAACAAGGCAUUGGUGAACCUAGUUUUUUUAGCCCUACUCGGAUUUUGUUAUCUUGUAAUAAUAUUGAAGCUAGGUUCUGAAGUCUGCAUUGUUUCAUUGCAAAAUUUUGGUACUCUUUGAAUACUACAAAUUUUCCUUUCAUAUUUUUUGGCAUCUUACGAAAUUAUACAAAAAAAUGUUUUACGUGAAAAAUGAAAGGCAUUGAACUCGAGUUCAUCCAUGCCCAAUACCAGGGCUCGAUCCGCAAGUUCGUCUGUGAGGUAGUGUAGUGUUUGCGCGUGGGUGGGUAAGUGAGUUUUUACUUUGUAUAUAUAUAAAAAAGAAAAACAUUACUAUUUUCUGAUCUCCAAGACUAACUUAUGGUUUCUAAAAAGAGAAUAAUAUUGUCUUCAUUAAUCAUUUUACAACGAAUUCAUACAAUAAUAUGAAUGUAAAGAAGCUUAUUUUUGGCUAAGGGAAAAUCCACUUAUAUUCCAGAUAUGAGUACAUCACUUCCUUAACCGAUUGGAGUCGGAAGCUUAUUUUUUCUCGAAGUACCAAUGGCCGACACUUUCAAAAAAGAGUACAAGGAUCCGAACUUCUAAGCAUAUUAAAAAAAAAAAAAACCCAUGUACGAUAUAUGCUUGUAUUUAACAUUUACUUUACCCUUGAAUCCGGAUAAUAUGGAUUGAUUAGGCUGUUUUGUCAUUCUGGCAAUGUAGAUUCUUUUCCUAUUUUAUGCAACAAGAAGAAAAGGGAAAGGAAUAUGUGGCUCUGCAAUUCUCAAAGGUAUUAAUAAUUCUUGUGACUGGAGCUUUGUCAAUGAAACCUAGUGGAAGCAGAAGAGUUAAAAUUUUUAGCUAAAGGGAUCAGUGACUGCACAACUUCCACCAUUAGAGGUCUGUAAUCAGCUUCUGGUUGCACACACAUAGCAGCAAUGGCAGCCACCUGUGGAAAUAUUAUAAGUUUCGUCAGCAGCUUGGUGAAGGCAUUCAUUUGAUGGUAUAUUGAUUUAAAACAUUAAUAAAUAUCAUAGAAGCAAACUUUACCUGAAUUAGAUCCUUCUUUGAAUACUGUCCUUGUAUAGCUGGAUCAACCAUUUCGUCUAUUUUCUCUCUGUUUGUUAGCCUUGGAAGUGCCUGUUAAAUUAUCAACAAUAUCUAAGCUAUUCAUGGCAUUGAAAUUAGAGACUUAUUUUAAUUUCAAAAAGUUGAUCAUGUUCUAGUUGUCUUUUAAACCUUGCAGGUGCAAGUUUAAAUUGUAAAAAGCAAUACAUAUCCGACAUUUGUGUCCAAUACAUAUGAGAGAUUCCGUAUCUAACACUAACCCAUGAAACAAGGACAUGUUCUCCAGGAGGCCUCUUGAUGUCAACCGGUACGCGGCCUGUUAAAAGCUGUAAAAGCACCACGCCAUAGCUGUAGACAUCUGAUUUUGUGGUAAGUUUGCCUUUGGAAGCGUAUCUGUAGUGCCAAAAUUGAUGGAAUGAAAAUUCAAGACCAAGUUGUGCACAAAAUAUUUGCAUAUUCAUUCUGAUAAUGAAACAGAUGCAUGAUGGAGCACUCACUCGGGAGCUAGAUAUCCGGUGGUUCCCAACACGCGUGUCAAAAUCUGACCAUUGAUCUUGUCUGAGCCCAUUUUGGCCAAUCCAAAAUUGGAGACCUUGGCUCGGAGGUUUUCAUCGAGUAAUAUAUUGCUGCACUUAAAGUCACGGUGGAUAACAGUAGGGGAGGCAUGUUCAUGGAGGAACUCAAGGCCUCUAGCACAAUCCAGUGCUAUGAUCAACCGGUUUCCCCAAUCCAAUGGCCUAUGUUGAUUGCUGGGAUGAUGAAGAUGCUGUUGAAGAUUACCAUUGGGCAUGAAUUCAUAUAUUAGUAUUCUAUGUUGCUGGUCAGCACAGUAGCCUAAUAGCUUCAAUAAGUAAGGACAGCUCAAGCGGCUUAGUAGAUCCACCUGCAGCAUAAAAUGCAGUAAUUUGAGCGAGCUCGAUCGAGUUUCAUUUUUAAAGUUUUAACUCGACCAGAGAUAAAAAUCAGAAGAACACAAGUGGGAGACAAAUUAAUUCACCUCCAUCCUAAAACCACGCUCCCCUUGCUUUCCAUCUCUGUGAAGCCUCUUAAUGGCUGCCAUGGUUCCAUCUGCAAGAACUCCUUUAUACAUUACACCCAACCCUCCAUUGCUGAUCACGUUUGCCUCACUGAACUUAUCAGUUGCUAGCUCCAACUCUUUGUAAGUAAAAACUUGGACCCCACCAUAUCUACUUGGAGGUGUACGGAUGCUUCCUCCAUAUAGACACCUUGCCUUCACAUCUGCUCCAUUUUCAGUUGAAAUCAACGAACAAUGGUCAAUCUUAGUAAUUAAAUAAGCUUGGAAAAUGGACACUUACCAGGACUACAAUUCAAGCUUACAGUAGUAUGAGCAAUGAACCUGCUACUGGUACUAUUGUUAAUGCUACCACUUCCAUUGCAACUGUCAUCAUGUUUUCUGACAGAUUUAAGUCUACGAAACAUUACUAUAAGCAGAAAGAUUGCGAAAACAACGAGAAUCGAGAUGAUUGACGCGAUGAUUAUGACAAAGGAGUUGAAGGAAAGGUUGGGGUUAUGUUGAGGCAUGGAAUGGAAAUGAUGAUGAGUAUGGUUUUUUGGUGUUGACAUUGCAGGCGGUGUUGCAGUAGCACUAGUUAUGCUAUCUUCCAUUAAAACAGAAGCAAUAUAAGAAAAAUGAGUUUUAAAAAGGAAAGUGUUGGGAGAAAAAUAAUAUGAAAACAUAAAUAUACCAAAAUGUAUAUAAUCAAUCAUGACUACGAAUUAUCAGAUCAUCUGUAUGGCCAAAAACAGCUCUUUCUCUGUCUGUCUCUCCCCCGUGAUAAAACAAGAGUGCCUUACGUACUUCAUUCGUCCAUUCUAUUGUAAUCUUCUAAGGAAUUGUCAUUGUCUUUGUAUCAGUCACUGUCUUAUAUCCAAAUCGUAUGCAAAUGAUUUCAUAAACUCCACUCCAUCCAUGUUAACUUUUGGUGUUAAAAACCAUGGCUAUGUACAAGCCGUAAAAAGCUCAGUUGGACCUGACCUAUGGUGGAAUUUGUCAGACCCACCAAUCAAAUUGUAGCUUUGAGCCAUGUGUAGGAAAUUUAACUGAGCUUUCUUUUACAAAGACAAUGCUUACCUUCAAGUUUCUUACCAGGAAUCUGAAAUGGAAGUAUUUGGGUUUGUUUUGUCAUAGGAGUUUACUUUUUGUUUUCAUAGGGAAGUGUAGAAGCAAAAAUGGUACAAAAUACAAAGUUCCCAGAUUGUCACACGCUCACAUGUGACAUUAAAGUUUACUAAACAAUCACUGCCUAAUUCAAUCACGAGACUUCUUUAGGUUCCACAAUUUAAUAAUCAAACGUCACUAUCUCAAUUCCAUUCUGCAUAACUCAAUGAUUGGACUAGCAUAAACUACAUCGUUUUAGUCAUUUAAUUUAAAACACAUUACGUUAUCAUCACGGAAUUAUUCAAAAGUUUUCAUUUAAGUUAUCGAGUUGUUAAAAUUUAUGUUAUAUGCUUUUCUUUAUUCGCACUGUUUGUAUAAAUCGAAAGCACUAUUUCUUCUUCUCUUCUACAGUUUAGUUUUCUUUUCAUGAAAUAACUUUAGUUUUCUCUGAUCUCCAAAAUUGACCGCCAAAUUGACUUCGAUCUAAUAUAUGUUCUUCUACUCGUUGAUGGAUAUUGAUCCACCAUAAUGAUCGUCGAAUCAUCGCUUGAAGCUCACCUGUGUAACUUUAUUUUAAAAAAACACUUAACGACCUAGUGACUUAAAUAAAAACUUUCGAAUAGUUCAAUGAUCAAAUUGUAACAAAAAAAGUUAUCCAUAAUUUAGUGACUAAUAAUGUAAUUUAUUGACAUUAAAUUUUUUUUCGAAUAUUAAAAUUCGAUUAUUUCCUUUUUAAAAAUGAUUACCAUUCACCAGAUAAUCCUACUUGGUUGACUUUCAUGCCAAUUUUUAUUUGGCAAGUUGUUGUUACGAGGUCCCAAUUUCCAUCAUUAUCCGGAUAAUGACUGUAAAAUAUCCCUUAAGCAAAGAAGAAGAGAAGACUCAUUACAUAAUUAUAACCCACUUAGCAUUGAUUAAUUUCCAUAAUUAUUGUCACAAAAGGACAAAGCAGCAAAAAAAAAAAUAAUUUAAAUCCCGAAAUCAGCGGGUCAAGUGUGAAAUAAAUAUUAUUGAAAUAAUCCGAGACAGUUGAUUAAAGUCAUUGAAGACGGGCAAUUAGCUGUUUCUAUUUUAGUUUUGGUUAAAAGAAAUUUUAAGUAUAUUUUCAGGAAGGAUAAUCGAAUUAUUGAUGGGCUUGUUAAAUUGAUCACUGAUAAUAAGAAAAAUGUGUAGAUUUUCGAUGAGGCUCUUAGUGAAUUAUUAAUAAAUUUAUGUUCGGAUAAAAUGAGUAGUCUAUUUAUUUAGAGUAGUUUGAUGUAAUAAUUUUGAUUUUAUUUUUCACCAAAAAAAUAAUAAUUUGCAACAUUAAUUGUGUUGUAGAAUAGUCGUGCAUUCAAUCUGCUUCGAUUCAUAUGUAAACUUGUAACCCUAAGUCAAUAUGGCCAUUAUUAAGAAGAAUCAUCUAACAUGUUGGGAAUUUAAUCUCUAAAAUAUUAAAUUUUAAACUCAAAAUUCAUAUAUUUAAUUUAAUAUUUAUCCCUUAAUAUUAUAAUACAUGCCUAUAUCUAUUAGUACUAUUAUAUUGUUGUAAGUGAUUUUAGGGUAAAUUACUUAGUUGGUCACCUAAUUUUUAAUGUGUUCUCAUUUUAAUCACUAAGUAUUAAAUCUCUAAUGGCGGUUAAUUGUACACGUCAUAUUAUGUUUGCACUUUCAUUUUAAUCACCCAACUUUUUGAUCGCCCAAAAAAUAUACUUUUCAAGUAUUUAUGUGAGUAAUAAAAAAAUCAAUGGUUAAAGUGAAAAAGUGGUACAAACUAAAUUUGAUCUCAUUGUCGAAAAUUCUAAAUUUGGGUUUUGAAAUAUAAAUUUUUAAAUAUUAAGAUUCAAAAUUAUAUUAACAAAUUGAUUUACGUUAUCAAUGAAUAAAAAUGUUUCAACAACUUAUUUAAUUUAUUUCGAUAUUUUGAAAUUAUUUUAAAAAAUUAUCAAUAAAAAUUAUUAUCUUUAAUAGUUGUCUAUGAAACCCAAAUUUCUUUUGACUGUUUGAUCUUAAAUCUUCCAUACUAAGCUAAAAGUAUUAAAAAAAUCAUUCUAAUUAAUUUAAUUAAUUAAUUUUAUCUACUAUGCCAAACAAAACUCAUAAAAUUUUUCAUCACUUAUUUACCCAAACGAAGAAGAAGCAAAUAUUUUCCUUUACUUUUAGUUGUCUAUGAAACCCAAAUUUCUUUUGACUGUUUGAUCUUAAAUCUUCCAUACUAAGCUAAAAGUAUUAAAAAAAUCAUUCUAAUUAAUUUAAUUAAUUAAUUUUAUCUACUAUGCCAAACAAAACUCAUAAAAUUUUUCAUCACUUAUUUACCCAAACGAAGAAGAAGCAAAUAUUUUCCUUUACUUUUAGCAUGGAUUCGAAUUAUAUAAUCAAAAGGAAUUUAAGAUUCUUUUGAGUUGAUUUCCUCAAUUUUAAAAUUUGAGUUAUUAAAUAUAAGUUAUUUGAGUUGAUUUCGUUAAUUUUAAAAAUUAAAAGGAGAUUAAAUUAAUUAUUUUGAAUGCUAUAGUAACAAAUCGGUUAACAUUAUCAAUAGAUAAAAAAAUAUAAUACAACAAAUACACUAAAAAUAUUAAAAUAAGUGUUUCCCAACAAAUUAAAAAUACUUGUUCGGGUCGUGCCGAGCUAAAAAAUCAUACCCAAGGCUCGGUCUAUUUUAAAAAAAAAGAACUUUAUUUUUUGUCUCAAGUCUAUUUUUCAAACUUAUAUUUUUACCCAAAUUCUCUUAUUUUUUGAGUUGACUUUUGGACAUGGAUAGAAUGAUUAGGUCUAAAGGGCCCAAGUUGGUUUAAAUUCAAACAUAGUUAGAAAAUGCAUGCUAUGCUAGGCUUUUUGAACAAGAGUCUUCACCAUUGAAGUAUCAUGGUUUUUACACAUAUUAAACAAUUUUUAUGUCAAUGACAAGGUAAGGAGUUUUUAUCUUUCGAGAGAUGGAGUAAAAGAAUGAUGCUAUUCUGAUCUUACUUUACCUUUGCAAGUAGGUAUAAGGGUAACCAAAAUCUCUUUAACCCUUCUUUCGUAAUUGACAAAUCCAGCUCACAUCUCUUCCAAGCACUUCUCCCCAUGCUUACCAACAUCAUGUCAGAAGGUCAAAUGAGGAAUGAAUUCAUUGACCUCGAUGGAUGAGAAUGUAGUUACUAUUAUUUAACUACGUUUACUAAUUUAUUUAUUUACUAUAUAUAAAAAAUAUUACUAAUCUAAUAUAAAUGGUUUUUACCCUCUUAAAUUGUAACUAUCUUACUAAUUUAUUUAUUAAAGCACAACGCAGUCAACUGUAUCUAUAUUUCACAUAGCGUUACAAAUGAAUGAAUACAAGAUGUAAUUGUUGAUCAAGAAUAAUAGUUAAGCCAAAAAUCUUCGUAGCAAUUAAAAUGCUCUUUCUUUCUCAUCUACAAUGAUAAUGAGUUUGCUUCAUCAAAGGAAGUUUAAUCUUACACUGUAACGGUGAACAAAUAGAGUUUGAGCACAACAGCUAGAGCCAACUGCAACAGAAAGAUGCCAGUGACGAUCAAGAACCAUCUUUCUCCAGCUGAAUUAAUAUGAGCUUUGAGAUUAAGUGCCACAAAAGUUGCUGACAUGAACCCAGCUACACCGGCAAUUACCCAUCUGAAAAUUUCCAAGGGGACAACGGAUAGACACUGCAAUCAAGUACAAGCAACAAUAAGUUAUGUUGUUCGGAUAACAGGCCUCACUUUAAAGAAAUCUCUAAAAGUCCAGGCAUUUGCUUUAACAGUGUUUUUAUUCGGAUUGUUUUCUCAGCUUUUUCAAUGUUUGGAAUCUCUUUAAAAGUUGGGGGGCAAGGGAGUUGGGGCGGGGGAUCAACUUGGAACUUUAAGAAAUAAACUUCCAAUAAAGUUUAUUGAAAUCCAAAAAAUAAAAUGAUAGAGAGCCAAAUGAACUAUCUUCGCAUUCAGAGGGGAAAAAGAAGAGAAAAAAAAAACUAGAGAGCUUACCAGUGCUGGAAUAAAGACAAAUAAUGAAUAUCCAUACAGACAAAACAGUUGGACAAGGCCUGAUGGUGCUGAAAAGUACUUGAGAAUAACAUACAAGAUAAGAGGAACCACAGUGACAUAGCCAUAGAACACACCAGCGGACCAAGUUACUAGAUUUAUGUCAUAAUCCCAUUCUUUUUUCUUGAGCUUGUGUGCUAUAUAAGUCACAAAAGUUCCAAUAGACGCUGCUACAAAUAUAAGAGUGGUGCAUAUCCAGAAUGGUCCAUAUCUGCACAACAUAAAAUUUUCAAUCAUGCAUGAUCAACUCUGUUUUCUCUUCUUUUAGGGUUUUACACACCUAUUCUUAAAGCAAAUUUUUUUGACCAUGUGCAACAGAAAAGAAACUUUCUAGUCUCAAGCUUGAAAAUUUUACCAUAUAUCUAAGUUCGACAAAUAUUCAAUGCUUAGAACAUCAUUUAAAAAUAAAUGAGUUACAGGGAGAAAACUCACAAAUCAGGGUUGGUAGCCGUUUUCUCUGUAAAUGUUCCUCUAAAUGGAAAGAGUGACUCCUUAAGUCUAUCAAUGAUGUCAGAAGUGUCAACAUCAAAGUAUGGCUUGUAUGCGGCAAUGGUGAAUGUACGAAACCAGCCACUCCCUUGUGGUUCACCAGAUCCAGGUUGAGAUCCACCAGCAGGUUUUGAAAAUGUAUCUGCCUCAAUAGCAAAGUAAUCAUUUGCCACCAACAUAACACCAACCAUUGUUCAUGUGAAAAUCUAAUUAGAUUUUUCAUUGAACUACAACAUAGCAGAUACUACAUCUGAUUUAUUUGAUCUAUUAACUGUUGCUCAACUAUUUGUUUUAUGCAUAGCAGAUAUUUCAAACACGUGAUCAAUGACAUGGAUCAUCUUUCAUGCUAUAAAAACUUUAUAAACCUAAUCUUUAGAUCACUAAUGAAUUUAUGCAAAAUGCCACUGAGAUCAUGAAUCCAAGAUAUAUAAGCACCAGGAUAAACAAAUCAAAGCAUAAGCACCAUCACAAAAGGAAUUCAAAUCAAAUGGAAUCGGAAAUACCAUCAGCAUCAUGAGGAGGUUGAGUUCCACCAGAGAUCUUCCCUUGUGCACCCGAUGGAGGAAACGUUUGAAGGUUCGAAUCUAUAAAUUUAAGCAAAUUAAUUAAUAAAAGUAGAACUAAAUCCACAAAUUAGCUACCUUAAAGCACUAAACAACACUUGAUUGACUUUACAAUUUCAUUAUACAUUAAAACACACAUUCAAUUCAUUCAUUUUAAACUCCGAUUUCCUUCCCUUUCCUGCAUUUUCCAGCAAUCAAUCAACUAAUACUACCACAUAUAAAAUAAAAUGAAAAGAAAAAUUUAAAUUCAGAUUCAGAUUCGCAAUGACAACUGAAAAAAAAAAAUAGUUCACCUGUAAAUUUAACGGCGACAUGACUGGGAUCUGAAACCGCCUGUGAAAUUAAGGAUUUAAAAAGCAAUAGCAAAUGAGAUCUGGUUAAUUUUAGCUUGAAAAAAGAAAAUUAAAAGCAAAAAUUAAGAAUAAUUAGACAAGAUACGAUGAAUUAUGAAACAUAACUUACGGGAACAGAUCCAGAAACUUUCUGAUUAUCAAUGCUUGUAUAACCUCCGGACAUCAUUUUUUCUUCUCUUUGUUCAAACAGAUCUCUCUCUUGCGCGUGUUGAAGUCCAGAGGUUUUAGCUUUUUGUUUACUUCUUCUCUUUUAAGAAUUAAGACAGAAUUCCAAAUAAGGGUGGAAAUUUGUCUCGCAUUUGUUUUUAAGUUUUUUUUUUGUAUAUAUAUAUUUGGUAAACUACAGUAGAAAGAUUUGCCUUUAUUCAUUUGGUUUUAAAAAGUUAGUAUAUGGAUAUUAAAUUAUUUAAAAUUUUUUAUUUAAGUCGUUUAAAUCGUCAUUGUAUGAUUUUUUUUGUUUAUACCGUUUGUAACAAUUGAAAGUUUAUAUCCUCUUUCUCUAUAGUUAAAUUUCGUUUUAUAAAACAGUUUUGAACUUUACGAAUUUGCUAAUCAAAAUACAAAUAGCUUUGAAGAUCGCAAAUUCACGAACCAAAAUCCAGAACAACUUUUUUCUUUAAUCGUUUGGCACUGACUGUCAAAUCGACUUGGAUCUAAUGUAUGUUUUUCUACUCAUCAAUGAGUACUGAUCCAUUAUACUGAUUAUCGAAUCAUCGCUUAGAGCUCGCUAAUCUGACUUUAAAAAACCCUUAACAACUCAGCAACUUAAAAAAAAAACUUUCAAAUAACUCAGUGAUCAUUUCGUAACUUUUAGAAGUCGAGUUACCAAAAUGUAAACUUUCUAAUAAUUUACCAUUUUUUUGAUCAAAUUUUAUUUGUAUAUAGUUAACCAUGUAUUUUAAAAUUUUAAAUUAAAAAUCCAUACUAUUAUUUAAGUCUCUAACUGAGUUGAUGUCACGAGUCAAUCGGAUACUAAUUCGAUUAGAGAAAUUAUAAAAAUAUCCUUUCAUAUUUAAAAUAAGUUAUAUUGUCAAAUACAUUGGUUUAAUUUUAAACUUACCACUCAACCAAGCUUUAUUUUGAAGUUUUAUACAUUUUAAUUUUAUUAUGCAUACGUAUUACCUCCAUAUAUAUUGAAAAUAUUGUUGAUUGAAAUAGUGCCAUAAAUUAACUCAACACCAACUUAAGAUCGAUAAAAAUACCAUGAUAAAUAAUUAUACUCAUUUAAUAUUCUUAAUAUUAUAUAUUCAUGUAUUUAAAUUUUAUUUUACUUGCAGUUUAAUCUAAUUUUUUUAUUUUAACAUCAUACAUACUUCAAGCGUUAUAAUAUUAAGAAAUUCAUCAUCUUUAGUGUUCAAAAUUUUACAGAAGGCAUGAAUCUUAACAUCGUGUAAUAAGUAAACCCGGACACCUCAUUAUAAGAGCAAGGUGGCUGCAAUCCAAGAACAUCCAAAACUUUCGUAACUCCUUUCUCGAUCUCUUUAAGGAAUUGAAUUACCAAUAAUCUUUGUUGCUUUUGCUGCUUCUUCUGUCAAAUUACAAGAGAAAAUAUAUUGUUAUUGGCCUUGGCAUAGACAUAUAUGUGUGUGUGUAUCUAUAUAAAAGAGAGUUACUAGCAUUCUGAAAGAUAAACAAAUACCUUUAGCAUGGUCAACAAAUUGUUUACCAACUUCAACGCUUUUAGAAAGGCUCCAGUCAGUAUAAGUGAAGUGCUCAAAUCAUCUGACAUUUUCACCUGGAACUCAUUGCGGAGCUUGCUAAUGCAUUUCUUGGCGUCCGGAGUAGUCCGAGCUGGUUUGCCAUCAUUGGGAAUUUCUUCUUGUAGUUGCAAUAGAGCAUCUUGGCAAUCUUUCAAAGUCUGUACAACUGUAAUAGCCCGAUUUUAGGCUUAGUCGGAACAGUGGUUUCGGGACCACAAAUCCGACGAAAAAAAAUGUAAUGGCUUGAAUUUUCAGAGGUGUCGGAACGGGGAUUCGAGAUCACUAAAUUCGACAAAUGGGUAGAAAAUAUUAUUAAUUUAGUAAGUAUAAGUUAAAUAUGAAGUUAGGAAAAUUUUUGAAAUAGUGAAUAGUGCACUAGAAAUAAAUAUUAAAAUAAUUAGAAUCGAAAUGAGGUAUCAAGACCUCGGGGAUUUUAAACUGAGCCAUAAAUAUUUUUAUAAAUAUUUAUGGAGUGUUAAAAAGUUAGUAUUAAAGUUUCGUUAAGAAAUUUUAAAGUUCCGAUAAUUAAUUGAACAAAAAGGACUAAAUUGUAACAAAUGCAAAAUUUUGGGAAAUGAUUAAAUAGCUUAAAUGAUAAAAGGAAGAGGGCUUAAAAGGAAAAUAGACCCAAGGUCUAUUUGGGCUGGACGGCAGAGGCAUGAAAUCAGCAAGAAAGUAAGGAGAAUUAAGGGCAAAAUUGGAAAAUUGCAAAAUUUGCUUAAUAAAGUUAGGACCCAAGUGGAAUUAUCUAGAUUUCUCUUCAUUUUUCUGAAUUCUCAUCAGCUAAAACACCAUGGAAGGGCUUCUUCAAGCUGGUUCUUCAUAUUUUUAUUACAAUUAAGUUCAAUUCUUGACUAUUUCUUGAAAUUUUUGUAUUUUUAUGACUUUUACAACUAGGCCCACUUGUUAAAUUCAUUAGUUUUUGACUUUAUGAAAGAAGUUGAAAGUUGAUAUGAAAAUGUGCUGGAAGUAUAUGAUGAUUUAGCAUGAAAUUAGAGCUUUAAAUUGUUCAUAUGCUGAUUUUAUUGAAAGAAUUGAAUAGAAAGUGAAUGUUUGGGACCUAAUAGUAAAAGAGUUUGAAGAUAGAGUUAUAUGUGGAAAUUCUGAAUUUCAAUAGUUGUGUAACAACUUAUAAUGUCUAGUAAAGUACUAAUUGAGAAAAUUAGAUUAAUUGAGGGGUUAAUUGAGAAAGGACCGAAUUGUAUAAACUGUGAAAUUUGGGGCAAAAUGGAAAUCAACAUUUGCACUAAAGCAGUUNNNNNNNNNNNNNNNNNNNNNNNNNNNNNNNNNNNNNNNNNNNNNNNNNNNNNNNNNNNNNNNNNNNNNNNNNNNNNNNNNNNNNNNNNNNNNNNNNNNNNNNNNNNNNNNNNNNNNNNNNNNNNNNNNNNNNNNNNNNNNNNNNNNNNNNNNNNNNNNNNNNNNNNNNNNNNNNNNNNNNNNNNNNNNNNNNNNNNNNNNNNNNNNNNNNNNNNNNUAAUAUUUUGAGGAUAUAUUGUGAAAAGUUAUAGAAACAUGUUAAUUAUUUUGAAAGUUUUAAUUUUGAUGAAAUUUUAUAACUCGGUUAAAUACGUUUACAAGUGUAUGUGUUUUGGUAAUGCCUCGUACCCUAUUCCGGUGUUGGAUACGGGUAAUGGGUGUUACAAAGCAGGUAAGGAUACUUUUCCAAAUGACUUGAAUCUAAACUAACUCCAGGUACAGUUGCCUAUGUAAAUUUAAAAAAAAAAAACUCAGCAUCUCAGGUCAACUCAGAAAAUAAUUCGGUCACACUUUUGAGUAAUUUUUAACCUGAAGGAGAGGCAAAUCUAAUCAAUUAUAGAAGAAAUAUUAAGUGGUAAAAGGAAGCCAAUAUUAAAUAAAGCUGAACUCCAAGAAAUGGAAUGAGGCAUGCUCCUCAUCCAUGACACCUUACAAGUAUACAGGCCCUACACAAUUCAGACAAACAAAUUUUAAGCCUAAAAGGCCAGAUCACUGUCUGUACCAAGACAUCUGAAUUCUGACCAGCAUAUGCCUGGUGCAAAGUAAAAGCAGUGAAAUAAGCUUUAAACCUGAUAUAUGUAAAAAAUAGCAUCUGAUGCACCUUCCAACUGAACAACGGAGUAAUUGAGAGGAGAACGAUAGUGUGCAUUUAUCAAGAAGUACCGCAAAGCCAGUGGAUGAUAUCUCUGGGUAAUCUAGAAAAAAACACAUAAACACAAAAAAAAUGAAGCUCAUAUGAGAAAAUUUCUGCAACUAGAACUAGAGGGAAGGGAAAUCACAUAAAUAAUAAGCCCCAACUUUACCUGGCGAAUUGUGAAAAAGUUACCCAAAGAUUUUGACAUCUUCUCAUUGUUAUUAGUAACAUGCCCAUUGUGCAACCAAUUACAGGUAGAAAAAUUUGUUAAGGUUUUUCUAGUCAUAUGAAAAAAAAAACUAAAAAAAGAAUAACGGAAGAAAAAUUAAAAAGAGGAGAUGAACAGAUUUUUUAGUUAAGGUUUAGGUUAAAAAAUUUUAAUUAAUUAAAUUUAUUUAAUUAAAAAUCUAUUUUCAUCCCAUUUAGAAAUUCAAGUUGGCAUUUAAAAUCUAGUUAGACUGCCACAUAGGAUUACCGUUAGAGAGAUAACGGAACUUAACGGUAGAGUGAUCACUUCGUAACAAAAUAAUAACAUAAGUGACUAAAACGUAACAUUUAAAACAUAAGUGACUAAAAUGUAACUUGAAAUAAACAAAAGUGACUAUUUUUGUAGAUUACCCUAUUAUUAAUUAGUUACAAACCGUACAUUUCAUUAUUUAUUGUAUGUUAUUUUUAAACACAAAUUUCUGCUCUAAAUACGUGGUUUUCACACGUAUACAUAUGUGAUAGAUUUUCUUAUUAAUAAUGUUGCAAAUUAAGUUGGUAUCACAAUUUAAUCUAAUUCUUUUCAUUUUAACAUCGUACAUAUUUCAUGUAUUAUUAUUAAAUACCUUCAAACUAUACAUUUUUAUUAUUUAUUGUAUGUUAUUUUCAAACACACCUAUAUGUUUUAAAUAUGUGGUUGCCAUACACAUACGUGUGUGAUAAAAUUUAUGGUAUUUAUAUAUGCAUAUAUAUAUAUAUAUAUACACACACUAUAGUAAUAUAAAGGUUAACAAAUGGUCAUGUUCACAUUACAGUUUUUUGACACAUGACACUCUUCGUUUAAAGCACUUAUUUAUAAUUUAGAUAAUUACUCCUUUAUUCCUUAUUUUUUAAUAUUUUUAAAUUAUCCAAUGCCUUUUGUUUAAAUAUUUUCUUUAUAAUUUUUAUAGAUUAUAUAUAAAGUUGAUNNNNNNNNNNNNNNNNNNNNNNNNNNNNNNNNNNNNNNNNNNNNNNNNNNNNNNNNNNNNNNNNNNNNNNNNNNNNNNNNNNNNNNNNNNNNNNNNNNNNNNNNNNNNNNNNNNNNNNNNNNNNNNNNNNNNNNNNNNNNNNNNNNNNNNNNNNNNNNNNNNNNNNNNNNNNNNNNNNNNNNNNNNNNNNNNNNNNNNNNNNNNNNNNNNNNNNNNNNNNNNNNNNNNNNNNNNNNNNNNNNNNNNNNNNNNNNNNNNNNNNNNNNNNNNNNNNNNNNNNNNNNNNNNNNNNNNNNNNNNNNNNNNNNNNNNNNNNNNNNNNNNNNNNNNNNNNNNNNNNNNNNNNNNNNNNNNNNNNNNNNNNNNNNNNNNNNNNNNNNAUAUAUAUAAUAAAUAACUUGUAAGAAAUUAUUAAUAAUAUUAUUUAAAUUAUAAUAUAUUAAUAUUAAUAUUAAUAUUAAUAUUAAUAUUCAAACCAUGAUGAAUUUUUAUAUUAUUUUAAAAUUAAAUAUUUUUAAAAUUAAUUAACAUUAAUAUAACUAAUUCUAAAUUUGUUAAAUAUUUCGCGAUUACAUCACUUAUUCACUUUAUUAAUGAUUUUUCAUAAAUUUAUUAAAAAAAUUAAACAAAAACUAAUAUAUUUGUUUAAAAAAAUAAAAAAAGUAUGUUUGUCUAAAAAUUAUUUGUAUACAAUAAUAUUUAAUUUUAUGACAUAUUAUUUUACUAAUCUUGUUUAAAUAAAUAAUUAACUAAAUUAUAUAGUGUUUGCUAUAAAUUAUUUUUACUAAAGUUAAUUAAAUUGCGUAGUACUUUUUAUUAAUUAUUUUACUUGGUUAAAGACCAAAUGAUGAUAGCAAAGAGUAUAUAUUUAAUGCUAGAGAAAACAUAACCUAAUCAAUAUUGAAUGCUAGAGUAUAUGUCAGCAUGAUAGGUCACUUGAGAAACGCCCAUGACCAAUCCUUCGACUUUACAUAGACAGGUCGGUGACUAGCCCUCUUGAAUUCCUACCUUCUAUUUGGCUCUCAAUUUAAAUAAGGGACCUGGAUCACUCGUUUUUUUUGUUUUUUUGAAAAACUUGAACCUCUUGCUUUCAAGGAUAAUCCACCUGCUUAACAAACGUCCUUAACAAGAACCUGCUUUUUAGGUGUGAAGUGUAAACAUGGCCCUAAAGACUAUUAGGCCCCACCUUAACAUAACGACCUCGUAUUGUCAUAACUCAAUCAAUGACAUUAUUAAUGUAUAUAUAUACAAUCAAUAGAGGCAAUAAAAUGUGCAUAAUACAAUUUAAAUGAAAACAUUAGAUUAAAAUAUGGCUGAUAGUAACAUUUCAGAGCUGCAAUCGAUAUAUGAUUUAUGCAAAAAGGAUUGACAACUCAAUUUUCGACAUGUUCCACGUGACCAUAAUAGAUUGGCAGAUUGUAUGUUAAAGCUGUCAAUAGUGAGCUUAACAGGUUGUCGAUGUUUGAUGUUAUACCUGCUCAUGCUCGAUCCGCCUUUGAAGAUGAUUUACACCAAGUGUCGGAUGCUAUAGGUCUUUAACAGGCAUACUGUAACAAGUUUCUUUGAACUUAUCCCCUUUAUUUACCAAAUAAAAUAAAAUAAAAUUUUGGUUUAAUGGAAAAGUUAAAGAUUUAUUGAUGUAAAUGACAUGGGUUAAAAUCCUACUAUAUGUAUUUUUUUUAUAUAGGUUUUAUAUAAAGGCUAAAGUACCAUUAAAUAAUAUCACUUAUCUUAAAUACAAAAGAAUAGUUUCAUAAUUUCCCUAACCGAAUUGGUGUCCAAUUGACUCGUGUCAACAACUCAGUCAGGGGUUUAAAUAAUAGUAAAUAUCUUAGUUCUUUUAAUUACUUUUUCUAAAGAAAUUAAAUAACCUAAAGUAAUAGGGAUAAUAUUUGAUGCACUGUUGAUGUAUAAAUUUCUUAUAUCAUCGGUGAAUAAUAACAUGACAGCUCAUCAUUAAAUAAAAUAAAAAUCAGUAGAGGAUUUAUAAAUAAAUACUAAAACCCUAAACUCAAGACUCUAAACCCUUCAGCCCAAUAUCCUAAAUCCGAAAGUUAUUAAUAUUUAUUUAUAAUAGUUAUAAUUAAUGUUUAAUGAUAUUUAAAUAAAAUUAUUCGUAUUUAUUUACAAAUUUUUAUUUUCUUUUUGUUAAUUUAAUAAUGAUAUAUGAUGUUAUUAUUCACGGUGAGGGCUUGAUAGGACUGAAAUAAUUUAUCGAAAAAUAAGGCUAAAAUAUCAUUGUAACAGAAAAGGCAGAGUAUAUUAUACAAAUAUAUAACUACAGUGGGUAUCUUUGCAUUGCAUUCCUGCAUCAGAUACCAACUUAUUAUUUGGAAGAUAAAGCUUCAAAGAAUUCAGAACCUCACUCUAUGAAAUACAAAUGAUUUGUGUUCAAAUGAUGCAUUAUUCAUUUAUCUCCAAAUAACAGCUGAUAUUAUUCUUUUCACACGUUUUUUAAUCUCCCAUUUCUGAGCAAUAGAGACCUCCGGAUAGCAAGUAUAAGAACCCAAGUGGUGGCUGUGAUUUUCUCUUUGAUCAUCAGAAGCAAAGCUGAGCUUAACACGGUCUUCGUGAUCUGUGCAUCUAAUCCCUUGAAAAACCCGAGAAUCCCUUCUCUUCUCCAGAUAGCACUGACAACUCCUGGCACUGUUUUGCGGGAUUUCGAUUGAGCUCUCUUAGUUUUAUCGUCGUCGUCAUCAUCUUCUGGAUCUGCAGCUUGAAUCAUUACCUUACACCUGCAUGGAGUAUGCAUGCAUAAUGUUACUUCCAUCUAGUAAAAAAUGCAUCAUGCUUCUAUAAUGCGACAAUUCGAGAGAGGGGCUAUGCACCUGAUUGCUGGAUAAGUUAAAAAGGUUGCGAUACUCUUUGAUAUUGCACCUAACAAGAAAGCCGUGAAGGCAGAUAGAACUACUGGGGAUGAAUCAUGGUCCGCUUUCUUCAAUUUUUGCUUGAGUAGUCGUUGUUUCAGUUGAUCAAAAACUGUAUACUGCAGUUUAACAUAUUUCUAGCCUUAGUUAUGAUAAAGAUAACAAGAAAGAUUUAAAGGUGAAGGUUUGAGGCAAAACAAUGUAGAACCUGAAUUGCAGGGUUGGAGGUCAGCAAAAGCGAGAUGCCAAGGCCAUCAAAUGCAUCACUCAAAGUGCCUUCUGUGAGGGUUUUCCAGAGUCCUUUCGAUUUUCCAAAGGCACUUGUCUGCAUCCUUGAGGAGGCUGUAUCCAGGGGCUACAAAAUCGAUAAACCAAGUAUUCAACAUUGAACUCCACAUAAUAAAGAAAAAUAAUUGAAACUGUGAUUGCAACAACAUCAGUAUCUUUGCCACCUAUGGUCAUAAAACAAUAAUAUUAUUAUUGUUGUUUAUGAUUUCAUAUUUAGGUCACCUCUCUUAACUAAAGGAACAUUUGUUCUAACUCGUAAAAAGAGGUAAGUCAUACCCUUUGAUUUACUAAACUAAUAAAUUUCUCAGGAUCAAUAGUUGCAUUCUAAAAUGCUCAAUGGCGUAAAAAGUUUCACCUUCUAUUCCUUUCAACAUUUACAUGGAAAUAGUAAAAAAGAGCACAAUUUUACUUUGCAACAACCAAUGGAAGGAAAGGAGUCCAUAUUUUUAGACCACAUGGAAUUCUGCCAGGAGAGUAGAACUGUAGAUGGUACUAGGGCAGUCUCACAAUUGCACAUUGUAGGAGAGGAUUCCACAUUUUACAUCAUAAAAUUCAAUCUCAAUGUACUAUGCAAUAAACGGGUACAGCUUUUGCUUUGAUGGAUGGAAGUUGGAAGCAUUUAUAUAUUCAAAAUGGAAACAUAAGAAACUUGUCAAGCGAUGUCCCACCUGAGUGACAAUAGCAGUGCAAGCCCCUGCUCCAGCGGCAAGAAUCAAGUUUACUUUCGUUCCAAUAGACUUGGAACCACUGUUUUGUAGGUACAGUCUUUUGAAGUAGCUAUAUCCAUAGAAGUAGACAAAUUGUGCAAUGAAUGACUGCAGGUUUUUUGUGCCUAGGCCCUGGUAUAAGGAAAGAACUUGGCCGGUAGAUACCGCUUCCCAUAAUACAUCAGAGAGAUUCCUAUAUAAGAUGAGAAAUUGAGGUCCAAGAACUUCAUGAUGCACUGCCAAUGAGCCGAGCAGUGCAGAGGAUUCAUUGAUAUGCAGCACAUAACAAUAAAAUAGGAAUAAACAGUUUCAAUUUCUCAACUCCUCUGGAAAGAUCUUAGAUGACUUAAUACGGACAAUUAUACUAACAGGAAUGAUGAUAAUUCCAUUAGAUGUCUACUACAACGUUGAACUUAUUCCACUACUUCACCAUUUCCUUUCUCAGUGAUUGACUAGCUCCAAAGAGUUAGGCAGAGUCAACUCUGAACUCUCCUUACUCCAUUAGCAGGUCAUCAUCUGAAACCCACCAGGCCAAUUUUCCACAUCAAUAACUACAAAAAUGCAAAGACAAGUAUAUGACACGACAAACGGUAAGGUGAAAAUGAAAUUAAGGUCAUAUGAUCCGAUUCAAUUAACAUAUAUACCUCAUUAUGCUAGGAUUGUUAUAUUCUGUCUUAAUUAAUAAGAAAUCAAAUCAAAUCCACAUUAUGAGUAGAAAAUUUUAACUCAUUCAUAAACACAAAUACCAUGAAAAGUAACAGCUUUAAAUUAUAAAGAGAAGAGAUAACUUUGAUCCUUUGAAACCUCACCUAUCAAUCAACAUACCAAAUAUUAACAAAGAAAUUAACUCAUGAAUUCACACACCGACAAACAAAGAAGCCAAAUUUACAAUUUCCUGGAUCAUGAUCAGUGAUCACAACAAAGAAAAAUAAACCCAGAAUUACAAAACAUGUAAAAACAAACAAAGAAAAGAAUAAUAAGAAAUGGGUAACCUGUAUUUUCGUUGACCAUGGGCUUGAACCUCGGCUUGAUACUUGGUUUUGCAGGUAUCAAGAGGGUAGAAAAUCGUUGUGCUUAAUAGUGAUCCUAUGGCACCUGAAGUUGCCUCCGAUAUCGACUCUAAAUCAACACCCAUAUUAAAAAUAUUCUUUAUCUCUGUUCUCUGUUUUACUUGGAAUCGGAAACUGAAUCUAUGAAAUCAUUUUAGCUGGUCAUUAUGUAUAUAUAGGAAGAAGAAACUGGAAAAGGAAACAGUAAACCCGAGCCACCAAGAAUGAUAUAGACGCCGAUGGCGUUUCUCAUUGGGAUUUGAGAAAACGUGGAGCUCUCCGUCCAUUUUAACGGCCAGACUUAACGUCGUUUAUUUGGUUCUUCUAGGCUUAAUGCUGAUUGAGCUGUAUUUUUUCCACAUUGAUGCUUAAAUUUUGUGUGGAAAUUUUUUUAUAAUUUUUUUAAAAAAUUUAUAAAUGAUAAAUAGUUUAAAUAAAAAGUAAUUAAUAUUAAUAAUAAUUUUAAUUACUUUUUUAUUACUUGUAUGGUAUAUACAAAUAUAAUUUUUUUAAUAAAUAUUUGUCUGUUAUCUCGAUUUAUUUCUGGUAAAUAUAUAAUAGUUUAUACCAAUUGAAUUAAAAAUAAUUUAUUACUCUUUUAUUAAAUAAAAUAACGAAUAAUUGUAUUAGGGAUAGAUUGCUUAAGGUCAAAUUAUUACUUUAAUUAAGUGAUAAAGAAUUCUUUAUAUAAAAUUAUAUCUUUGAUUUUAUUUUUUAUCACGGAUUAUUAAAUAUGUUUUAAAAAUUAAAUUAUUGAAAAUAUUAAUUUUAAUUGAUUUUAUACUUUCAAUGAAUUAUCAAACAAGUCCUUAGUUGAUGUCAUUUUUUUUUUCAUUAAAACUUGUUAAAUAAUGAUAAUUAAAUAAUUUUACAUAAAAUUAAUUCAAUGAAUAUAUAUAACUAAAUUAAUCAUAAAUUUAAAAUACUUAAUUUUAAUUAAAGUCAAAUGUAUACUUUUUAUUUAAAAAGUCAAAUAUUUUAUAAAACUUCAAAAAUUGUUUUAUAAUGAGGAAAACUUAUCUGGGUUUUAUUUUAACCAGAUAGGAUAAAUGGAUAUUAUGAUAUUUUUUAGACCAGUGUUCUUUGAAUUGGAUUCAACCAGUCAAUCGUAUCAGAAAUUGGUAGGAGAUCAAUUUGGAAAGUAAUUUUAGACUAGUUAAAUCGAAAAUCGAUAUGAAUUAGUUGAACUGACUAAAAAAUUAGUUAAACCGAUAGUUAAAUCGAUUAUUCUUUUAAUCGAACGAAUCAAACUAAUAAACCAAUGAUCUGAUGGGUUUAACCGUUGAUCCAAUUUAAAAAACAUUAGCGUAGAGAGAAAAUAAAUGUAUUCUUGCAAUAAAUCUUAAAAGAGAGUAAGUUUGUAAGAUACGAAGUGUUGAAGGAAUCAAAAAAUUGACGAAUUAGUGAGAAAGUAGUGGUCAAAAUUUUCAAAUAGUCCCAAGAUGGACCAAUCUUCAAAUUCAAUUUUGUUUGUUAAGGAAACCAAUGACUACGACCUUUACACAUCGUAUGAAAGGACCUCAACAUCCCUGCGUUUGUCAUGUAGCAUUUCAUUAUUCAUCUGUUUUUUUUUGGGUAAACUACACUAUAAGUCAUCUAAAUAUGGACCAUUUUCUUUUUUGGUCACUCAGUUCAUUUCAUAUUAUGUGUUCGCCAAUUUGUUUUUGGGUUAACUACACCAUAAGUCAUCUAAUUAUGGGUCAUUUUCUUUGUUAGUCAUUCAAUUAUGAAUCUUUUUAAAUUGGUCACCCAGAUUUUUUUUAAAAAUUUCUAUUAAUUGCACUAAUGAGAGGGUGAUGCGGUAGUUGAAAAAUCAGUAUAAUAAUAAAUUUAGCCCUUGACUUUUGCAUAUUAUAUUGAUUCAAUCAUAAUCUAAAAAAAUUUACAAAUGAUCUCAAUUUAAUCUUAAUUCUAAAAAAUUCAAAAAAUAUAUAUAAAUACAUAAAUAUUUUCAAAAAAUAUAUAAUAAUAAAUUUAAAUUUUAUAUUAAUAUAAAAAUAAAAAUCCCUCCCUCCCCCCUUACCCUACCAUCCCACCACCCCCUCUCCCUCUUUGCUACUGUUGUAGUAGGAAACCUGGGUUUUAUAUACAUCCACCAACUUUUUCUUUUCUAAGCCUCAAAUAGCAGCUCUUGUAUAAAAAGAUUUAGUUAGAUCUGAAAUCGAUAUUUUGUAAAAGCAAUGCGUUUCUAAGAAUCUAUCUGAAAAAUAGUUUAUUUCCCCUUUGUCGUGCAAGAUAAUCAAAAAACACUAUUUUCAAGAUACAAUACCUAUCAUCUUGAGUUAGAACAAUGUGAUUGAACUCAAUUAUUACAACAAAUUAAAAUAAACCUAGAGAACACUCAAAAGUAAAGAAAGAAAUAUUUACUCGAAAUUGAUUAACUCAAUUCCACUAUCAAUUUUCAAUCGUUGUGGCUAUAUAUAGAAUAUCAAAAGGUACCUAUGUAUCUCUUUAAAAAGAGACAACCUUUUCCUUAAAAAGAUUUAUGAAUGAAUAGUUGCAUCCACUAAAAUAUAGACACUUCUAUUUAAUUUUAUAUCAUUUUUUCUUUCUUUCUUUUUCACAAUAUAUAUAUAUAUUAAUAUAUUUUAUUUGAAAAUACUUUAUAUAUAUUAUAUACAACAAUCUCUCACUUAUUUUCAAAUAAAACACAAAAUUUUCUUUGGAUAUCUAAGCGGCACAUAUUCAAAAGUUACCAAGGCUUGAACUUUUGAAUUGAAAGAAGACCACAAAGUCUUUCCAACUUCUACAUGAUAGGUAGUCGUAGGAUUGUAGCAGUCAUUCCACUUCUCUACUUGGAAAGCAAGCUCAUCGAGAGUAGGGGUGAGCAAAACUUGAUUCGAUUCGAAAAAAUCGAAAAGAAAUUCGAAUUUCGAGUUAAACGAAUCGAGUUAUUCGAAUUAACUCGAAUUUCUUUUUCGAAUUUCGAGUUCGAAUCGAGUUGAGUUUUCGAAUUCGAAUAACUCGAAUAAUUCGAAUAAUUCAAAUAUUAAACUAUAAUAUUUUACAUUUUUACCCUAAACUCCUAAACCUUUUUACUUUUCCCUCAAAACUUUUACUCUUUCCCACUUUUCCCCCAAAACUUUUACUCCCCUCCCCUCCCCUCCCAACCCCCCAAUCUACCCAAAAUCCAUUUCUCACCAAAAUUUUACUCUCCCAUUUACUUUUUCUCAAAAUUUUACUCCAAAAAACCCUCAAAACAUUUUAUUUUCCCCCACAAUUUUACUCCCCCUAUUUACUUUCCCUCAAACUUUUAUUCCCAAAAACUUUUUAUUUUCCCCCUAAACUUUUACUUCUCACCCUUUACUCUCAAAUAAAAAAUCAAAAUUAUCCAAAAAAAUCACUAAACAUAAAUAGUAAUAAUUUUAUUUAUAUCUACUAUUUAUAUUAUUAAAUUAAAUUUCACAUUUUAUAUUAUUUAUAUUAUUGAAUUGUUUAGUCAUAUUGAAUAUUUAUAUUAAAAUUGAAUUAUUAAUUAUGCCAUAAAAUAUUCGUGUUAAAAUUUUAUAUUGGUAUCGAUUUCACAUUUUAUUUUUAAAAUAACUUUUAUUAAAAAAUCAUAUUUUUACAUUUAAUAUAUUAUUUAAUUCCAAAAUACAUAGUGACAAGAAUCUAAAGAUAAUUGAAACAACUAAGUAAGCAAAGAAGCUAAUCGAUAUAUAAAAAAUUAAUAAAUAAAUUAUGAGGUGAUGAAAGUUAAUAAAAAAAUUGAUUAAGGUGGACAAAUUUUAUUACGAUGGGUGACAAUAGUUACAAGGACUCAAAAUUAUUUUUUAAAAUUUAACUCGAACAAAUAUAUUCGAUUCGAUUCGAUUCGAAUUCCAUCUCACUCGACUUGAUUCGAGAAAACUUCAAAUAAAGUUAGGAUAAUAAAAUGAGAUUCGAAAACUCGAUUAACUCGAAAAUUUUUUAUUCGAUUCGAUCGAAUGCUCACCCCUAAUCAAAAGUGUUCAGAACAAUCACUUUAUUACUUAUAUAUGAGUCUAGUUAAGGACUAUAAAUCCAACCUACUCGUGAAAUGGAGUGCAUCGACCAAGUAGACGACUUUAGUAGAAUAGCUCGCUGUCUCAGCUCAAACAUGCCAUAAGGUGCUCGCAAAGGGAGAUCACAGUCUCAGCUCGCAUAUGCCCAAGGGGGCCACGAAGCCCAACAGGCAGUCCAGAACAGUACACGUGUCCAGCAUGCAUAGAGUCUACUAAGAACGUCAAUUCCAUGAACAAUAACCAUGUACAUAAAUAUUCGAUUGUCCCCUUUAAUGAGACACGAUAGAAAAUUACUCAACAAUUUAUUUGAUUUAUUCGGUUCUUUCUCAUGUUAUGUACAAUAUAUGUUACAAAAUUUAGUCACUACUCUAUAUAAAAACAUUAUUCACGUAAUGUGAUUAAUUGCAUUAAACAAUUAUAAAACAUAUUAAUACAUGUUUAUUUAAUGAUCAUGAUUUAUUAGCAUGCAUAAGUGCAUCAUACUAAAUAAGAAGAUCAUAUAUCACAUGCGAAUAAAUAAUUUGUGAUGUUACUCGAAUAUAGAGUAAACGUCAUCAUACGCAAAUGAAUUUUCAGGUUCUUACGCUUGUAGUUGAGUACAUUGAAUUAUUUGAGUCUCUCUGCAUAGAUAAUUUGUGCCUUUGCAAUUUCAAGAUCCAUGAGAGAAAUUAUUAUUGAAUGUUGUAUAAAAAAUUUGAUUGGCUCCGAAAUCGAUAUUUAAAACAAAUUAACUAUCCUAGCCGCAAAUUAACUCGUUCGUCGGAAUUAAUCCUAAUCUAUUUAAUCUAGAUCUAAACCUUAAUUUUCUGUUCUAAGACAAAUCAAGAUUAUCAACUUAAUGCAAUUUAGUGAUCAGGUAAGCAGGUUAAAUAACCACAAAAUUGAAUAAAUAAUUAACAAAGAUCAAAACAAUUGAAGAGGAAAUAAAUUAAUUAACUAAGAAAUGAGAUUCAUCAUUGUUCUAAGAAAAUAGAGUUUAGUUCAUAAAAAGUUGAUAAAACCACGCAAAAAGAGAUUCAGAACAAACUUGCAUCAAUAAAAAAUAAAAAGAAUAAUCUAGAGAAAAAAAUAGUUAUAGAAUUUACGUGGAGCCCUCCAGAUAUCAUUUUCUUCUUGUCUUUACAAGCUUGGAGUUUUCCUUAAUGUAGGAGAUUUAUUCUUUAGCCUUCAAGUGAUUUCUCUCUCUUUUCAUCAUUUUUUUCUCUUAAAUCCAGUCACCGUUGUUUUUAGGGUUUUUAAUCGUGUUGCUCCAUCGCACGCAAAAAUUACUGUGGAGUAGACUGCUUGUUGCCAAAAUUUCUAAAUUUAAGAGCAUGCUCCACCGCACUUAAUUAAAUCUAGUGGAGCGUAAGACUUCUCUUCACUACUUAAAAUGAUUAACCCUAUCCCAUGUGUGUUUGUUAUAUGCCUAGCCCCUUUCCAUCUUACUUCAAUGGAAUCAUACCAGAUAUUUACCCCAUCAAGGCCUAUCACUUUGCUAUUGAUAGGAAUCCUACUAUGUAUUAUUUGUCACUUGUGAAGUAUACUAAUCCAUCAUCAUGCUAACUAAAAGGGCAUUAUGAAAGGAUAUGUGACUUAAGCACUGAAUCUUAACACGUGAAAAUAAGAUCCUAUGACUCAUUCCUCAAGUAUUGGCAGAAAAACACUUGUUCUGUAACACCCCCUAAUCCCAACCGUCGCCGGAACAGGGUUACGAGGCAUUACCGGACAUAUCAGAUAAUCUAUAAAUAAUUCAUAAACAAUUAACAAACAUAUACAAAAGAGUCAUAAAUUCAUAUAAAUUUUACUAAUUGACUUCAUUCAAUUUUUUUUAAAUUUCUUCUUUUAAAAAUAUAUAUAUUUUAAAAAUUUCGGCAGCACUUCGGCUUAUUUUUACAUACAACCCCAUGCAAUUAAAAUUCAUAACAUUUCCAAAUAUAACCAAAUCAACCAAUUCAUUUCACAUUCACAUUUUCUAUUCUAAAUACUUCUAAUCAAACUCAAUCUACAUAAUAUCAAUUUAAAUUUAACAAAGUAAUAAAUAAAUCAAAAUAGAUAAAUUUCUUUCAUUAUAAAUCUUAAACUUAUAAUAAUAACAUUUUAACCAUUUAUAUUAAAACAUAAUAAUCUUUAUACACAUCCUAUGUACAUGCCACCUUUACCAAAGGAAAAAUACAUCACCAAGUUUUGCUGAAGUCGGGAUUAAUCUGGAUGCUGAACCGGGACCUUUAACUUCUAUUGACCCAUAAUUCAAAUUAUAACAAUAAUAAACAUAUAAUGCAUAUAUCAUAUAUAUAAAUUUCAAUUUCAAUUUCAUAUUUCAAUAAUAAUAAUUCAUCAAUUAAUAUCAUACAUCCACAAUUUGGAAUUGGACAUAACAUGAAUUUUGGGUUCAUUUCUCAAUCUCAUGUCACAUUUCAAUUCACGAUUCAACUUUUUCAUUUCAUUUCAGUAGCACUUGAUCAACUCGUUCGAUUUGUCAUUUCAUUAAUUACCCUAUUAACAAAACUCGGACUUUGGCGAAUACACGGAUCCAACCAAACACACCAGAAUGGCACCCAGUGCCUCAUCGGAUAGUUCGAAGCAAUAGUUGACACCUAGUGUCUCAUCGGCAAAGCCGAAGAAAGUUGGUACCCAGUACCUCAUCGAAUCUAUCCAAAGAAAUAUAGUGACACCCAGUGUCUCAUCGACUCGAGGUCAAAGUAUCCUUGAACUCUUCCAAUCCUAUGGCAUGCCAACUAUAUCCGACUCAGCCCGACUAGUUAAUAGGGUAUUUAAAUCACAUAUAAUCCCAAUUCAAUCGCAAUUUCUCACAUUUUCAAUUCAAUCAUUUUUCCACCUUUCAAUCAAUAAUUAAUCCGCAAUUCACACAUUUUCACAAUUCAAUACAUUUCCAUUCAAUUUAAUAUCGGUCACUAUUCGAUUUAAAUUCACUUCCCACUUUNNNNNNNNNNNNNNNNNNNNNNNNNNNNNNNNNNNNNNNNNNNNNNNNNNNNNNNNNNNNNNNNNNNNNNNNNNNNNNNNNNNNNNNNNNNNNNNNNNNNNNNNNNNNNNNNNNNNNNNNNNNNNNNNNNNNNNNNNNAAUAUUAAUACUUACCUCACAUUUCAUUUACUAAACACAUAAAUUAAAAUUUAACAUUUAAAAAUAAAUAAUUUGAAUUAUAGUAAUACAAACCGUGAUUUUCUCGAGUUUACUCCUUGAUAAUCUUCUCCUUUCCCUUUGAUGCUGAUGCCUCGGGUUCUUUGUUAGCUACGAAAAUAAUAAUAAUUUAUACUAUUAAUUUCAGCACUAAUUAUGAUAAAUAAUUGAAUUUCUAUUCAAUUUCUUCCUUAUUCUCAAUUUAAUCCUAACUAAAUUCACUUACUUUCCUAACUCAAUUCACACUCUAUUUCUAUUCAAAUUCCAUCCAAACUCAAAUUUAACUAUCAAAAUUUCAACAUAUUUUCCUAAUUUCGGAUUUCCCUCAAUUUAGUCCCUAAAACAUAAAAUUUAUAGUUUCUUUUACAAUUUAAUCCCCUUAUCAAUUCCAAUCAAAAUUUCUAUCAAAUAAACCCUCAAUUCCAGCAUUUAUUCAACAUAAACCCUAUUUUCCCUAUUUUCUUCUUUUUUCUUCUUUCUCCCCUGUUUCUUCUCUGUUUCGUCCUUUCUAUUCUGUUUCUUUCUUUUCUUUUGCUUUGUUUUUAUUUCCUUUUAUUUCAUUUACUUUAUAUUAUAUUAAUAUAAUUUAUUAAUAAUCAUUUAAUUAAUUAAUAUCUUUUAACUAUAAUACAAGUGUAUAUACAUAUUUUAUUACAUUUGUACAACUUUAUUACCAUACAUUUGGCACCAUUUGAUUUAUUUCUUUUAUAUAAUAAUAAUAUAAUAUAAUAUAAUUAAUUUAUUAUAUACUUAUUUAUUAAGAAUAUAUAUAUAAUAUACAUAUUUUAACACAUAAAAAUCUCAGAUUUUUAUACUUAUGCCGCCUCAAAUUUAGCAAUUGGCAUAAUUGCCUAUUUAGUCCCUAUUAUUUUCUUUUAAUCUAUAAUUAAACUUUCACUUCUAUUGCAAUUUAAUCCUUUUUGCUAAUUACUCAUAAUUAAGCUAAAUUCACCUAUCUAAAACCUAAUUAAACACACAACUAGUCUAGUAAAUAUUUCUAAUAAUUAUUUCUGAACUCAAAUUACAAAGACGGAGGCCCGAUAUUAUACUUUUCCGAUGCCCGCGAAUUUUGGGUCAUUACAUGUUCAAGAAACAUGCGAUAUAUAUAUAUUCAUUCUAUACACAAUGAUUUAUUUUUGUCCCAUAUUCAUUCCCCUUCUUCUGUUCCCUUUAACCCUACAUCAACAAUACAUAUGCACACGCUUUCAAAACAUCAAUUUCUUCAAGAAAUCAAUCAUGGAAAUUUUCAAAAACUUUAAAAGUUUUUCAAAUUGAUACAUGGACUAGUUAAAUCAAGCUCACACGACCUCAAAAAUAUAAAAAUUACAAAAAAAAGAGAGCUUAAAUAGUUGACCAAUUUGAGUACUGAAAGUUUAAGCUCUCAAAAGGUUUUCUCUUUUCUUUCCUUAGCAAAUUUUGGUCAUGGAAGAUGAAAAGAUGAUAAAUUUCUCUUUCUUUCCACUAAUUUAACUAUAUAUAGAAGUUUUGAUCAUUAAUUAACUUAAUUAAUUAUUAAUCAAACCUUAGUGCACAAUCCAUCAUCAUAUGCUAACUCAAUAUGUAAAAUGAUUUGAUUUCCAUUUUAAACCUUUGGCUAAUUGCAAUUUAAGUUUCUAAGUCUUUGCCUAAUUAAAAAUCUAUAGCGAUUAAACUUUUACAAUUUGGUCCUUAUACCUUAAUUAACUACCAAUUUAACAAAAUUAUUAGACCAAAUUUUAAUAUAUUUUUAUAAUAGGUAAAUAUUAAAUAUUAAUACUUACUAGCCCGGUUUAUGAAAAUAGGAUUCCAAAAUCGUAUUUAUCGGCACCACUGAAAAUCAAGAUGUUACAACUCAAUUCUAAACUUAAAUCAAACAAGAAUCCAACUCAAAAACAUAAAGAAUCCUAGGAUCAAAGCUUUCUCACUCUAGUUUGAAAAUGGCUAAAAAUUGUAACAGCCCAAUUUCGAUCCUAAUCGGACGUAGUGAUUUCGGGACCACAAAUCUAAGUCUGAAAAACAUUUUAAUAUUAUUUUCUGUGUUUAUUAUGUGUGAAUUUACAUGUGUGAAAUUUUCGUGAAUUUAUUUUAUUGUUUGAGUGCCUAAUUUGAGAAUAGGGCCUAAUCGCGUAUAAUAAAAAUUAGUGGUUAAUUAUGAAAGAGCCUAAUUUUUGUUGUCUUUAUAAUUUGGAGGUUCUAUGAUGCAAUUAGCCCACUAUAUAAGUUAGUGGAUGGUAAUAGUCAAGAAUGACCUUAUAUUAUAUGUUAUAUAUGUAUAUUAGUAAAGGUUAACUUAGUAAAAUAAUAAUGUUAGUAUAAUGAUAAUAAAAUAAAACACAAAAUAAAAAGAGCCAUGCAAAUGUUCAUAAAAUAGCCGAAACUUCAAAAGAAAAGAAAGAAAAGAGGAAAGCUAGAUUCGGCACUUGUAUUCUUUGAUUUAGGUAUGUAUUUUGUUGGGUUUUUGAUAAUUUUUACGUUUUUGAGAUCGUUGCUUCGUGUUAUUCAAAACCCAUGUCUUAAUUUUGUGAAUUGUGGAUAAUUUUGAAAUGUGCCAUUGAUGAAUUUUUGAGUUUUAUGAUGCUAGUAGGUGAAAUAUGAAAUAUAUUUGUUAGAUUAACAUGUAUUGUUUUGAAUUUUUUGUGAAAUUGAGUAAUUAGGGUUAAUUUGUGAAAAUAAAUUUUUCAAGGGGAUAAAAUGCUAAAUAAAUGAAAAAUAUAGACUUGUAUGGACACUAGGAAUAUUCAGUCAUUAGGAGUGUAGUUAAAUUUUGUGUAUCUUGUGUUUUGAACAAAAAGGAUUAAAUUGUAAAAAGUGUGAAAUGUUAGGGGCAAAAUUGUAAUUUGCCCAUUCAUGUGUUUUUAGGCUAAAUUGAAUAGAAUGAUGUUUAAAUAAGCUUAAUUUGAAUAUGUUUAGAUCAAGAAUUAAAGAAAUCAGAUUUGGAUCGGGGAAAGACAAAAGUGGUCGAGUAGCCGAUUUAAUAAUCGACGACAUCCGAUGUAAGUUUAUAAGCAAUUAGAUGUUAAAAUUUCUGAAUAAAUGUUAGUUAUAUAUGCUGAAAUGGAAAUAUGCAAAAAUAUUUAGUUCGAAAAGUAGAAAUAGAUGUGAAUGUGAUUUAUCGAUAUUUAGCACUAAGUGUGCGAGUAUGGAAUAGCUACGGCUAUAUGAACGGCACUAAGUGUACGAAAUUAAAAUGAUGAUGUUGAAUAAUAGGCACUAAGUGUGCGAAAUUAAAAUGAUGAUGUUGAAUAACGGGCACUAAGUGUGCGAUAUCGAUAGCAAUUUGGUUAGAUGAGAAAGAGCACUAAUUGUGCAACUUCAUUAUGGCCUCGACCAAUUAUUUAGUACAUGAUAGUACAAGUAUGCAAUGGUUGAAUAAUACAUGAUAUAGGUAAGUUGAUUACUUCAAUUGUGAUAAGAAAAAUUUAUAUGAGGUAAAUGAAAGUAUAUAAGUAUAUGAAAGUCUAUAUUCGGCCAAAAAGGUAAGUAUAUGUGAUAUUGUAAUUGUGAAUUAUAUGAAUCUAUAUAUGAUUGAGUACAUUUGGUAAAGAGUGGGUAUAUGAUUUGAAAGUUAAAAAUAAGUACGCUUUUAUUUAUAAGUAUAUUCGGCCAAGUUGAAAUUGGUUCAUAGUUACAUAAUUGAUAUUUAAAUUUUGCAAGCUCGAAUAUGUACAUAUGAAUAUGUUUGCAUUAUUCGGUUUUGUUAUUGAAUUAUUAACGUCAUUAAAUUGUUUAAUUGCUUAUGACUUACUAAGCUGUGAUAGCUUAUUGUGUAUAUGUGUUUUUCUCGAUUUUAUAGAUUUUGGAAGUUAAUUACGGUCUCGGGGAUCGUCAGCGAAGUCAAUCACACUAUCGUUCGUUUAUCGGUAUCUAUAAAAGUUAAACUUUUGAACAUAUGGAAUGUAUAGGCUAGUACUUGUUUUGGUUGAAUUUUGAAACAUGGUUGGUAUAUGUAAUUUGAUUAAUGAUGCAUGUUUGAUUUUAAUUGGUUAUGUGCUUAUAUAUUUAUAUAUAUAUGAGAUGACUUAUCGAGCGAGUGAAUGAAUGCUAUUUGAAUUUGAUCGAAAUAAUAAUAAUAAUAAUGAAAUUUUGUGAUUGAAUUAGUCUAAUUUAUGAAUAAAUUAUAAAAUGAAAGACAGUUCUGAGUUGGGUUUUGAUCGGUAAUGCCUCGUAACUCUAAUCCAACGACGGACACAGGUUCGGGGUGUUACAAAAAAUGCAAGAAAAAUACAAACAUAGCAGCAAAACAGGCUUUUAGCGGCGUUUUUUUGGCUUAUAGCGGCGUUUAAAAGCACCGCUAAAACUAUUUGCGGCGUUUAUGUAAAAAAUGCGCUAUAGAACAUGAUCUUUAGCGGCGCUUUUAUCACAAACGCCGCUAAAAGUACUUUUCUUAUUGUAACAUUCAAUUUUCAUCCAUAUACAACCCUUCCUGUAGCAUGAAAUCCAACCAAAAACAGCAAAUCUAAAUGAUACUUCAAAUUCAACGAAAGAUAUAUGAUAUAAAUUGAUAAUUGAAGUGUAAUUCAAAAUAUUCUUACAAUAAUGUUAAAAGUUACAAUAUUAAAAAUAUUCUAGCAAUAAGAAAAGAAAUGUCUAAGAUGGCGAAUUUUGCAACUGCUAAAACAUCUUCAUCUUAUUAAUUUGUCCACAGAAUUUUGAUAACCACAAAUAACAGUAACUAGGAACCUCAAGGUCUUCAUCUCCAUGUCAGAUAUGGUCACCUGGUUGCAUGAAAUAGUAAUUCCAUUAAGUAUUGUAACUCACAAAUCAAUAUGAUGUCAAAAAUACAAUCAAAAUCUUGUUGGAUGAAACAUAUUUCGGCAGAUCUUUAUGGGAGAAAUGAAGGCAGUUUGUAACUCAUCAUUUUUCAGCAAGCCAGGCAGUUUGCCUUCAAUAAUGAAAUUUUUUAUCUAAAGUUUAAUUGAAGGUUGUGCAGUGGACACCUAGCUAAUUUCCAUUUAUGCAGCAAAUUAUAGUAGACUAAUACAUGCUUUAGCCCUAACAAACUUUUAAGAAGACGUUUAUAUAAUGCAUUAAACAUUUUUUUAAGAAGGCAUGGCCUUUAUUUUCAGAUAAGGUAUAUAUCCCACACAAGUAUGUUUUUACUUUCAAUUUUUUUCUACGUGUCAUUAUUUUUUUCUGAAGAAUUUAAAUAUUCAAUUAAAAAUAAAUUGUAUUUUAAUUAAUAUAAAUAAAAUAGUUAAAUAAUAAAUAGACAUAUAAAAUGUUUUUUUUGCGGCGUUGUUGAUAAAGCGUCGCUAAAGCUCAAUCUAUAGCGGCGUUUUACAAAAAGCGUCACUAAUGCCACUAAAGCUCAACACAAAACGACGGCGUCUUAUUGAAUUUUUUUGCGGCGUUUUUCAAAAAGCUUCGCUAAUGCUCGAUCUAUAGCGUCAUUUUCCAAGAAGCGUUGCUAAUGCUUGACCUAUAACGGCGUUUUUCAAAAAGCGUCGCUAAUGGUCGACCUAUAGCGGCGUUUUCCAAAAAGAGCCGCUAAUGCUCGAUCUAUAACGGCGUUUUUCAAAGAGCACCGCUAAUGCUCGAUCUAUAGCGGCGUUUUUCAAAAAUUGCCGCUAAUGCCACUAAAGCUCAACAUAAAACGACAACGUUGUGCUUAAUUUUUUUGCAGUUUUUGCGGCGUUUUUCAAAAAGCGGCGCUAAUGCUCAAUCUAUAGCGGCGUUUUUUAUCAAACGCCGCUAAAAACCUAUUUUGCUGUAAUGAAAGAAAACUAAAAAACAUGUUUCAAAGGUUUAAAAUAAUAGAUUAAAGUUAGAAAACAAUUUACUUUGUUGAAAAAACAAAGAUUUAUUCAAGAAAUCAAAAGUUCAUCUCCUUCUCCUUCCCACCAAAACCAACAUCAAAGAUAAAGAAAAAUGUUGAGUUCUUGAUUGAGAUACCUUGUUUAUUGAAAUUAUUUCAUGAAAAAUGAACUCACCAAUCUAUAAUCUUGUAAAGAAAAUCAAGAGUUGAUGAAAAGAUUUCAAAGAAAUUUGAGAGAAAUAUUGGUAUGGAAAAGAAAAUGAAAUCAUAAAAUAAACUAAUUCUUGCAAAUUCAAAGUGAUCAAUUUGCUAUCAUGGGCUUUGUUUAUUUACCAAUAAGGACUUUUCCUCAUCUAAAUCAUUUUUAUUAAUUUUCAUACAUUGGUCCCACUAAUUUUACUAGCCAUACAAUUUAGUCCAUAGGUUUUAAUUAGUAAACUCUCUAUAUUAAUCUAUUGAUAAUUCUAAUUAAUGCCUAAUUAAUAAAACUCUAAUCCACUUAUCCAUUCUCAAAAACCUCUUGGUUAAACUUCUCAAAAUAGCUUGAUUUAAGAAAUCUUACCCAAAAAUGAAAUUUUCUGACAUUAGUGAAAGUCAAAGUGUCUAGCUCUAACACAAAAUUAAAGUUCGUUGAGUUUGCCUAUCAAAUAUUUGUUCGGUUGCAACAAGACAUAGCAACUAGUAUAAGAAAAUAGUUCGAAAACUUCCUACAUGUAUAGUACCUUGCCAGAAAGUAAUCACUAUAACAAACAAGUACAAGUGGUUUAACUCUCUCACUAAGUUGUAACAUUACUCUUAUGCUUCGAACUAGAUUACUCUCCCUCUAAGACUAUUCUCUUGAAAACUUAGGUGUAAAUUGAAAAAACUCGUCAAUUUCCUUACAAUUAUGCACUCAAAGAAACAAUUCCUACUUGAACAAUUAAAGUGUUUUUCAAUUCAUACUUCUAACCUAAACAGGCCGUCUAAUAUAUAAGAAUAAAAGGCUUGUUGAAAUACAAUCAAUUACAAUCACUAGUUCCUCUAAAAUAACCAUUUAAAUAGGUCUUUAAUUGAAGUGUAUAGUCAAGAAAUCUUCUUGACAUCGAACUCCUUUGAAGGAUCAAAUCUUCUAUUUAAGGGAAUUUCGAUUGUUUGAAUUUCUAAAUCUAAUCCUCACUUAGUUUGAUUCUUCCACAUGAAGGCUUCACUAAUGAGCUGGUAACAGUUUACAAAAAUUAGCAAUUAACGAUCCAAACAAUUUUAGCCAAAAUAUGCGAAUCAAAUAAGGCAAGUCAUAAUGUUGUCCAACUUUUACUUAAGUUGCACCUUGCAUCGUAACCAGCGCUAACACAAUCACUAUGAAAAACACUAGAAAUCACUUAAAGAUGAAAGAUAGUUGCUGGGCACACAAGAAAUUUCUCAAUUCUGAUUAACCUUGAUAUCAUGCGCCGAGAGGAUUUCUUUGACCCCUUCUUGUUGACUCCAGCUUUUGACAUUUGAUGUUAGAAGAGGUGAUAUUUUGUAUAUACUAUAUCUUAAUCCAUACUACUUGGAUUCCAGAUUCAGAUAUAAGUGCUAGAUGUUCUUAUAUGUACUACACAAGUAUGUUCAGUCUUUUAAAGCUUGUCCAUGUAUUUGGAGAGUCGUUAGAUAGUAAUAUCAUCACACUCUUAUUUUAAUAAGUAAGAAAAAUGAAGAUUGUACUUUCAUUCAAAGAAUAGUAUACAAAAUUAGUGCUUCAAGAUUGUUUUAACAUUUGAAAAGAUUCGGUUGAACAGGCACUGGAAACCAACAGAUUGUUCAUAUUGGAUCAUCACGAUUCACUAAUGCCAUAUCUCAGAAGGAUAAACUCUACUUCGGUAAAGACUUACGUGUCUAGGACCGUGUUGCUUUUGAGUGAUGAUGGAACUUUGAAGCCAUUGGCGAUUGAAUUAAGUUUGCCACAUCCAAAGGGGGAUCAACAUGGUGCUGUGAGCAAGGUUCAUACACCUGCACAACAUGCAGUUGAAGGUUCCUUAUGGCAGCUAGCUAAAACUUACGUAGCUGUAAAUGAUUCUGGUGUUCAUCAGCUCAUAAGCCAUUGGUAUUGUAUACCCGCCACUGAAGGCCAAGUAUUAUACGUUGGUUAACUUUAAAUUUGAGAAGUGGGGGUUCAUGCAUAUGGCUUUAGUCUGAUUACAGGUUGAAAAACUCAUGUAGUAAUUGAGCCAUUUGUGAGUGCAACAAUCGGCAGCUCAGUGUGGUUCAUCCAAUUCAUAAGCUUCUCCACCCUCACUUCCGUGACACAAUGUAUAUCAAUGCAAUAGCCCGGGGCAUUCUGAUUGAUGCAGAUGGAUUUGUUGAGUGCUCAGUAUUCCCUGAAAAAUAUUGCAUGGAAUUAACGUCAUUAACUUAUAAGGAUUGGAAUUUGGUUGACCAGGCCCUCCACAGUGAUCUCAAGAAAAGGUAAAUCUAAUAAAUUCUGAUAAAUCCAUUGGAUAUUGAAAUGAUAUUCUUCCAUUUUGCUUUAUUCAGAAGGGUUGCAGUCGAUGACAAGGAUUCACCAAAUGAUCUGCGACUAGUUAUAAAAGACUAUCCAUAUGCUGUUGAUGGAUUGGAGAUUUGGUUUGCAAUUGAAAAAUGGGUAAGAGAUUACUGUUCAUUUUACUACAAGACCGAUGAAGUGGUUCAACAAGACCCUGAACUCCAAGCCUAGUGGAAGUAAGUCCAAAACGAGGGUCACGGUGACAAAAAACAAGAUCCAUGGUGACCUCAAAUGCAGACACGCGAAUAGAUUCAUGCACCAUUAUCAUAUGGAUGGCUUCAGCUCUCCAUGUAGCUAUUGACUACGGCCAAUAUGCUUAUGCAGGAUACCCCCCUAACCAUCCUACCAUAACCCGCAGGUUCAUGCCUGAGAAGGGCACUCCCGAAUACAACAAACUCAAGCCAAAUCCUGACAAGGUUUACCUUCAAAGAAUCACUGCUCAAGCGAAGACAGUGAUCGCGACUUCUCUGAUUUAACUUCUGUCAAGGCAUUCAUCGGAUGAGGUUUAUCUAGGACAAAGCGGCGCACCUGAAUGGACAUCUGAUGGAACACCGUUAGCAGCUUUUAAGGAACUCGGAAACAAGCUUUUGGAGAUUGAGGAAAGAAUUGUGCAGAUGAACAAUGACAAGAAAAAUAAGAAUUGCAUCGGUCCUGUUAAUGUGCUCUACACGUUGCUCUAUCCUACCAGUGAAGCUGGAAUUACAGUCAAGGGAAUUCCAAACAAUGUCACAAUCUAAUGAUUUACAUGCAACCAAUUAGUUCUAUUUUAAGGUGUUUGAUACUUGUGACAGCUAUCUAUAUACUAGUUUGUAUUGCACGUGAAUUUAUCAAAUCAUUAUACCGUAAAUUGUCAUGUGAAACAGAGGAUCUACUACCACAAAAGAUGCAACCUGCCUGCAACAAUAUGCCAUGCAUAGAGCUUUGAAGAGAUUAAGAAAUGAAUUCAAAAACAUCCCAAAAUACUCGGGAAUAAAGCACCGACCUACAUAAAAAUGAAGCCUAGAACUUGAAGAAGUUGAAAGUGGAUAUACAUAGACAUGAUAUCUAUCGAAUGAACUCAAAACAUUAAUUGUAAUAACAUCCAUACUUGAUCAAAACCAUUAAGUAACAAGCUUAGCAUCAAAUCCUUAAACUUACAAGAAAACUCAACUCAUCUUGAAGCACAAAGACAAAAAAAAAAAAAGAUUAACCAUGUUCAGACCAAUAUCACAAAGACAAACAAAAGAACCCAUAUUCAGAGCAAUUGUGUAGCAAAUCAGUCACCCUUCUUCCUGAAAGAGCAUCCCUCAGUGAGUCUAGCUCGACCUCCAGUCGGCUGGCAAAGGACAGUCUGACAGUUACCACAUACCACCACAGUUUGAGAGUGGCUAAACACAGUUGUUCUGUCGAAAAACAAGAAUGUAAUGUAAUGUAAUGAAUUCCAUCUAUGUUAAUGUACUCUCGUUCCAAAACAUGUGCUCCAUACAUAUUCGGACAUAAGUACAUAAAUAUGAUACACUAAAUAUAUAAUAAAAAAAUUAUAAACAAUUCUCAUUUCCAAUACUCAACAGACUAAAUAUUGUUACAUGAAUAAAGAAGAUUCAAAUUAUACAAGGACUUACAUGUUAAAGCAGCCUUGGCAUUUGACAUCCUUCGCAGAGAGUGAAAGAACAAAGUUAACCCCCCCGACAUAACAUAUUUAUAUGAAAAGAUAAAGACAUAGAUCACAAAGAAAAAGGUUUUAACAAAUUACCAUGAAGAAAGAAUUGGGGGACUGAACGAGACGCUUGAGCUUGUGCUUCUUCUUCUCAAGUUCUACUGGAGGAUUCAACAAAUCGAUAUCGUUUUGGAGAACCUAAUAAUUUCAAACAUCCGCGAAUCAGGUUCUAUUAUAAAAACAACAAAACAAUAUAGUCAGAAGAAACUAAGCAAGAGCUUUAACAGACCAUUUUCGCUUGGCUUGCUAGAUGUUACAAGUGCAACGUGUAAACCCUCGAAGCUUGCUAGGCGGCAGAGGUGAAGAAGGAGGCAACCAAGUGCCUAUGUGAUGAUUUAUAUGUAUAUUGGUUGACCUAAGUCGGUUAAGACAGAAAACCCAGUAAAACCCCGGGUUUAAAACAUUAGCCCAAAUUUUUUCCAACACUAAUUUCGGAUUUAUGUUUCAGCCCAGUCUUGUUCUAGCAAUUGGGUUUUCGGCCUUGGGGAACUCUGAGAGAUGGAUUGGAUUCAUCAUCUUAAUUAUGAUCAUGUUUAUUUUUUGGUAAAUAAUUCUUAAUUCUUUGUUAAUUUUGAAAUUAAGAAAUUAGACCUAUUAAAAAAUAAAGAGUAGUUUAGUCUAGCAAUUAAUUACGUUAACAAUUUUCUUUUAAAUUUAUCCUAAUUUGACAAUAAAAAUUUUAAAUUUAAAUAGCGUGUCAACUAUUUAGAUAAUAUUUUUUCGCUUAAUUACUAUCUAAGGAAAAGGGAAAAAAACUCGAGUUCAUUUGAAUUAAAAUCUAGGAAAAAUAUCAUCCAUAUCCUUCCAUAGUAGAAGUAAUUAAAAAAGACAUGUGUUUCAUAUGUAGAUAUGUCUAAAAACAAUUAAUGCAGUGGUUAGUCUAGUAGUAAUUGGUUAGACCACUUAAGAUAGUUGUAUCAAUUAAUAGAACAUGAGGCGACCUAUCAAUGACCCUCUAUUGGGAACAACCCAUAAGCAAUCUUUCGUUAGAUACCCUUUGUAGUGAUCCCUCCCAGAAUCAUCUUGGGUUAACCUUCCGAGUAUCCUACUUGAUCCACUUUAGAUCUAGUAAGGAGAAUGUCAAAGUAGGACUGUAUACUACCACAUAUGGCAACAACUAACCUAUAACAACCUUGCCCAUAGAGGCAAGCCUACCCUUCGUAUUGUCAGUUGCGUGGCACUACCAAACAGGAGGACACUCUCCUAUAUAUACCCCAAAGUAGGGCCAAGUCAAGUCUAAAUACUGUCAAACUCGAGCUUGAGCUAGACUCGAAAUUCAGAGCUCAAUACUUAACUCGAGCUCAAUUGAAUGUUUAUUUUUAAGCUCGAGCUUAACUCAAGAUAUAAUCGAGCUACUCAAGCUCGAGCUCGAUUAACCUCAUUUACCAAUAUUUGCACUCAAGCUUGAUCUUGAGCUCAACUUAAUAAUUAAGGUUAGGAUUAAUAAUAUAUAUUAAGGGCAAUAACAUAAUUUAGUAAUAUAAAAUAUGAAAAGUUGAUAAGACUUGCAAUCAAUUCGAGUCAAGUAUUACUAGGCUCAAAUUCCACUUGAUUAGGAGCUCGAGCUCCUCGAGCUUGAGCUCAGCUCAAUAAUUACUGAAUUGAGUUCGAAUGUUUUUUGAAUCGAACUCAAGCAGCUUAAGAGCACCAAUGUCUCAUUUACACCCCUACCCAGAGCACAAAAGACAAAUGAUCUCUUUCCUCUCAAGAAAACCUAAGUAUCUUACCUCAUUGCUUAUUGUAUUCUCCUUUUCUCCUCAUCUACAGCCUCUUAUUCUAGCUCUUUGCCUAUCCUAGGUGAAUUGGCCACCCUAUCUCCACCAUCAUCUUCUUAUUGUAAACUCUUUUGUUGAAAUCUUGUAUCAACAAUUGGUGAUAUGAGUGUGAACCAAACCACCAUUGCCUAUUCUUCCAUUGUUGUCCUUGAAAAUGUUGCAAACCAAAACCCAAGCACAAACUUAACAGCCUCCCCAAGUCACUCAACAACCACUUCUUAACCUUAACUAGCAACAAAGUACGCAACACUAAUUCCACCUUCAUCGGGCACCUCCUCCACUAUCUCUCGUGAUAACCCACACUUAUCCUUUAUAUUACCAAUUCCCACUUCCACCCGAGUGGUAUGCCCAACCUCCUCAAGGCAACACUAGUGUCCCUUCCAAUGAGGAAACCUCCCAAAACCCCAACUUCAACUCUCAAUAGUUCACUAAGACGCAAGAGAAAAUAAGCUUUCUUGAAAUUCAAUUUUUAGAGCAGCAACAACUCUAUAAAAAACAAUAAGAGCUUCAACACCUGUUGAGCCAAAAGAAUGCAAGAAAUGAACAGAUUAUAAAAAAAGCUCAAAGCUAGUAGAGACCCUUCUAGAACCAACCACCCAACCUAGGAGGAGGAAACCACCAGUCCUUCCUCUAAAGGCAUAGAAACCAACGCCUACCAAACAACCCUCAAUGUCAACCUCAAGGUAACCUCCACCUAGCAGAUUCUCAAAGCGAGGCCCCUCAUAACCAAAAUGUUUCCUAGGAGGAGCAAAUGCUAGCACUAAGAAGAAAGUUAUUAUAGGAAUUUUGAGGUGUCAAAUCUAAUGAAACCUCUUAGAGUUAUGCCAAUGAACCCCUUUCAACGGAAGUCUUAACCCACAACUUAUCCUCAACCUUCAAGUUCCCCAAAGCUUCUUAUGGGGUCAGAGAGACCUUGAGGACCACUCGACUCACUACAAUAACCAUAUGAACAUUUUAAGGGCCUUAGAUACAAUCAAGUGUAGGGUGUUCUCUAUGACACCCACCCAUACAGCCCUAACUUGGUAUUUGUCUUUACCGAAGGGUACCAUUCACACAUUUGACCAACUAACCAAUCUAUUCAUGAGUAGAUUUUUAGCCAACAAGUCCCUUCAACAAUCCCUAGAAAACUUUAUCUUGAUCUGCUAGAUAGUUAAGUUUUUAUUGAAUAUUGCUAUCAAUUUUAAUUUAAAAUAAUUUAAAGACAAAUAAUAAAUAUAAUUUUAUAUUCUACUUUAACAUUUAACAAGAAUAAGUUAUUUAAUAUAAUAUUAAAAUUAAAUAACAAUGGUUAUGUUAUAAAAGUAAACUUUUUUAUGAUAAAUCUAUUUUUAUUUUUCAAGUUUUUAAAAUUUUAAUUAAAUUUAUUAAUUUUUUAUAUUAUAAAUUAAAUUAUUGUUAAUUAUUAAAAUAAAAUAUUUAAAUUUUUUUAAUUAAACUAUGUUUUUCAAAUCAUCAAAAUUAAUACCAAUAAACUAGGAAUAUGCAGUCUGAGGCCACAGCUGCUGGUGGUGUUAUGAGCAUACGGGCACUUGGUUGGUUAGCUGAUUUUCUGCGAAAUAUGCACUUGUUCGAUCCUUACGGCUGAGGUAUGGGGGGCGCAUGAUGGGCUUCUGCAGGCGUGGGAGUUGGGGGAUAGGAGAGUUACUCUAGUGAUGGACUGCAAAGCAACAGUUCAGUUGCUGCAAGAACUGACAGCGGAAAAAUCGUGUUUCGCCACUGUCCGAGGGCUCAACGGUUGUUGCGAUGACAAUGGGAGGUAAAGAUUCAACAUGUCUAUAGGGAGGGAAACAGGACAGCGGCUGCUUUGGCUGCACAUGCACUUCAUUGCCCACUUGAUUUCUGUAAUUGGAUACAACCGUCAGCUAAGAUUUUUAUCUUUUUUACAUGGCGACUUGGAUGGUAUACGGCAUUCACGUUUGGUUGCUGUGUGAAUUGUAUUGUUUUUCUCUCUAUUAUAAAUAAAUAAAUAAUAAUAAUAAUAUUGAAUUAUAAAUUUUUUAAUAUAUAAUGAAAAAAUAAAGUGAGAAAUUUCACAAGCGUACAACAAGCACAGAAAAAAGGAAGCAAAACUCUACAGUAUUCGGACUAGCUGAUGAUACUACCUCAUCCUGAUGCUUUUUCUUUUCUUAUUCGUUCUUCUUUGGGAGGAUUGUUUUUCUUCAGCCUUAAUGGCUUAAACCCAGAAACCUCUCUAAUUAUUUCUUCCACUGGAACUUCAAUGCCGAGCUUCCUUUCCUAAAGCUUCUCAAUUCCUCUCCAUUCUCUUCAAAACCCACUUAAGGUAAGUCCCUCCACGAAACCCCAAACCCCUUUCUUCAAAAUUCUCUCCCUCAAACUGUUGUUGUGAUCAGCUAAAUAAUUCUAGAAGAGUAUUCUUUUAUUAAGAUCACAUUUUAAUAUUUUUAUUUCUCUUGUGGGUUGGAUAUUUGAUUUCUUCUUCAACUUUUAUUCAGGGUAGAUAUGCAAAUAAAUCAGCUUCCUCUAGCCUUCCAGGCCUCGCAACCACCAAAACAGGUUACUUUUUUUCCCUACUUAUCUUUCUUUUUGUGUAAUUCUCAGCCAUUUUUGUUAGAGUAAACUAGUAGUAAAAACAAGUUAAAAUUAAGUGAAUUAAAUGUUGGGUUUUAGGCUAGAAUUUAGUUACCAUUGAAAUGGAUGGAUUGUCAACUGUGGUUUUCCUUUGAAUGUUGAAUUGUUGCUGAUUGAUGAAAUUCUUUCUUUUUGAAUUCAUAAAAGUGGAAAUCUUUGUUCCGAUGACAACUUUAAUUAUGUACCCUUGUUUAUGAAAUUGAAACUUUCAAACUAGCUUUUAGAAUCAAAGGUACAGUAAUAAUAUUCAUCAAGCAGUAAGUUACUCUCUUCUUCUCAUCAUCAUCAGCCCGUUUUAAAAUGGAUGCUACAAGUUAACAAGCCUUUCCUUUUGGGAGUUUCAAUGUAAGCCGUUAGGUUGCCAAGAGAAUUUCAGGAAUAUGAUUAAAGGGUAAUCUGGGAAGGUGAAAAUGCAACCUUUAUCCAUAAGGUAGAUGAGAAUGUGUCCAAGUGAUUGACAUUUUUGAACAGAUAGUUGCAUUACCACUUUGACUUGCAAGAACAACUGAAUCAAGCUAUGUUACUCAGAUUUUGAUGUGAGUGUCCAGUUUAGGCAUGUGUUCAACAUUUGUAUUGUAUGUUCAUUUUGUCUAAGUUCUUCAAUGUGUUUGGAGGGUCAUAUCCCCAUAAAUACCUCAUAAAGAUGUUUGGAUACAGAACCUGGACACGGGUAUUGCCAUAAAAUUGAAGAGUCAAAGCAACAUAGGUGUCAAGAACAACACAAAACUUGGUAAAAGCCAAAGAUUAACACUGUGAACAGAUUCUCUUUUUGCUAUGUUCAAAAUCAAAAUACAAAAUAGUAUAUUUGGUUAUAUGGUUGGUGUUUGUUUUGGUCAUUCCCUUGCCAGUGUGUGCUUUUGUAAGCUGAUAUUGUAAGUUCCUACAUGCAGCAUCAGCUCCCUGCAUCUCAAAUAAAGGCAUAUGUUCUGUCAAUGGUGAACAUCAUCUGAAUAGCCCAACAAAGCAUUCUGAAGAUAUUGAUUCAUGUAGUUUGAAUGUAAGUCCUUGUACUUCCAAUUGUAAUAAUGGGUUAUUGGGUAGGACCAGAUAUCGAUGAUGGUUGGGGAUUGUAGAAGCUUGUGUCUACCAAAGUAGGUGAUUCUUUUUAAAAUUGCAUCAAUGGUUUUUUGCAUGCUCCUUCUGGUAGCUGGAAUAUUAAGGAUAAAAAGUAUAAGUUAUCCAUUGUCAGUAUAUGAAUCUGGUAAUUUCCGAAUGGUUCUCUAAUGAAACUUUAUUUUGUAUAGAGAAAUUUCUUUACCCUUGGAAGACGUAGUUAGUGAAAAUUACAUAUGAUUCUGAUUUUCCGGUCUUUUUAUGUCUAUAGUCAUUAGCAUAUCUAAUGCAGGGAAAAAUUGUUGUGGAAGGUUAUCUUAUCCAGGGUCUUUAUUUUCCUUAAAACACUCUUGUCAAAUUACAUAUUUGGGCAUGAGUACGGAGUACGAUCCUCAAAAAUAUAUAGAUAAAAAGUUAGAAAAAAUUGAGCAUACUCUUAUUAGAUGCAUAUUUGUGUCCGUACUCACCUCUAAUCUAGGUACCAUUAAUUGAAGGGAUGGGUGAAUGCAUGAUUUAGAAAACAAAAAAUAGUAAAGAAAUGUUUGUUCUCCUCUAUGGAGUUUCCUUCUGUUCUCAUUUCGGUUUCCUUCUAUGCAUGUCACCAUGCAUAUAAGAUGGUGGCCAAACUCUUAAAACUAUAAUUUGUUAGAUUGUGGCCAGAGGUUUACCUGCUCCCCGGUACUAACUUCUAAAUAGAUAAUCACCAUGGUUCUUGGCUUCUGAAAGGGAAACAAGCUCACAGGAACUAGUUCCUGGGAUCUUACUACGUUCUUUUUAGGUCAGCUGGCGCUCACCUUGACCCAAUCCUCAGUUAAUAAAACUUGGGUUUUCAGCUCUCUAGUUCUUUUUUUGGGGUCAUUCAAGUUCUCCAGUUCAAUGGUUUAUUUUAGGUUGAGUAACCAUUUUUCCUUUUGGACAAUGGUUUAGUUAGAUGGGUUGCAGUCACUUUUGGGUUUGGGCUCACAACAAUUGAUAAAUCUUCAAUAGAAAGUUUAUAUUUUAUAACUUUUUAUGUGUAUAUACCUAAUGAUUACAUUAAUUACAACCCAAAUUGUUACAUCUUAUAUCAGAAAAUUUUAAAAUACUUAAAAAAUAAAUAACCUUAUAGUAAAUAUUUAAUUUUAAGGGUGUUUUAAGUUUUAAUUGGCAAAAUGAUUGCGUAUAUAUCGUUUAUAAACGUAUAGUUCAUCAAAUAUAAAUCAAAUAGAUCGGAUUAAAUUAUCACUAAAAAAUUCGACAAAUCAUAAUAAUUUAUCCUUAUUUUUGUAUGACAUGUCAAAUCAAAAUUAAAAAAUAAUGCCUAAAACAAAAAUUAAUAGGAAAACGAAAUUGCAAUAUAUUCUAACAUUAGACAUCAAUAUUUCAGGAAAAAUAAAAAUAAAGGAAAGAAACACUUAUUGUUGAACCAAAUGAGCGAAAUAUUAUCAGAAAAGGGUGAUUGCUGUUUCUUAUACUUCUUGUAUGUUUGGAUUUAGCUGGUUUAGAUAAUUCUUUCAAUGGUGGUUGAAUAUUUACUCUUAUCUAGACCUUUGUCUUCAUUACCUUUAAGUUAAUAAACAAUCAUAUCUUCAGGAACUAGGACUAACUAGUUAAACUAGCAAGGUAAACAUUUGCUUGUCAUUGGCUGUUGAAUGAAAUUUAUACAGUUUUCUGUUGAUUCAAAUGCUAUGGUAGAUAUUUGAGGUAUGUGAAAGUUAUAUUGAUAAAAUUCAAAGUAUUGAUAUAAUUAAAAAUAAGCAUUGGUUUCCUAGUAUCCAUGAUAUGCAUGGAGCAAAUGAACAUCUAUGUAUGCAUAUUCUUAGACCAUUGUAAUGUCAUUACAUGCAUCAACUUUGUUGUGGACCAUCAGCAUUUCUCAUUGAUCAUAUAUUAUAUCAAACUUUUAAUACGAUAUGCAUCUCUUGCUAUGCAUCUGAAGGCACAUUGCAAUUUGCAACAAUGUUGCACUUGCCUACUCUGAGUUGCUGAAGCUCACAUGGACUAUUCAUGAGCCUCCUGCUUUCUGUCCUGAAAAAUGGGCGCACUGAAUGCAAUUACAACACCAGAUUGCUUUAAUUUAUUGACAUUCACCAUUGCCAAAGUUCCAGACAGCACUCACAGACAAGGGAUGCAGGCCCUGCAGGAGUUCAGGUUAUGGAGCUCAAUACCGCAAUUCCGUGGUCGGAGCCAGCGGCAACAACAUUUAUCCUUAAAUCAUUAUAUCAAGAAAACUUCACAUAAUACCACAUUGAUAUAGUUGGUCCGUGAGUUUUGAGGUUUUCAAAAUCAUCCUGUACUCAAGAAUACUGCUGCAGAUUAGUACAUUGGUAUAGUUAGACUCAAAGCUUUGAGGCUUUCAAAAUCACUAUGUAAAGAAACCAUCACACAAAAUGCUGCAAUGGUUAUGGUUUGAUGCAAAAAGUUUGGGAUUUAAUCAGCUUUUGUCUCCUGUACUACCUCAUUUAUGUAUUAUUCUUCUCCUUUUGAAAGGGGAAACAUUUUGAGUUGGAGUUUCUUUCACCCCUUUUGGAUGGAAAGAGAGUGGCAACAUACCAUAGUUGAGAAGUGGUCCCAAGAGCUUAUAGAAGCCCUAGGAUUGAUGCCCUAAGGCCUUGACAGAUAUUCUGGAUUUAUUAAUUAGGGUUCAAGCAAUCAUCUUUUAUGGGAAAACAGCCUGAACCAAUUGUAUAUAUGGUAAAAAAAACAAACAAACAAGCAUGCCUGAAGAUUUAAAUUGCAAUUUUCACGAUUACUCAUGUAAUGUGAAGCUACAGUUUCAGUGGUCCCCGUUUCUAGGGUUUAGGGAACCCUUAACCUAGUAUAUUUUAGCCUGUUUUUGACUAUUCUUUUGCUGGAGAUCUAUGUGGAACAUGGCAACAGUGCUUGCCAAUGCUAACACACACAUCCAGAAAGGGUAUUCAUUGUUUCAAGUCUGGAUUUACUGAAAAUUUUACGUUUGGACUUUGGAAAAGAAAUGGGAAAAUGUGCUUGGGCUCUUGUUUUCACUAAGACUACUAGAGAAAUGAUGUCAAUAGUGAAGAAAUGUGAUUUGCACCUUUGUUUCACUUGUUUAUUUUUAAUUUUUCUCUUGCUUUUUCUUUUAUUGGAUAUCUUUUUUCUUCCUUACAAAGGGGGCCAGGGAAUGGAUUAGCUGCAGAUGGGAUCUAAGUUAAGGGUGCCAACUAGGAGAAGCCUUUCUUUUCCUUUUCCCCCGUUUUUCUUGUUUUAUAUUUCCCUCUUUUGGAAGGGAUAAGAAGAUUAGCAAAACAAAAAAAGCGAUAAGGAUUGAAAUCUUAGAACCCCCCCCCCCACCCCCCCAAUUAAUUAAAGAACUGAUAUGACUUAUCAUGUAGUUUGAUUUCGGAUUGUUGAAGAUCAAUGGUCCUUUUUCUAUAUAUCUAUGGCCACAUUCUCCACCUAAAGAGCCUUGGAUAGGUUAGUGAAGCAUACAGCUGAAUACUGCUACUACUAUAAAUGGUGCCAUACACAGUACAAUCAAUAUUCAACUUUAUUUUUCAGAUGGUGCUUUGAUAGCAGACCCUAAACCUAAGUGGAAAUCAACUACUGUACAUGAUGAUUUAUAAUUGUAUAACUCAAUGAUAAUUACACCUCAUGACAUGUUCUGAACUAAUCAUUUGAUGCAUCAUCAAGGAAAUAUGCAGGAAAAACAGCUUUCUUAUUAGAGUUACAAUUGUAAGAAAACAGUUAAUCUGACAAAUUCUAAUCUCAUUUCUCCAAAAUUGUAUCUUCAGGUUCUAAAAUUACAAAGAGAUUAAGAUUCUAAUUAUCAAUUCAAAGAAAUCUAAUUUCUCCCUUUGAUGUAUCUAACAUGUUUAUGCAUAAAAUCCACUGACUAAUUAAUAUUCGGCAGUCUUCUCUAAGCACUCAGCUCAAACUUGAGCUGCAUCAAACUCAAGUAUAGAUAAAGCAAAAUAUCAAUAAAUUCCAUUGAAGUCUCAUUUCUAGCUAAGAUAAAAAGAAACAAGCAAAAUACGGAUCAUUCAUUUCAUAAUUAACUUACACAGAAGUUUCCCUUUGCCGCAAAAUGUAGGGAACCAGAGAGAGAAGAGAGAAGGAAAGAGUAUGUAAAGGAGCAUAAAUCAAGGAAAUUAAGCUACAAAUUAACCUUAUAGUGUAGUAAAAAAAAAGCUAGAGAAGAUCGAAAUCAAUUGAUUACAACCUGUCGUCCUUGAUCUUGCUCAUUCAUAUCCCACCAUUAAUUCACCAUACACACACACACACACACGCAUACAUACUAUAUAUGUUUGUUCAGGCCUUUUGUCUCAAUUCUCAACUCUAAACUCUUGUGCUUGGAGCUUCAGCCUGUUGAUGAGGUGGUUGGUUACUUCUAUCUUCUGAUGAUUCUUCAUCUUUGUCUUGAGAGCUUAUGCAGGUAGCUUUGUUUUGGGUAGCUUUGUCUCUUUCAAUCUCCCUAUAUUUAUGUAAAUACCUUACUAUAGCAUCAGCAUAGUUGUCAAACCCUAGAGCACCCAAAGCCCAACAGAUGUCAUCUCCAUUGACAGUCUUACGAUUCUCUUUGCGACACUUGUCAGAUGCCUCGCCAGUGACAAAGCUUAUAAACUCUGUUGCACAUUCUUGCAGUGUUUGUUUAGCCUCUUUUGAAACCUUGGCAUUUGGUGGCAGGAUUUGUUUCAUAAUCCUGCCCACGUUGGCAAUUGGCAGCAAUCUCUCUUGUUCAUCUACCAUGCUUGCAACUCAAAAAUCUGAUGAUGAACUUGAUGUUCUCAAGCUUAGACACGUAGCUCUUUCUGAUCCGUAGCCUUUCUUAUAUUAUAUAUAAAUGAGGAUCUGCACGUUUAUGUAUGUAUACAUGCAUGUGUAUAUGUACUAUGAGCUAGGAUGCAACAUCAUCAUUUGAUGACAUCCUGGUUUCACAAUCAUCACAUUCACUCCGUUGUAUUCAAAUCACUCUUAAUCUUCUAUGUGCGUAUAUGUAUCUUAUACAUAAAAGGUAAUUAAAAGGUCUUGAAACAGCCUCAGGUACUUACCUAUUCUAAAUAUUCUUUUAAAAGUUGAGAGUUCGAGUGAAUUUAAAGGCGAUCUGAAUAUUAAUUAUUAGUCAAAUAUUUUGAGGGUAUAGGUUAGAUAAUGAAGCAAAAAAAAUCUUCCAAAGACAAACUUUUUUAUACUUCAAAUCUGCUAUGCGAAUGAGAUUAAGGAUAUUCGUUCUUACUUAUUUACUUCAGAUUUUCUUUUUGUCUAUUGAGCAAAUACUAACUCAAGCAUCAAAACACUUACCUAAUCAAAGAUGUGAAAAUUUUGAACACACUAGCAAAUCCAAAUCAAUUUUAAACAUGAAAUACUGUCCCAAUAUCAUGCCAUUAAGACCUUCAUUCAGGUGGUUUUAUCAGAUCACAUCUCAAGAAACCUUCAAACUUUCACCUUAAGUAGCAUCUUAAUUAGGUAAAAUGAACACAACUUAGGUAUAAAACAAUGCCAAGUGGAAGUUUUUAUGUCAACUUUACUAACUAAUGGUCAGUAUUAUCCUUAAUCCAAAUCAAGCUAGAUUAUGCAACUAAUGCAAAAUUCUUAAAGUUCUAAACUAUUUAAGCUAUCACUGACCAAUCAAAGUUCAAGCAAAAGUGAUCAAGAGGGCUUUUUCUACAUAGAAAAUCUUGAUAUAUCUACAGACCAUUUGCAGCAGGUUCUCCACAAAAAAAAAACCUCAAACCCUAAAAAGACUUAACUAUGGUCCCCCCAUUUCAUUCCCCCCACUAUCACCUUAAACGGCUUCAACUCUACCCUCAUAAACUGCAACUUUUUUAUCCAUUUUGCUCUCUAAAUAUCUCCAUCUUUAGCUUAAAAUAUUAUUUAUAGACAAUAUAUUCAAAAUAAGCAGAGGAUAUUUUCGCAUGUUUUAGUAUUUAUUAUACUUUUUAUCAUAUAACAGCACACCUAAAAAGAAUUUGAUUCAUGCCGAUUGAGUAUUAAUUCAUUAUACUUAUGAUAUUGCAAAAUCUUAAAAAUUGUGGGUUCAGGUAGACUUAAAAUUGUAAUGUCCAUUUCAAGUAAACACAAUUAGUUAAGGGUUCGGAGGGUAAGAAUAGAUUAGAAUAUAUAUCACCAAAAAAAAUUGAUUUAUAAACUUAAGGUGGGUUUGGAUGGGCGAUUGGGUGUGGUGCGGUGCGUUUAGUUUACUUUUUGUCUCACGCUACAAUAUCGCUACGGUGUCUAAUCUCACCGCCACCGCUGUUUUUACACUAACCGCAGGUAAACGCACCGCCCAUCCAAACUCACCCUUAGUGUUUGAAAUCCUCAUAUUAGCUCAUAAAUUAUAGAUUAAAUUCAGAUUUUGUCACUAUUUGGCUGCAACGAAAUCCUUUUUUUCAUAAAAUUAGUUUUGUUAGGUUUUGGUCAACUUUAGAUAAUAACUCUUAGUGUAGAAGUUAACAUAUGAGGCCAUACUCCAUAUUGAGUACUUUUUGGCAGAUAUUUACAUUUAAAAAGACUAGUUAUCUCAUUGUGGGAAUUCUUGUGGGGUUCUACAUGCAUCAAUCUUAUAGCUGGCUCCACUAACAAUUCCCACUAAGCUUGAAAAAGUUAUCUGCAACCAUUAUACAUACUAUAUAUUACGGAAUUUUGCAGCAGGUUUUUCAUUUGGCUAGUAGUUCACAUUAUAAUUUAGUGUCACUUAGGCAUAAUAUUGUUCAAGAUCAUAACCAGUCUUAGUCUUUAGAGUUUGAUUUUCAGUAGAUAUCAGUGCUUCCACUACCUCUUAACCUUUCCCACUCAACAAAAGGUCACUUCUAUGUUAAGCUUCUCCAUUUUCUUAUGCAUUUAAAACAAAACACUGUUAAAGAGGCAUGACUAACUAAAAUCAUUUCAAUUUGCCUCAACAAUUUAUUGGAUUUAGUUAAUGAAUUGUACUUACUACUUAAAGCUUCAAGAGUAAUAUUGCAAGCAAGUCUCAGACCGAGAUUUAAGUCCAAUUGAUUCAAGUAGUCACCUAAAAGGAUUAAUAUAUCUAAAUCCUAAACUGAAAAUAUACAGCUUUAAAUUAAAGACUGUAAAACAGCACAAUCAGAUUCCAUCUUUUUGAAAGCAAGAAACAUCCUCAUAUGCCAUAUAACACACAUUUGACAUUAAAAAUUAAUCAUAUAUAGUUUAAUAUAUUAAUUGAGCUAAAGGACAUUUUCUUAUCAAGCUAGUUGCCUGUUACAGCAAAAGAUGCUUAGAAUAAUAUAAAUGCAAAAGCUGCCCAAACCUUUCACCCAGUCACUUGCAUCAAGGGUUUUCAAACAUUAUUAUUAUAAUCUAGCUGGGGUUCCAUCCAUAAGGGAUUAAACAAAAGGGCAUUAACAGUAUAACCAUGGAAAAGGGGGAAAACCCUAGAAUGUUGGAACUUUUUUUAGGUCUUUAAUUGCGGUAAUAAUAAAAUAUACAAUAUUUUUCCUGGUUUCAUCUUGUUAAUUAGGCCAUAACCUAACUUUGGUAUGAAUUCCUUUCACUGUGUCUGCAAUGCACUCAAUAAUCUAGAAUCUGAUUUGAUUUAAUCUAGUUUUGUCUGAAAAUGACAUGUUUAAUUAAUAUAUAAAAGAAGAAGUGUAUAAUUAACUUUCUAGAGUUAGGGUUUAUAGCCUUGGUUAAUAGGAUAGCUCGGAACUUGAUGCUUUUCUUGUUGUUGAAGAAGGUCAAUUUUUGUAGCUUUAUUAUCUGAUUACCCAUUGGUUAUUUGUGCAGAAACUUUUCUGGAAAUUCAUGUCACAUUGGUUAACCUGUUUUCUUGAAAACACAUUAAAUGCUUCUUCUUUUUUGCUAAACCAAAAGGUUACAAAACUAAGAAAGGCAACAGAAAAAACCCAACACACCAAAAGGACUAAAAUAUACUUAAAAAGACACCUGAAAACUCAAAUAUAUACAUUACAAGAACCUUAGAGAAAUCACCUAAAACAUGGAUACACAUCACCUAACAAACACUUACACUCACUAAAACCAAAUGUCAAACACUUAACAUUGUAUACAUAAAGCUCUUGCAAAUUAAACCAGUCAAUGCCAAUCUCACCUGGUCCGUUGCUUGUAAUUGCAUAAUUCCUUCCAUCACAACAGCACAGUUAUUAGCUAGCAAUCAAAACCAAGAAGGAAACGCAUAAUCAUCAACUCCUGGAGUGAUUAAAUGCUAAAGUUACAUAUUUUAUGUAAUUAAUUUGGUUAAUUUAUGAGAAUGCACCACUAAUUUUGCCAUAUUUAUUGAAUUUUGUGCAGGAAUGUAAUUUGGGGCUAAAUAGAAGAAAAAGGAAACAAUUGGGGCAAAUUGAAGAAAGAAGCAAAGAAGGAGGGCCAAAGUAGAAUUUUUCCAAUAUUAAUUAGCUGAAAAUUGUGUUGACUUAGGGGGAGAUUAUUUUGGGAUUUAUUUUAUUAUGGGAUAUUUUUCCUUAACUUCCUAUGACUAGUUGGCUCCUAAUUUAGUAAACUCCCUAGUAUAAAUAGAGCUUGUAUUGUUCAUUAAUUCAUCAAUCAAAAAACAUUUAGCUUUUAUCUUUCAAAUUCUCUCCUUUCUCACGUAGCCUUUGUUAUUUCUUUGUUUGUUUUCCUUCAAUUUAUUAGUUCCAGUAGCCUACCAUCCAUUUCACAUUUAUUUUCAACUUUUCACAAAUUUAUUUAUUGUCUUUAGUUUCUUUAACUUUCAAUUCCUAAAACUUCCAGCUUGUUACUACUUACCAUUUACAACUCCUUUUUCAAAAUCCCUUUUUCAACCACCCCACUUUAAUAUAUUCCAACCCCCAUAUUCAAUCACAUCACCCACCUUUUCACCCAUUUACCUUAAUUAAUUUAUCAAAUAUCAACAUGUCCCAAACCUUAGCCAACUAAACCCUUUUUCAGCUUUAGGCCGAAAUUAGUCUCGUCAAAACCCGUGAGUUACGAACCCAAGCCAUUUAACUCUUAAAAUUUCAGUACUUAUUACUUUUCCGGAUUAAGAGUAUGAUUUUGUCAGCUCAUAAAGUCAGAUCAACACUAAGUCAAAAAAGACGUUGUCUAAUUUAGUGUGGUUAGACGUACAGUGGAAUUCCGAAAGGAACGUUUCUAAUCGGUUUUCUGUGAACACAUUGGCGUGCCAAGUGGAGAUUGCUGUUUGGUUCCGUCAAGGGAACUAGUAACCGGAUUUAAAUGUCCCACGCGGUUGAGGGCAUUGGUUCGAGCUAGGCUCUUCUAGAACGCAAAGCUGCUGGAGUUCUAAAUCACGAACGUUUCGUGGUUGUUCGAUCGGUAAGAAUUAGUUAUUGGACGUUCCAUAACUAAUUUACACAAGGAAGAGUUGGUGUCCGAGGCGUCCUUGGUAGCUAUAACUAGCUUUUUGGAAAAGAGGAGUUCAUCCAAUUUCGAGGAUCGGUUCAAAGACGAGAAAAAUUCGUGUCUAAAGCUAAGCUCAUUCUAAUUAAUUUUUCUUAAUAUUUAUUUCACGGUUUUUAUUAUUUUGUUUUCAACUUUUACUUUUGACGUUAUUUUUCUGUUUAUUUCAGGUUUUCAAAUUUUUAUCCCCCUGAACGUCUUGGGCACGGCAGAUGCCCCGACAUAAAUCUGGUCAAGCGAGCAACAAUUUACAGUAAACCCAGUCUCUGAGGGAUCGACCCUACUCCCUAUACUGCUUAAAUCGCAAAUUAGGCGUAGGUUUAUAUUAGUGGAUUCGACACCCAUCAUGGAGUUAGUAGGAAACCAAAUGGUCUCCACCAGUAUUCAACUUUUAUAGAGUAAUUGGCACCAACUCCUAUAAUCCACCCCUGCAAAUCACCAUUGAUUGAACUUUAACACCCAUAUCACCACAUGGAUCAAUUCAUCACCAAGACACAAAGCUUAAUUAGGAGUAAUUAAGUACAGUGAUUAUGUAAUAUGGUUAGCAAGCUGUUGUAAAGCGAUUUGGACAUGUAUAGAAUCAAAAGUACUUCAACAAAAUUGAUGAGUGUCAAACGGUUUGGUUAGUUCUAUGACUUUUGGUCUAGGUUACAUACAUGAAAAACUUGAAAAGAACUGAAACUUGAUAUACGCAUAUACAUUUACAACUCUGACGCCCGAAUCUGAAUUUUAUAGCUUUUCUACCUCUUCCUUUUCUUGAAUGAAUAGAAGCCAUUGAACAUAGCAUACAAUUUAUAUGGCAAAUUAGCUAAGAUUGCAAUGCUGUUUAACAGAUCGAGAGUAACACAAUUUUUUUUAGAAUGUUCAUUUUCUUAAUAUCACUAACAGUGUAUUAACAUACAUGCAUAUAUUAUAUAUUUGAAGUCCAAACAUGAAUAAAAUCUAAUACACAAGUUCAAGCUUCUCUCACCUUCCACUAGGCUUUCUUUGUUUUGAGAAGAUAUAAAGAUGUCAACAAGAGAGAUUUAGCCAGUUUCAUCUACUCACCAAUGGGCUUCUCACUUAAAAGAGCCCGUAACUUUUGCUUUUGAACCGUAAGUCAUGGCCCAUGGGCCUUAUGGCAUCUUCUAUUUAUUUAUUUUGGGUUAAAAUAUAUUUCCAAUCUGGUACGCUUUGUAGAUCUGAAUUUUGUCUCUUUAUUUUUAUUUCAAAUAAUUAAAUUAUUUUAUUUUUUGAAUUUAAAGAUAUAAGUUUAAUUGUUAAUACGGUUAAAAUUAUUUUAUUAAAUUUAAAUUCAUUAUAAUGUCAAUUUUUUUUUACUAAUUGAAUUUUUUUUAUUUUAAAAUCUAUAUCAUUAUUUAAGCUUCUAACUGAGUUGGUGCCAUGAGUCGACCGGGCAACCACUCGGUUAGAUAAAUUACAUAAAUGUCUUUUUGUAAUUAAAAUAAGUUAUAUUAUUCGAUGGUAUUUUAGUCUUUUUUAUUUUAACAAAAACUAAUAAAAUUAUACAUAUAGUGAAAUUUGGACGCACACUAAUUAAAUUAAUAGAAUCUUAAUUUUACCACUCAAUCAAAGUUUUAUUUUGAUAUGUUUUAUACAUUUUUAUUUUAAUAUGCACGAUUUAUUAUCUCCACUAGUUGUAUAUAUAUAUAUAUAUUGAUAAUGUUGUUCAUUGAGUUGAUGUCGACAUUAACUCACAAUUGACGAUAAAACCAUGAUAAAUAUUUCUAGUGCAUUUAGUAUUGUUUAUCUAAUCUAUUUAUGCGUUUAAAUUAAUUUUUACUCAUAAUUUAAUCUAAUUUUUUAUUUGAAUAUUAUACAUAUUUCGUGUGUUAUUAUGAUUAAUUAAUUUCAAACUAUACAUUUCAUUAUAUAUCAUCUUUAAAGACACAUUUGUGUUCUAAAUCCACAAUUUUUAAAUGUAUACGUGUGUGAUAAGGUUUUUACUGUUAUAAUUUUUUUUGUCAACAAAUGAAUUUGUUGAAAAUAAAAAGUAAAAGGCAUACUAACUUUUUUGGCUCUCUAUUUAAAAAAAAAUUAUUUUAGCCAUUCAUUUAAUUUUUCGUCAAUUUUAACCUUUAAAUUUACAUUUUUUGGUUAAAUUAUCUCAAUAUAGAUGAAAAAAUUAAUGUUUUUUAAUUUUACUUACGCGACAUACACGUAGGUUGCCUCAUAAAUAACAUGUAAACAUUUAAUAUUUUAAAAAAUUAAUUAAAUGUAAUUCACGUUCGUGCCACAUCAGAGUUAACAAAUUUUUCCUUUCACAAAAAUUAAAUAUAUAUAUGGUAAGUUGGAAGGAAAAAAAUAAUUAUGCUAAAGUAAAAAGGGAAUAACAAAGAUUACGUAACUUGAAGACAAGGCGCAAGUGCCAACCCAAACAAAGCUAACAUAUCCGAACACCUCCCAAUAAAACUCCGUUACAUUUUUAAACAUUUCGUCGCUAAAAAGUAUUUCUCAAGUCUUAAAACUGGUACGUAUAUAAAUCUCGGGUCAAAUUCAAAUCUCCGAGACGAACACAGAGGAAAGUCAAUAAAAAAUUGGCGACGAUGGCGAGGGCAAGCUCUGGCCUCGCGUACCCGGAACGAUUCUAUGCGGCGGCUGCUUACGUUGGCUUCGACGGAUCUCCCAAUUCCAACGACAAGGACAUUGGCUCCAGGUUCUCCACUGACGUCGCUUUGAUCCUGUACGCCUUAUACCAGCAGGUAAUUUCACCGUUCUCAAUUCCUUCUCUCUUAUUUCAUUGGAUGCCGCCUUCUUCAAUACGAAAGCGACUUGUUUUUGCUAAUUUCCGGCAAUGUGAUGUUUAUCUUAUUUCGGAUAAGGAUUUCGUGUAUUAGGAUUGCUUUUGUAUAUAAUAUUUUUGGAGCAUUUGAAGUGUAAUUAUUGUAGAUCUGGCUUUAUACUCUGAAUUCAAGACAAUUCGGAUGUUGAUCUAUCGAAUAAUUGAAUGAAUAUUUAUUUAGUACUUGAAUAUGAAGCUCGUGUUUUGUUAGGUUACUAAUUUUCCGAAUUGCUAUGUGAUUACAGGCUACUGUAGGCCCUUGUAAUGUUCCAAAACCGAGUUUGUGGAAUCCUGUCGAACAAGGCAAAUGGAAAAGGUCUGCAAGCUCAUUUACUUCUAUUUGUAAUUUUACAUUUCUAGUCUUGUUGUUGUUGUGUUGUAACGGUCAUUUUAAUUUUGUUAUGGUUAUUCCUAGGGUGAUACUGUUUUGAUCCAUUUACUCAAAGUGGUGCUGAUGAUAGCAAUGUUUAUUCAGAGAGAUGUGAAUGGAUAGUCACUUAUAUGUGGGAUGGAUUUUUUUGGUUGUUUCAACAUUUGGUGGCAUUGUGGCAUGGUGCAUAGUUUUUAUUGCGUGCUUCUACUGGAAAAAGCAUGGAGAUGUACUUCUGUGUUAUUUAUAUUUAUCAGAUCUAGAUUGUUCCAAUUUUCUCUCUGCCAUAUGCUUGUUUUUUAUGUUUGUUUAUUAUGUAACUCGAGAAUUAGAUGAUAGAAAGCAAUUUAUUAUAUGUCAGAUGGAUGUUGUCCAUGAUUUUUUUUCCUUCUUUCUUUUUGAUAAUCGUUCUUCUGGUAAAGCUUUUUUUUAUUUAUACAGCUGGAAGCAGCUUGGAAAUAUGGUGUCUGCAGAAGCUAUGCGUCUCUUUGUGAAAAUAUUGGAGGUACAGGCCAUAACUUUUUUGAUAUUUUGCGUUUAUAUGAAUCAUUUUAGUUUGACUUAAUUGUUUUCUAUUUUGUUCCUUAUUCUUUGACUCAUUGUUCAGGAAGAAGAACCAGGAUGGUAUUCACGGGCAUCUAACUCUGUUUUGGAGCCUGUUACAGAUGUUCAAAUGAAUGUGAGUAAUCUGUUAUUUUCUCAGUUUUGGUUUUCUGAUUUUAACAUUUCCCAUUGUCUCUUAUUUUCACAAUUUAGGUUGGGCAUGUACCUCUGUUACAGGUCUUGUUCUCAACUUUUAGAGAAGUCUGAGUUUGCAUAAUUGCUCUGUUCAGUCAGUAGUUAAAAUUUGAAUGAGAGAAGCGAAGUUGCUUAUUGGGAGGUGCUUUUAGUUGGGGCCUGUGGUUCUCUUUACUUACUUUCACCUUCUCAACUUGUAUGCAUGUUCACAGCAUAAUGCGAUUGUUGAGCCUAUCAUCAAAAACCGGAAUUCUUUUGCUGAGACAAAGACCAUUUCUGCUGAAAAUGGAGGCCUGAUAGAAACUCAGGAUAUAGAUGUUGUAUCAGAAGGCCUUGGCUCAGUUGUUGUAUAUGAUCAGUGGACUUCACUUCCAAUAACUGGUCAACGUCCCAAAGGCCGAUAUGAGGUAUUGACAUCUCUAUCAUUUAGAAACAAGUCCUUUCUUCUUCUUCUUGCCUUCUUCCUCAUCUAAAGAAUGUUUACUCUUACUUGUCAGCAUGCAGCAGCAGUUGUCGAGGACAAGAUGUAUAUAUAUGGUGGAAAUCACAAUGGUCGUUACCUUAGUGAUCUUCAUGUAAGUCAUUCAUUUACCUUAACAUGCAAUACACAUGUAUUUUUGUAACAUCCAAUUUUUUACACAUGUAUUUUUGUAACAUCCAAUUUUUUCUAGUACAAUUCAGUUUACUGUAUAGUUUUGGUAUUGGAAUGAAGUAUUACCAAAUUAUAAUUCUCACUUUCCAGGCCAUUGCUUGAAAAUUCUAUUUUAAUAUGUAGUCUUGCUAAGCUUUAAUUUAUUGUUUGUAGACUAUAACUACACAUGACAGUUUUCACCAUAAUGUAAGGUUUGAUGCAGGUUUUAGAUUUGAGAAGUUGUACUUGGUCAAAGAUUGAAGCUAAGGUUGAAUCUAAGUCGGUGGAAACGCCAUCUCCUAUAAAUAUAACCCCAUCUGCUGGUCAUUCAUUGGUUAGUAGAGAACUGAGUUUCUUUAUAUUUUCCUUUGGUUUCUUAAAAGCAAUGUUCUCUAAGUAAAUAUGCACAUUUCUUUGGAAUCUGUUGGCUAAAAAUUCUUGUAUCCAUGCUUAACUCUCUGUCCCUUCUAGUGUUUCCCCUAGGCACCUACGGAGAAUCAGUUUCUUUAAUUUCUGGUCAUAUAGAACUGAUCAACUUCUUUCUUUUUCUUUUUUUUCUUUUACCUUUUAUUUCUCAAAAGCAAAGUUUUCUAAUGGAAAAACCCACAAUUCUUUAGAAUCUGUUCGCUAAAAGUUCUUGUAUUAAUGCUAAUUGUCUUUCUGCAGUCAUAUCAUUUGACUCUCUCCCCUCUCCUAUUUUUUCCCCAUAGAUACCUUGGGAGAACAAGCUUCUUUCAAUUGCUGGCCAUACAAAGGAUCCUUCUGAAACCUUCCAGGGUACUUGUUUUAUCCCCUUAUUAACAAAUUAAAAAAUUUGAGGACUAUUUUUCUUCUCCGUCUUUCUCUUAUUAUCUUAUUCUGUACUGUAUUCUUAUGGCAGUGAAGGCCUUUGAUCUACAAAUUGGCACAUGGUCAAUGUUGAAUACUUAUGGAAAACCACCGGUAUUCAUAUUUUCUUCAUGUUAACUCUCUUUCUGCUGUACCAACUUGAAAAUUAUAGCACUAUAUUUAGAAAUUUUAGCAGGUUCAUGAUUGUUGUACCAUGCACAAAUAAUUAGACCAGCCUUUGGUUUUUCUUAAUGACUUUGAGAUGGUGAUCACUGGUAGAAUUAACCUUUCUUUCUUAAUUGAAUAUGGUAUUUAAGAAACUUAAAACUAGAUCAUUGUAUGUUGAUUUCUGGCUAUAUUUAGCUGAAAGUUUAUUAGCAUAUAGGUAUGCUUGAACAUAGGCUGAAGUUAAACCUUGGAAAAUAAAAAAUGUAUUGAAUACGUGUGCUUAUACGUUCUUGUGCCCCUUUAUUUUCCUCAUGGUGGAUUCUUUGAUUUUUUUUUUUCUGAAAAUUUCAUUUCGAACUGUUAACACUUCCUUUCCUAAUUUGAGUGCCUUACAGGUCUCUCGUGGAGGUCAGUCUGUGACCCUUGUUGGAACAACCUUAGUGAUAUUUGGCGGACAGGAUGCAAAGCAAACACUCUUGAAUGAUUUACAUAUACUUGACCUAGAAACCUUGACCUGGGAUGAAAUUGAUGCUGUGUAAGAUUACUUUUGGCAAUCUUAUUCCUGCACUAUCCCUCCACAGUGCACAAUGUUAAUGGAUUUCUGAAUUCUUUUGUUAAAUAUGUGCUACUGGUACUUCUAUAGCCUUUAACAUGGAAAAUGUAAAUGAAUUUUCACUUGCCAGCUUCCACUUAUCAAGGGCUGACUUGAACAAGGGUCUGGCUGCAUAGUGCAAGCAGCCUGGUCCAUUGUUGGUUUUGACCUAAUAAGAAUCUGACGUUUGAAUUUCAAUCCGGUUCCUAAGACUAGCUUGCGACUGAAAUUGUAUUCAUAAUUAGGUCUGUUCGUUCUGGUAAAGAACUUAAUAUUUAAAUUUCCAAAACUGUUAUAUAAAACUGAUACUGAGGUCGUGGUCCAAGAUUACUUCACAUGCUUAAAUUCUUCUUUUGCUUUUGGUGUAUUGACAUUUUGACAUGCAUCAUACUUGAAUUCAAAUUCUACUUUUCUAGUACUAUAUCUGAGCUUCAUUUCUACAACAUUAAAAUAGAAUCUAACCUGUUUACCAAUGUACAUUUUAUGUAACAGCAUGAUAUAAUCCUUUUUUUGCACUUCUAUUUUGGGUAAUCCCUUGUACCCAAUUAGUUUAUAGAUUUGAAGUGUCAUUUGAAUUUUAUAUUCCUUGGUAACUCUUAAUAUUUGUUUAUUCUCAUUGUCAUGCAGGGGGGUGCCUCCCUCACCGCGGUCUGGUCAUGCUGCUGCAGUGCAUGCAGAGCGUUACCUUCUUAUUUUUGGUGGGGGUUCACAUGCUACUUGCUUCAAUGAUUUGCAUGUCCUUGACUUGCAAACUGUAAGAUGAUUACUCUUUUGUGUUUUUGCAUGGGCUAUUGAGGAAUUAGUAUAUCUAUCUUUAUGUAUUUGGAUUUGUAGAUGGAAUGGUCAAGACCCACACAGCAAGGUGAGAUACCAGUUCCUAGGGCUGGUCAUGCAGGUGUGACUGUUGGGGAGAACUGGUUUAUUGUUGGUGGUGGAGACAAUAAAAGUGGUAAAUGUCUCACUCCAAAAUCUAAUAGAAGAUUGCUAUUGCAGAUUGUUCCUUGGAUGACUUUCUCACUCCAUGCUUAGUUUUAGUAUUGUUAUAGUUAUACCAUCAAGUGUCUCCAUUUCAUAUGAAGAUAAGAAAGAGCUUUGGUAGGAUAUGUUGAUUGCGUGAAAAUGUUUACUUUUUUAUUACUGCUCCCUAGUCUUCAUUGCUUGUCCUAUUCUUGUCUUCCAGGGGCAUCAGAAACUGUUGUCCUUAACAUGUCAACCCUCGCUUGGUCAGUUGUGACAUCAGUUGAAGGGCGCGUUCCUCUUGCUAGUGAGGUAUUUUACAUUUUAAAAAUGCUUGUUACCUGUAAAAUGCUUACAGGUGGGAUGUGGAAAAUCUUUGUUUGGAUUACUGCAUCUUAUAUAUAUUGGUUUAAUUGUAACUGCUAAAUGUGGAUCAACAAGGAAUGGUAGAGAUGAUGCAUAGACUCUCUGCAUUUGAUGUCGUGCUUCUCUGUAAUUACUAUGACGAUUUUACUGGAUUUCUUUAGUAACAUGUUCAUCAUUUUCAUUGUCAUCAAUUAAUAUCAUUGGCGUUUAGACUUAAGAAACAAUUAUUCCAUGAAAAUGAUGGGAACUUUGGAAGCUGUGCUUCUGCAAGAGUAAUGUAAUAUUUUAAUAGGUCAUGAGAAGAGUUUCUUUCUCAGUUGUAUGUAAUGCAUGUGUUAACGUUGAACGGUACAUAUAGUUGUGGUAUGUUGGUCUUUAUAUAGGAGAUAACUUCCAGUGUCAGUGAUCUAAGAUGCAAAGUUUCUAUUUAAUUGUCUAUUAUUGUAGGGUUUAAGUCUGGUUGUGGGCUCGCUUAAUGGGGAAGAUAUACUUAUAUCUUUUGGAGGAUAUAAUGGACACUACAACAGUGAGGUAUAGGUGGUUUUGAUCUCUUUGUAUAUGACUUUGUCUUUUUGUUACUAUACAAUCAUUUAUGGUUCCCCAUCAGGUUAAUGUUCUUAAGCCUAGUCACAAGUCAACCUUGCAAUCAAAGAUAAUGGAGGGUCCUCUUCCUGACAGUGUCUCUGCUGUGCAUAAUGCUACAAAUCCUACCAGAGAUUUAGAAUCCGAGUUUGAAGUUGGUCAAGAAGGAAAGAUACGAGAAACUGCUAUAGAUAAUUUUGAGCCCAUGGUAUGUGAUAUUUUGAGAGACAAUAUAACCAUUUUACCUUCAUUUGAAACCUGCUGUUUGAAAUCUUCUGAUACAAAUAAACAUUCUAGCUCCAUUUAUGUGUUGCUGCCUCUGUUGCAAACAUAUGAUUUUGUGGUUCUAGUUUACAUCAUAACAUUCAUACACAACAUCAAAAGUUUUAUAACAGUAAAACCAGUCCAUACAAUACUGUAGUUUUAAGGUGUUCAGAAUGUCUUAUUUAAUUUAUCAUCAAUUCUAUUUCUUUCACUUAAAUUUAGAGUACCCGCAGAAAUCCAAAGGUGGGGAGACUAGUGAGCACAUUCUAGCAAUGCUCAAGGCGGAGAAGGAAGAACUAGAAUCAUCAUUCAAUAAUGAGAAAUUGCUGUCUCUCCAGCUAAAGCAAGAACUAGCAGAUGCUGAGGCUCGAAACACAGACCUAUACAAGGUAGUUUUUUACGUGUAUAAUAGCAGGUCAUGUAGUUCUUCAUUGUUCCAGUUGCAUAAGUUCGGAAAACAGUGGUGUUUAUUAGCUUAAACAUUUUUCUCACCAAGUUUCAUUUACAUCUUAGGAGCUCCAAUCUGUACGUGGUCAACUUGCGUCCGAGCAGUCAAGAUGUUUCAAAUUAGAGGUAUUUUUGAAUCAAGAGAACCAUGCCAUGGCAUAUUAUGUACUUGAUCUGUUUUCUCCAUAUUGAAUGGGCAUCCAAACUAUGAUUUCCUUUAAUACUACUGUUACCUCACACUUCACAACAAGAAUUUAAAAUCAGGCUCACAAAUACGGAGCAUACCAAAUGAAUUUGAAAUAUUUCUCAACUUUGCUAUUUGCAUGAAAUUUACUUGGAAAGUGGGGUUAUUAUGGUUUGCUUUGCGACCUUCAUUGCUGACCGUUUUAGCUACUAUACUAAUUAAAAUUUGGUUUAUACGAGGACGCAUAUACCUCCAAAGUACAGAACUCUAUUUGUUGAAGGGAAAAAAGCCUCUAAUUGUCUUUUUAUACUCUUGAAUCAACAGGUUGAUGUAGCAGAACUACGACAGAAGCUACAGACAAUGGAAACACUACAAAGGGAACUUGAACUCUUGCAGCGACAAAAAGCCACAUCUGAACAAGUUGCCAUAAAUGCAAAGCAGCGGCAGGGCCCAGGUGGCGUAUGGGGUUGGCUUGCAGGAAGCACUCCACAAAAUGCUGAUGAUGCUUGAAAACCUAAUUAAAUAGUGCUUGCAAGAAAGUCAUACCCGGUGCAAUGUUCUAUCCACUUGAUCAAGAGUUCAAACCAUGGAUACAGCCUCUUCUUGCAAAGCAGGGGGGAGGUUGCGGACAUCAGGACCUUCUGCAAAUCCUUGUUUUAGUAGGAACCUAACGCAUUGGGUACUCUUUUUGACAAAAUUUUGGGUAAAAAUAUACAUAUAUUUCCUGUUCUACUUAAACCAGGUCUUUCUAUGAUCAGAAUAAGAAAUCUAGUUAACUCAAAUGAAUGCCUUCGAGAUUUUUGGUUGAAUACAUGCCUCGAUGGAUAAUUGUUUCAGUUUUAUUUAGUUACAUAUGGCUCUGGACGCAAGGUAUACGUAACCUGAUGCGUGAAAAUAUAGGUUUCAAACCGUUUACCAUUAAAGUUUUUUAGAAUGGUUUUGUAUGUAUUAAUUUGGUAACCCUUUAUUAGAAGGCAAUGUUGUUUCACGAACAUUUUAGCUUCUCGGAAUUCAUGACAAACUUAAUUUUAAGGCAGUGUUCAAAUUUGGCCUUUUUCCCAACAAAAAUAGUUUAGGACAGCCCUCAUCUUCAACCGAUGUUUUGAACCUUGACAUUUCCUCCGAAUACAAGAUUUAAUGCAAAAUUAAUAAGCCAACAAAAAGAUAAUAUAUGAGGUUCAAUGCAAGCAAAUUAGGUACGAAACAUCAUCAGAUCAAAUUCAACAUAAUCCAUUUUAAAAAACCAAGCUAGAACUUAAAGGUCACUGAUUAAAAAAAAAAAACACAUUUUCCCUCCAAAAUUCAGAGACCAAGCAAUUAGUAAAAAGCAAUCCACCUCCCACUACUGCUGUCGGACUUCAGCUUUCUUCUUCUGCCAAAGCCUGUCAAGUGCACUGUCAGCAUCACCCUGCAAACAUGAACAAAUCAAUCAGCACUUGACGUAUGACACAACUCAACAUCCUCACAGACCUAAAGUUUGUCUUUAAACAAUCACCUAGAAACACCAAAAAUUCCCGAAUUCUGAUCUAACACGAUUACAAGGAUAUAAUAUUUCAAAUAUAUGGAAGAAUUUCCAAGUUCCGCGUAUACCACAGAAAUAUGAUCCAACACUAAAACGGCACGAAAAUAAUAAUUAAGACCUACGAAAACCAAUAUAACCAAUUUGGUAAUAGAGAUCCAACACGGACCUGGGCACGGACAAAGCCACAAAGAGCAAAAGUGGAGAAAGUUCCAGUGUAUCUGCCAAGCUCAUCCAAAUGCCCAACAUUAAUCUGGACAGAAGCAUGAUCCUUCGAGGUGAUCAGCCUAUUAGUGGCCGAACUGCAACAACAAAAAAACAUACACACCACAGGUAAGCUUCCAACAUAAACAACGUGGUGAAAGGGAAAGAAACUAACAUUAUGAAACAUAGGCUAAGUAAAAUUAAAUACCAUUUUCUGGGGAUGUAAAGAUCCAUGUUUUGACCCUCUUCGUUCUGCAUCUUGGCGAAUUGCUUAACCCAACACAAACACGAAGCUCAAAUCACCUAAUACAAUACCAGAUUCAUUAAUUUAAAAAAAAAGCUAACCCGAAUUCAACUUCAAUACUCUGUAGAUCACAUUCUAAUUCGAAUACCAUGAAUAAUAAAACAAUAUUUUGGAGAAAACCCAAAUCCAAAUUUAACUAUUGCUAUUUAGGAAAACAUUAACAGUUACGUUAAUAUAAGAAAUAAGAGUGAAUGAAUGCUUAUUAGAACAUCCAAAUAACAUAAAAUUUAGAUAAAUUUAAAACUACGAAACAUGAAUAUGAAAUCCAGAUAGAGAGAGUGGCGUACAAGAUGCGAAAGAGAGGCUGCUGCUGCAAAUGAGAUUUAUGGCUCUCGUUUGCUGAAUUUAUAUGCGAAGAAGAAGAAGAAAAAAACCCUAAUUUCCUUCCAGAUUGACCAGGGCAAAAAUGCCCACCUGUGACGUGGUUUACUCCCAAUCUGAGCCCGUUUUGUUCUUGAAAUAUGGCUCAGUCCAUUGAGCCCAGUUGAAGCCCACAGUUUAAAAGGAUAAAAGUCAAAACCCCAAAUCAUGUUCAUUUUUAUAAUUAAAAUCUAAAUUUCAAAUAUUUAUUAGCUUUCAAAAAAAGAAAGAAAAAAAAAACCUUGGUUUCGAUAUUGACUAAUGACAGUGGACCAUCUUCCUACCUCUGGUCGAACUCUCAUAAAUUGAAACCUGGUUAUUUUGUUGACUGUUGAGGUUAAUAAGGACAGCUACUUGUUAUUUAAUAUUAGAUUUUCGGAUUGCAUUUUACCCUUCUAUUCAAAAAUAAAUAAAUUAGUCCCUGUAACAAAUUAAUCUUUUUUAUUAAAAUUUUCAUUAAUUUUUACUAUUAAAAAUUGACAUAACUAACAAAAUAAUCAGAUUGUGACACGUGGCGUGCAACAUAUACCUCAUACUAACAUAAAGAGACUAGUUUUUAAUAGUAGAAAUAAGUGAAAUUUUAACAAAAAAGACCAAUUUACUUUUUGGUUAACAUAUAGGGACUGAUUUACCAUUUUUUUAGUAGAGGGGGAAAAUGCAAUCCAACGCUUAGUAUAAGGCUCUCCAUGGUACUUUUACCAUAUUUUGUGGCAAGUAUAUUUUAUUUCUGGUAAAAUUACCUCGAAGGUCACUAAACUAUUAGUAAAUUUACACUUUAGUCAUUCAACCUUAUAAAAUUACAAAAUGAUUUAAUUAAAAAAAUUUAAAUAGUUUAGACUUUUUGAAGUUAAGUAAUUAAAGUGUAGACUUUCAAUAAUUUAAUAAUUAUUUCAUAACUUUUUAAAGUUAUCAAAGCAUAAAUUUGCUAGUAAUUCAAUAAUUUUACGUAUAAUUUACUUCUUCUUUUUUUACGUAUUCAAAAGGCACUACUCUACCAUCUACACCGGGACAUAUAGUUUUUGUGUGGUCUGUUUGAUAAAAAUAUAAGUGAUCUUAUUCUUAUGUUCAUGCGCACACAUAUAAAUACAAGGAUGAAUAACAAGGAAGCUAACUUUAUAUGUCAAGGGGGUAGGGUAGUAAACUAGCUAAAAUAAAUAGCCUUUUAACAGUGAGGUAACUUGUCUGGGGUAAAUUUCGAUGACAUCAAUAGAUUCUUCUUAAUUCCUUCUUUUAUUCUUACUUGAGUUUUGUAACCGCAACUGGUUUCAGAGUCAGAACACAACUCUGGUGUUGUGCGCUUUGCUUUUGCCGCAAUUCCCACAUUUCUUGUCCUCAUUUGGGUCCCACCAUAUCUAAGUUCUAACCCUUUUCUUUUUAAGGGUAAACUGUAAAAUCUUGUUUCACCCAGAUUACAUUUUAGUUAUUUAAAUUAACAUUUUAGUCACUGAGCCAUUAAUUUCCAUUAACGGUGUAACAGUAAGUUGAUGUGGCAUGUUCAAUCAUCAUUUCAAAUAAAAAUUUUAGGUUAAGUUAUACAAUUGGUCCCCAUAUUUUUUCAUUUUGAGCAAUUUAUUUUUUUCUUUCAUGUUCUUUUAACUUUCCUUUUUUUUUUAUUCUCUUCUUCUCCGUCUAUUUUCCUCCCUUCUCCAUCUCUUUUAAUGUAAAAGAAAAAAAUUAAAUUACUCAAAACGAAAAAUAUAUAGGAACUAAUUGUAUAAUUUAACUUAAAAUUUUGGUUUGAAAUGAUGAUUUAAUGUGCUACGCCAGCUUACCGUUAUGCCGUUAAUGGCAAUUAACACUUAAUGACUAAAAUGUUACAACAGCAUAAUAUAAGUGACUAAAAUGUAACAUGAGGAAAACAAAAGUGACUAUUUUGGUAGUUUACCCGUAUCUUUUAAUUAUUAAACUCAUAUUGACUUUUUCUUUUUCACUAGAAAACUAUUCACCAGGAGGAGCAAUCAAGAAAUCACCGUCACAAACGGUCUAACAACAUAAUCGUAACUUCUUCAAGUUUACGGGAAAAGAUCUGAAGGAAAUCUUGUAAACUCUUUUCAUAUUAUUUAUAAUUACCAUUAAUGAGAAAAAUUCAUUUAAAUAUAAAAGUAAACAAAAAAUCUCAAAGUUUUUUCCUAAAAAUAUGAUGUUUAAUAAAAUAAAAUUAAAUUUAGAAUAGCAGUUGGUGAAAGAGGAAGGGUUGAUGUGGUUAUGAUUUUCAUACCAGAAAGAAAGAUAUGCUUUUACUAUGAAACAGCGUCCAAAAAUGAAUACAGAAGCCGUGCAAGCAAAGCAUCCUAUUCUCCACUUAGGUUACGUACAAUUUAUAUAUUUCUGAACUGGGAAAAAUGGAGGAAGGUGGAAGAGUAAUCAAACAUCAUUCCAUUCCAUAAUUAUGAUUAUUGAGAUUUUAAAUCUUGUAUUAUUUUAUUAUUGAUGGUAACAUGGAAAUGUUUUUGUGGGUGGUGGCUUUUCGGGAUAGCAUGAGAAUUAGAUUUCAGGAAAAUGCACAGUUUUUUAGGUUCGACUAUAAUUCGUGAGCAUUAGUUAAAAUAAUAAAAUGGGGUUCUAGGUUUCUUAAAAAUUAGAGAAAAAUUUGUUUAGGUCUCUUACAAGUUGAUAUAUAAAAGAAUUUUUUAGAUCCUUAAAAGUUAAUUUUUUUUGGGGCCCUUAAAACUUGAAAAACAAUAUUUUAGAUCCCUUUCAACCUUGGGCCUUGGGCGGCCGCACCUCUAGACGACCUCCAAGGGCCGGGCUUAUUAUAAGGCAUUUUAGAUGGAUUUCUCGUGUUGCUUAGUCAAUGCUUCAAAAAAGCCACAAUUCAGACUGAUAAUAUAUAGAGGUGAUCAAAGCCUUAUAAGACAAUAUAAUGACCGAUUUAGGAAUCACAGUGCUUAGAAUGGCCUAGCGAAUUUCAAAAGCUGAAGGACAGUAGUGGAUACAAUAAGUCCCUAGAAAAGGUAAUCUUGUUGUUGACUGUUUAAUUAAAAUUGAGUUUAGUAUGGAGGACAAAGCUACAUAUUUUUGAUGAUGCACUCAAUGAAAUUUAAGAUAUUACAACAAGACAAAGCUAAGGAAAAUUUGAUGUAAAGUUUAGUUAUAAGGGCUUAGAUAUUUAAAAGUCAACUCGUCAUUUCAUUUAAAUUAAUAUGGCGGCUGGUAGUUUUGUGUUCCUACACCAUCCCAUUCAAAUAUUAAUUUGAAAUCAACCAAUUUAUGCUUUAUAUUGCUUUUAAAUCUAUAUUUUAUUUUAGAUUUUGAUUUUUCUAAUUUAAUCCUAAAGUUAUGUUUUUUUUAAGGGGAAUAGUAAAAUAUUAAAAACUUUUUUUUUCUUUAUAAAGGUAGAUAUUGUUUUUGUUGGAAAAAUAUGAUUGCAAAAUAAAAUCGUUAGUAUUGAUUGGAAAAUAAAUCAAGCGUAAACAAAAGAAAGAAUCGAUGUACCGUGGAAGAACCACUGCCUUAAAAACAAAAUCGUUCUGGUUGGUGUAAUCGUGUAGUGGACGUUACUCUCAAGGUUAACACGCAACUUCAAUAUCCGUACACCCUUAUAAGGAAAAUGGAACGCAAUUGGUAUUACUCUUCUUUGAGGAAUCGGGGAAUAAUAUAAAAAUAAAGUUUUAAAUCUAGUUGGAAAAACUUAGCCAAAAAAAUCACAUUAGAUUCAAUUCCCAUGAAAGGUCGGGGGAGUCAUAAAUAGUCCUAAACAGAAUUUCCUCUAAUGUAAUUGUAGUAAGAUGCCAAAGUUUUAGGGAAAAGACUCAUUUUUGUUACUUGUAAAAAUGAGGAGAAAUUCCUCCUAUUUAUAGGAUUCUCAAAGGGGCAAAGUGGCACAAAAAAUUCAAGAACCAUAUCGCAACGGCCAUAUUGAGAUGAUCAGAUUCCAACGGUCAUUUUAUAAUGGUAAGAUCUUUUACAUGUUUAAUUUCAUAUUUAUUUAAAAAAAUGUUAUUUAAAAUUUUCACUUAUCAUAAUCUCGUAUUAUUUUAUGAAAUUAAUUUACUUACAUCCAUUUAAACUUGAGGCACAUUAAUUCACAGGUUUUAACAUAAAUUUUCUAUAAAUAUACCUUUACAUAAAUUGUUUUUUUUUCUUUAUUUACAACUUGAGUAUGGCAUAAAACUAGUAUUUAUUUUAAAGUAGUAGUUAUAUAUAAUAUUUUUGUUAGUCAGAAAUCAAAUUUUUAUUAAAAUAUGGAAAGAAUAUCUUCCAAAUUUGUAUAAAGCAUGUUUAUUGAGAUUGUUGACAGUAUUGAAUGCAAAGAUAAAGCAUUAGUCAAGAAUAGAGAAUUCUUCAUAUCCAUCCUUUCAACCAACAUAAAUUAAUGCUUGUUAGAAUGAUUUUUUAAAGGGAAAAGAACAAAAUAAAUUGCAAGGAACAGCAUUAUUAUUGUUUUUAUUUUUUUAUUCUUUUUAUAAUAACUUAAAACAUAUCAAAACAAAAGGAAAGGUUCCCACCAGCACUGGGCUUGAAUCCAAAAAAUAAAACCAACCAAAUCGAAAGCAAAAAGUCGGAACCAAAACCAAACAGGAGUGGCCCAUGAGAAAACAAAUUUUAAAAAAAGAAAUCAAAAUCAAUAGCUGGACACCACAUCACCAUCUCAGCUUUUGAUGAUUACAGAUUUCAAAAAAUCUAUCUUCUGCUAUCGAUUUACCAUGAAGGUCUUCCUUAUUCAUAUCAGUCUGGUUGUCUCGGCCGCCAUUUCUCCUGUUCGCGACGAACAUAGUCUGGAACACCACCCAACAGGUAAUGUCCUUCUCCCUUUUCCAAUGCUUCAUGCGCAAGAAUAUGGGCAUAUCCAUUCUCUGUUCUAGGGAUAAUAUGAAAACCAAUCUCCUAAAAAUGAACCUUUUUGUUGUGAAUAUCUCUGAUGAGUGCCCCAAUAACCGAUUUGUCGGGAUCUGUAGUUUGGCAUUUCUUUAUUACUAUUCUUGAGUCCCCCAUUAUUUCCAGAGUGCUAAUACCCAUUGAAAUUCCUAACUGAAUGGCUUGUAACCCUGCAUGUGCUUCCACCGCAAACGGAGAUGGUAUUUCGGUAUGAAUAACUGUCUUUGAUACCAAGAUCUCGCCCCCCACAUCCCGAACUACUAGUCCUGACGCAGAUCUGGAAGAAUGCUUGUCAAAGGCUGCGUCAAAAUAAAUUGUCACCCUCGUUCUCCUUUCAGUCUGUUUGUGGCCUCUGUCUAUUUUUAGGGCGAGUUUCUUAUCCUCUAAGACGUUCAACUCAGAAAUAUAGCUGUAGAUUUGUUUCAAAAUAUCCCUACCUGUCUUACUUUUUCUUUCAUAGAUUAAUUGAUUUCUAUGUGUCCAGAUUGACCAUAGUCCAUAGCAAAAAAGACGACACUGUUCACUAGUCCCCCGACUAAAAACCCAGGUGAACCACUCCCACAUACUUUGAAUGACGUUAUUAAAAACCUAGGAAAUAUUUAAGUUCUUCCAUACUUCAAUUGUUGUAGGGCAAUGCUGGAAAAUGUGAUUACUGUCUUCCUCAGAGUUACGACAUCGGGGACAAUAAAUUUCCACAGCCACUUUUUUAUGCUUGAGAUUAGUUAAAGUAGGGAUGUAAUUCCAAGAGAUUCUCCAUACUGUAAUUUUAACUUUUUAAGGAAUAUGUAAAUUCCAUAGUUUCCUGUGAAAAUCUUUAAUCUCGGUCUGUAUAAGAUUAUUCCUAGGACCCGAAUUAGCCUCAUGUAAUAGUUUAUAGGCACUUCUGACUGAGAAAUCGCUUGAAGGUUCUCCUCUCCACACUUGGAAGUUGUCGUGUACUAUCUCUGCCAAAGGGAUCUAUAGAAUAUUCUUUGCAGUAUCCGCAUUAAAGGUAUUAAUAAUUAUAUAUGUUUUCCAAGAUCUAUUAGUGGCAUCAAUCAAAUCCAAUACUAACUUGAUCUUUACAUUGUUGGCAUUAUUCUGUAAUCUUUCUGCAUCAACUCCCCAUAUCCAUAAAUCACCCCAAACAGAAAUUCAAUCCCCCAUGCCAACCCUCUAACAUAGACCUUUCUCCAAGAGUCCCUUUGCUGCCCAGACACUCUUCCAGGUAAGCGAAGGUAAAUUCCCUAACUAAGCACUAAUAAAAUUCAAAUUCGGAUAGUAUUUUGCUUUCAAAACUCGGGCUAGCAAAAAAUUUGGAAAAUUAACAAGACGUCAUCCUUGUUUAGCUAGUUUCUAAACCACCAUUUUCUUUUAAGGAACAUAAAUCCUUCCAAGCACACCAGUGAAUACCUUUUUUACCUUGACUUUUUUUCCACCAGAAUUUAGCAAUAAUACUCUCCAAUUCAGCGCAUAAAGACUUAGAGAGUAAAAAAAAAAACCAUAGUGAAGGCUAGAAUGGGUUGAAGAAUAGCCUUUAUGAACACAUCUUUUCCUCUUUGAGAGAUAUACCUUACACUCCAAUUAUCUAUCCGUUGCUUAAAUUUAUCCUUUAAAAUUUGAAAAGACAAUUUCUUCGUUCUGCCCACUAUAUUGGGAAGACCAAGAUAGUGUUCUGGGUCAUUUGAGCUAUGCACACCAAUGACUUUGAAAAUUAUUGUUCCGUCCCCCUCUUGCGUAUUAGUAUUAAAAAAUACGGUAGACUUAUCAUAGUUAACACACUGACUGGAGUAAUUCUCAUAUUCGUGCAAAAUCUGUUUCAAUAAAUAAGCUCUUUUUUCUGUAGCCUCUCCAAAUAAAAUACAAUCGUCUGCAAAUAAUAAAUAUGAGACCUGCAGACCAUUUCUACUUGCCUUAACCCCUUUAAGUAUGUUUCCCUUCAUUGCAAGCCGCAUAAGACUAGAAAGGCCUUCACUACCAAUUAAAAAUAUGAAUGGGCUCAAAUGAUCACCCUGUCUAAGUCUUCUAGUAGGGUGAAAAUUUUCUCCAAUAUAGUCAUUAAAGACUACUGAAUAUGAAACUGUAGAUACGCAUUUCAUUAAAGAAUCAACCUAGCCUGCAUCAAAACCCAUUUGCUUCAUCAUCUUUUUCACGAAAUUCCAUUCAACCCUAUCAUACACUUUACUCAUGUCUAAUUUCACCGCCAUAAACCCUUUUUCGCCCCACAUCCUUAUGUUUUAAGGUAUGUAAAAUUUCAUAAGCCAGCAAAAUAUUAUCCGAAAUCAACCUCCCCGGUACAAAAGCACUCUGUGCUAGAUCAAUGCAUUUAUCUAACACUUCCCGAAGAUGAUUUGCAAUGGCCUUAGCCAUCAAUUUAUAAAGCACGUUACAUAAGCUAAUGGGUUGAAAAUAAGUAAUAUUUGAAGGGUUUGAAAUUUUUGGUAUUAACACAAUAUUAGUUUUAUUGAUCGGACUAAUAUCCAUACAUUUAUUCAAUAGUUGUAGACAAAAGGAUGUAACAUCUUCCCUAAUAAUUGGCCAACAUUUCUGAUAGAAUAAGGCCGAAAAACCAUCCUCCCCUGGCACUUUUGUAGGACCCAAUUCGAAUAAUGCCACUCGGAUCUCCUCCUUAGUAUAUCUCGCUGUUUGUCGAGAAUUGUCCUCAUCAAACACAUAACGAUCAAUUCUUGACAAAAUAUGUUCAUGAUUCCCCUCUCCCCAGCUGAAAACAGAUUCUGAAAAUAAGAUCUAGCAAUUACUUCCAUUUCCCGAACCUCCUCCAUUUCCCUACCAUCAUCAAAUUGCAUUUUGCGAAUAAAAUUCCUUCUUCGUCGUUGUGUCGCUUGUUUAUGGAAAAACGCAGUAUUUCUAUCCUCAAAUUUCAACCAAUUCACUCGCGCCCUCUGUUAUCAAUAGCGUUCAUCCUUCUCAAUCUCAAAAUUAAGUUGAAUUUUUGUGUCAAUAAGUUCUACCAAAUUUUCAUCAUCCCUUUCGGAUUCCAUCAACUCUACCAGUCUAGAAGUUAACAGGUCUUUUUUCUCUUUUUGACUUCUACGAAUUCGAUUAGCCCAUCUCUCCAAACCUUACACUUUCUAGCUUUUGUAACAAAUCUCAUGUUGAAGUACCCCAGAUACGUCGAACCUCAUCAGUGAACGAAUCCUCCAAAACCCUCCAAGCUUCGAACUUGAAACUUCUUUUAGGCCACCAUUUGUCUUCUCGUUUCGUAAUGAUAAGCAUUGGCAAUGAUCUGAAAAAGAAUGCGAAAGAUAUCGACAUCCAUUCCUCUGUAGCCACUCAUUUAUCUAAACAUUCUUGAAUAUUCGUUUCUGACAAAUUUCCUCUUUCCUGUGUAAACCAGUUUCCAGAAUAACCCACAUCCAAUAGAUGACAAUCUUCCAACCAUGGAAGCUCCUCAGCACUAUGCAGAUUUUUAUCCCACGACUCAUCUUUAUCCUGUGUAUAAAGAGUGCCAUAAAAACCAGUAUAUCUCUACUUGUUACCUUCGUCAUUGUCUUCGAUUACCACAUCAAUGUGUCUUUUUGAAAAAAGUUGAAGCGUAAUAUUAACAUUCCCACGCCACGCCAAACAUAACCCUCCUCUAAAACCAAUCGAGUCAACAUCAAUACCAUUAGGAAAACCAUAACUUCUUCGGAAUCUUUCCAUCUUAUUCCUAUUAAUUUUUGUCUUCAUAAAAAAUACCAUUUGGGGAUUAUAUAUCUUCAGCGAAUGCUGAAGCCGUCGCACAGUCCGUGGAUUCUCCAAACUACGGACAUUCCAACUUAAGAUUUUCAUUGCUCUCGGUCGGCUUACCUUUUGGCAGCCGCUGAUAAUAAAAGAUUAUUGUUCACCAUCCUCCUAUUCUUUGAGGCCAAAUUAUUGGACUCUUCGCCAACUAUCAACCCUUCAGUCUCUCCUCUUUGUAUCUUUUUCCCCUCCUCUACUAUUAAAACACCUUCUUCAACAUCAUGGUCCAUUGCAAAUUAAUUUUCCUCUUUUGAUUGAUUUCUCCCUUUUAAAAUAGGAAGGCGAAUUCCCUUCCAGAUUAAAUCCUAAUAUGGGAUCAAUAUAGAUCCACAACCAGAGUUAUUUAUCGCACCUCAUAUUCUACUUUCAGUUGCCUGAUUUCCAUCAAGAUUUCCUCCCCUUGCUCCCUCUUCUCCCUCACGUAACCAAACACUACUUUGUGCUCGAGCUCUUUUAGAUUGUGCUCGUAUUGAAAUAUCCCAGCCCAUCUCAGUAAUCUCCACACCUAAACGCAUUUUCGCCUCACAGAAUGAGUCACUAUGUCCUAAACGACCACAAUAGAAACAAAAAAGUGUUAACCUUUCAUAUUUGAACUUGACAUAUGACCGAUUUUCAUAAAACAUAACCGACUUUUUCCUCUUUAAAGGGUAUUGUACAUCUAAUUGGAUCCUAACUCGUAAAAAAUUUUGAUAUCCCUUCCUCAUAUUAGCUCCAUCAUAUUCCAAGAACGUGCCUAUGAAAUCACCUAAUCGCUUUGCCAAAGCCUAAAAAAAAACCUGUAGGAAAAUCGUGAAUCUGAACCAAAAAAGGUGUCAAAAUUAAAUAGACUCUUAAAGGGUCUUCCCUCCACUGCAGCGUAUGUAAUAACAACAGAUGAUUAUUAAAAGUCCAUGGUGAACCCUUUAAAACCCUCUCCAUAUCCAUAAUAUGAAAAAACUGAAAUAAAAACAUUCUUUCCCCUAGAUCCAGAAUUUGGACACCUCUGAUUGGAUGCCAUAGAUUUGCCAUGGUGCUUUUCAUAGCCGAAAAGUGAAUAACGCUAGCUGUUAGAAAGCAUCCCACCAGGAGAAAACCCCCUUCUUCCUUUUCUGGGAUUGAAAAAUGUUGUAUUUGUAAAAUCGCUUCUUCUUCAUUAAAUGUUAAACCAGCAAAUUUAACUUCCAUGAAGGCUGAUUAAAUUUCAAACGUUGAAGACAAUAAUCGAAAAAAAAAUUCAAGAAAACAACUGUCGCCACAGAUUUUAUUUCUCUUUUUUAAGUCAUGAAAUAUUAGUAGAAAUUAACCUCAGUUUGGUUUUAGGAAACAAAAAUUAACUUUGUUUUCAUUUUUUUUUUAUAAAUGUUAAUAGAGAAUGUGAUUAAUUGAAAAUUUUAAAAAUUAUUUUUUAGAAAAUAAAAUAUGUGAAAAUUUAAAAAAAUAAAAAAAAAAUUGAUUUUUCACUACUACUUUGUAGGUUUGAAUUUUUUUUUAAAAAAAUGGUUUUUAAUUUUGGGUAAACUACAAAAAUAGUCACUUUUGUUUACUUCAGAUUAUAUUUUAGUCACUUAUGUUUGAAAUGUUACGUUUUAGUUAUUUACAUUAUCAUUUUGUUAUGAAGUGAUCACUCUACUAUUAAACUCCGUUACCUCCCUACAGUCCUAUGUGACAGUCCAAAUGGAUUUUAAAUGUUAACUUAGAUGUCUUACGUGGCAAUCCAAAUUAAAUUUAUUUAAUUAAAAACCUAUUUCCAUUCCAACAACGAGAUAUCUAAGUUGACAUUUAAAACCCAUUUGGAUUACCAUAUAGGAUUAUCGUUAGAGAGGUAACGGAGUUUAAUGGUAAAAUGAUAACUUCAUAACAAAAUGAUAACGUAACAUUUUCAAUAUAAGUGACUAAAAUGUAAUUUGAGGCAAAUAAAAGUGACUAUUUUUAUAGUUUACCCUUUAAUUUUAAAUAAUUUGACUUUAUAAAUUCAAACCCGAAGCUUUACAUGGUGUUUCUAUUUGCAGGGAUAGCCCAAGUAUUUCUCAUCUCUUUUUUUUUUUUUUUCUAGAUGGUAUUUUUCUAUACUGGAUGAGUGUAAUAUAGUGAAGUAGAUUCUAGCUAAUUAUGAAGCGACAUUUGAUCAGGUAGUUAAUUUUAGAAAUCGGGCAUCGUGUUUGGUUUUAACACAAAACGUUCUAAAAAACAGUAGGUUUGCUCUACCUUGAAUGUGUGGUUAUCUCUUAAUGAUGGGAGAUAUUUAGGGUUUCCUUCUCUUAUCGGAAGAAACAAAAAACAUAUUUUUUUUUCUUUUAUUAAAGAAAGAUUGGCGAAGAGGCUAUUUAGCUGGAAUAACAGAUCGUUGUCAAAGCCAGGUAAAGAUGCAGUCUUGAAGACCAUUGCUCAAGUUAUUCAUGUUUACUGUAUAAGUGUAUUUAUGUGGUCAUUGAAUAAUUUAGUGGGGUUCUAACAGUGACGUUUCUCAAAAAUUGCACUGGGCUUCGUGGGAGGUAUCAGGCAGUAAGAAUGAUAUUCAGGUGUUCGAUGAUAUGUUUGAGUUAAGCACAACAUAGCUUACUCGCAAGGUGUUUGUGCUGGUUCAUUUUCUAGUUUAGCAUUUCUGUUAAUGAUUGAUCCUGGCUUAUGAAUUAAGUCUGUUAUGAUUGGUACAGCUGUAACUUGUUUGUUAUUUUUGUUAUCGAAUUAUCUAGAACACCUGAACUGCUAUAAGUAGCCUAGGUGCUACUCUUCAUUCUAAUGCUUAAAAUGAUGAUUAAAAAAUAGAGUGUUACACUCACAAGAUCUCUCUCUCUUGUUUCUCAUAUUUCUUUUUCCUAUGAUUUUUUAUCUGUUAUUUUCUUCUACUUCAUAAAUGUUUUUGAUUUCAUUAUCUUUUAUGCUUUGCUUUCAGAAUACAUCACUGUUAUUUUUUCAUACUGUAAGCAGCUUUUCGACAUGGUAUCCGAGCCACAAAAUUGAUGAUAGUUAGCUGCUGUUUGCGUCUGCCGUAUGUUUGAUUAAAUGUCUCUGUAAGCUGAAUCUUUUGUUCUUCAGCUCUUCUUUGUUCGUGAGUGAUCUUUGGCUGCAAUGUCUGUCAAUAAUUCAGAACAAAAUGAAUCAGUGAAUAAUGAAACCGUGAAUCCUGCUUUUGAAGUUAGAUCUGAUGCUAGUAAAGCGUUUACUGCCAUUUUAACCAAGAAAAUAUCUUUGUUGAUUGAUGAAAGCAAUUUUCUGUGAUGGAAACAGCAUGUUUACCUAACUUUGAAAACGCAUAGGUUACAAAGGUAUAUAAAGGGAACUAUAGCUAUUCAUCCUAGGGUGAUUAGUACUGAUUCGGGGUUACAAAUAGAAAAUCCUGCUUUUAUUUCUUAUGAUUAACAAGGUUCUGCUCUUGCGUCAUGGUUGAUGUCCUCAGUCAGUCCCUCUCUGUAUACGUAUCUGGUUGGCCUACACUCUGCUUUUGAAAUAUGGAAUAAGCUGAAUCAAAUAUUUGCUCUUCACUCACGAACUAAGAGAAUGCAUUAUAGAUGCAUGUUGCAUAAUGUUAAGAAGCAAGAUAAGACAAUGAGAGAAUAUCUAGCUGAAAUUAAGUAGAUCUUUGAUGUGUUGUCUGGAUGUGGUCAAAAUAUUCAUGAAGAGGAACAACAAUCUGCUAUUCUUAAUGGUUUACCUAUCGAAUAUGAGAAUAUUGUUUCAAUUAUCACUUCCAGCUAGCAUCUUUAUGACCUUCAGGGAGUUGUUUUAGCUUUGUUGGAUGCAGAGGCGAGGAUAAAACUUCAGGGAAAUGUCAUGAGUAUAACUGCUAAUGUAGCCGUGCAGCAGCAACUCUCAACAAACAGUAGUGGUAACACUAAGUCGAAUGACCAGACUCUUAGUUCUAGCUCUGAAGGUAUGAAUGUACAGACCAGACCAUAUUAUCAAGGUCAUACUAAGGGCGGGUUUAGGCCACGUGGUAGUGGAAUGUACUCAAAUAAUUCGAGAUUUCAAUGUCAAUUAUGUGGUAAGACAAGUCAUUUGGUCUCUAAAUGUUUUCAUCGAUUCGGUGCUUCAUUCACUGGUAUCUCUGACUCUAUUGCUACUAAUUCUCAGUCUUCAAACUAUGUUAAGACUUCUGAAGGUGUGAAUGGUUUUUAUUGUUAUCCUGGUCCCACUACUGGUUUUACUAUGUUUAGUUCUCAAGUUGGUCAUCCUGGUUUUACUGGGUUGAACACUCAAGGUAAUUUUACUAGUUCUGGAGGACUUAAUGUGUCUGCACAUAUACCUUCUACUGGAAUGCCUCCUGCUCAUGCUGGUACUUCACAUAUUGCUGCAUAUAACUGCAGCAUGCCGGUUGUCAGUAAUCUUAAUCCUGCAAAUCCUUAUGUCAUGUCUUAUAACAAUGGUAAUCCAUUUGCUAGUGGUGCUAGCUCAUUAUGUCCAGGUUCUACUCAAGCUGUUUCAGAAGGUAACCGGAUCUCUCAGUGUGUGCAAGCUACACUGGCAGUGGUUACAGAUCCGGCUUGGUACCCAGAUACUGGUGCAACUGGGCAUCUCACACAUGAUUCCACCUUUUUGCAGCACUCUAACCCUACUACAGGUAUAGUUCAAGUCGGUAAUGGUUCUUGUAUCCCUAUUGUAAAUACUGGUACUGUAAUUUUUUCAACUGAUCAAAAAGAACUGCACUUAAACAAGUUUUAUGUUACUGAUAUUACCAAAAAUUUAAUUUCAGUCUCACAAUUCACCAAAGACAAUAAUGUAUCAUUUGAAUUUUUUCCUAAAUACUGUGUUAUUAAAGAUCUGACUACACAGGCUGUUCUGGCACAAUGAGUUGAAGUCGAUGGUCUUUACAAAUUGGAUGUAAAUCAGAAAUUCAGUGCUCUUCCGUAUCUCUCGUCUGAUCUUUCAUGCUUUACCACUAGUGUUAGUUCAAAUAAUAAUGAUUGUGUGAAAUGUGAAAGUUUAACUUCUCAUGAGUUGUGGCAUCGUAGGCUAGGACACACUUCGACACACAAUCUUUCACAUCUAGCUUCCACAUCUGCUCUUCCUGUCAAAAUUCUUAAGGAUUUUCCUUUAUGUGUUGCUUGUCAAUAUGGAAAAAGUCAUAAACUACCUUUUAUAUCGUCAACCACUAAGCAUACUUCUCUUUUACAACUUAUUCAAUGUGAUGUUUGGGGACCAGCUCCAUGUGUGUCUUCUGGGUAUAAAUACUAUAAUUCGUUUAUUGAUGCAUAUUCAAGAUAUGUUUGGAUUUUUCAUUUGAAACAAAAGUCUGAGGCUCUGUCUGCAUUUCUUGUGUUCAAAAAGCAAGUUGAAACAAUGUUUGAUAAAAAGAUUAACGCAUUGCAAACUGAUAGUGGCGGAGAGUUUAGAUCAUUUGCAUCUUACAUGUAAUCUUUUGGCAUACAACAUAGAUUAACCUGCCCUCAUACAUCUGAACAAAAUGGUUUAAUUGAACGAAGACAUAGACAAAUUGUAGAAAUAGGUCUUACUUUACUUGCACAAAGUUCCAUGCCUCUAAUAUACUGGUCUGAUGCAUUUACUUAUGCUGUUAAUAUAAUAAAUAUCUUACCUUCCAAGGUUAUAGAUAAUAAAACUCCUUUUGAAAAAUUGUAUCAAAUUAAGCCUGAUUACUUUCUUAUUCGUGUUUUUGGAUGUCAUUGUUUUCCCUUGUUGACACCUUAUAAUCACAACAAACUGCAGUUUCGAUCUAUAUCUCGUAUUUUUUUGGGCACUGUUGAUAAUCAUAAGGGAUAUAAGUGUCUUGCACCUGAUGGUCAAAUUUAUAUAUCUCGACAUGUUAAGUUUCAGGAAGAUAUUUUUCCUUUUUCAAUAAAGAAUGAAAUGCCCACUUCUUCACUUUCUUCAUUCACUCUAUUUACUACAGUACAUUUACCUAUUGUUUCAUUACCUGAUUUAACUAUUAAUACUAAUUUUUGUUCUUCCUUGCAGCAAUCUAAGUUGCAAUCACCAAUAUCUACUGCUCACCCAUCUCAUUCUCCAAAUUCUAGUUUUAAUCCGUUCAACUCUCAGAUCACUCAACUACUUCCUCACACGAUGAGCACCAGUCUCAAAAUUCUCAAAAUUCUGCAUCUGUACCAUCAUUUGAGUUACUGCCUAAAGAUAUGCCAAACCAGUCCCAGCUUAAUAGUCACCCCAUGAUCACAAGGGGCAAGUCAGGUAUUGUAAAACCGAAAAUCAUCUCUUAUCAAGUUACUAAUAUACCUUUUUCCCCUGCAGAUAUUCAUGAAGCCAUGAGGUUUCCUCAAUGGCAACAAGCCGUUCAUGAUGAGCUUGAUGCUCUGGUGAGAAAUCAAACGUGGGACUUAGUUCCCUUACCACCAAGCCGACAUGCUGUGGGAUGCAAAUGGCUGUUCAAGGUAAAGAAACAAGCUGAUGGUACUGUGGAUCGCUUCAAAGCCCGGUUGGUUGCCAAGGGAUAUGCUCAGAAAAUAGGCUUUGAUUUUCAUGACACGUUCAGUCCGGUAGCAAAAGCAAAUACUGUUCACACUCUCCUCUCAUUGGCAGUUACUCAUGGUUGGGAAUUGAGGCAAGUAGAUGUAAACAAUGCCUUCCUCAAUGAAGAUCUUGUUGAGGAAGUGUAUAUGCAACAACCUCCCGGUUUUGAGCAGCGAAAUGACGAAGGUCAACCUCUUGUUUGCAAACUACGAAAGGCCCUUUAUGGUCUCAAACAAGCACCGAGAAUUUGGUUUCAAAAGCUCAAAGAUUUUUUGUGUUCCAAUCUACAUUUUCAAGCUUCAUGUGCUGACCCUUCUUUAUUCACACGCCAAAACGAAGGAACUAGGGUGUGGUGCUUGGUAUAUGUUGAUGACAUUAAUCUUAUUGGUAGCAAUUCGAAGGAAUUAAGUGAUGUUAUCCAUCAGUUAAACACAACAUUUUCUCUUAAGGAUUUGGGAACUCUGCAUUAUUUCUUGGAGUAGAAAUGCAUAGACAUAAUGGAACUCUACAUCUAUCGCAGAAAAAGUAUAUUCGUGAGUUAAUCAACCGUGCUGAGAUGACUUCUGCUACCUCGGUACCCACUCCAAUGGUCGUGUCUCCUACUCUUACUUCAACUGAUGGUCAAUUCUUACCUACAUCCAAGGCUGUUUUAUAUAGAAGCGUUGUGGGUGGACUUCAAUAUGCAUGUCUUACUCGACCCGAUAUAGCCUUUGCUGUAAACAAACUCAGUCAGUUCAUGCACUAUCCAACUGACAAGCAUUGGGUGGCAGUCAAACGAGUGCUACGAUACCUCCAAGAAACUAUCGAGUUUGGCCUGUAUUACACUCCAACGGAGCAGGUUGAUGUUACAGACUUUUCAGACUCGGAUUGGGGCAGCUCUCUCGAAGAUAGGAGGUCUACUUCUGGUUUCUGCAUUUACAUAGGUGGCAAACUCAUUGGUUGGUCAUCCAAGAAGCAGCAUGUUGUGGCACGUUCCACAUCUGAGGCAGAAUUCAGAAGUGUCGCCAAUACUGUGGCUGAUAUCACUUGGUUCAUUCAUCUUCAGACUGAUCUUGGAGAACAGUAUUGUGGGAUUCUAACUAUAUGGUGUGAUAAUUCUGGAGCAGUCCAGAUAUCAACAAAUCCUGUUCUCCAUUCAAAGAUGAAACAUGUUGAACUUGAUCUUCAAUUUGUCCGGGAAAAAGUAGUAAAAGGGUGAUCUUCAAAUCAAUCAUAUUGCUGCACACAAUCAAGUUGCAGAUCUAUUCACUAAACCUUUAAGUGAAUCUCAAUUUGUUGCACUGCGAUCAAAGCUUGGAUUAUGUCAACUCUGCUCAGUACCCACUACUUUUGUUUUCUCAGAUGAGGAGAAAACAUGGGGAAUAUCAGGCAGUAAGAAUGAUAUUCAGGUGUUCGAUGAUAUGUUUGAGUUAAGCACAACAUAGCUUACUCGCAAGGUGUUAAUGCUGGUUCAUUUUCUGGUUUAGCAUUUCUGUUAAUGAUUGAUCCUGGCUUAUGAAUUAAGUCUGUUAUGAUUGGUACAGCUGUAACUUGUUUGUUAUUUUUGUUAUCGAAUUAUCUAGAACACCUGAACUGAUAUAAGUAGCCUAGGUGCUACUAUUCAUUCUAAUGCUUAAAAUGAUGAUUAAAAAAAUAGAGUGUUACACUCA